AACUGAGCAGCGGUCAAGACGUGUUCACCCAGAUCGGCAACGGCGGUGUUGCGGUAUUUGUCGGGACAAGUGUGGUGUUGACGUUAGCGUCGUUGGUGCCGUUGUUUAAAGGAGUGAGUGUGCAGUCGAAGUCGAGUGGACUGAUGACAUCAGAUGCAGAGCUUUGGAAUGGGCGGGUUGCGAUGUUGGGUCUGGUGGCUUUGGCUUUUACUGAAUAUGUUAAAGGCAGUGCCCUUGUCUAGAUAAUGUAUCAUAGACUUUUCUAUUACAGAAUUACAUCUAAGAUAGGCAAAUGUAUAUUCUUUUGAAUAUUUAUGUGUAUCGAUUUACCAUACAUAGUUCAAAUCAUGAAAAUCAAUUAAUCAUGUUUUUUUGAUAAUAUAGUAUAAAACAAAUAUGAUCAAUCAAAUUGAACGAUUGUGGUAUCUUUCAAUAUAAAAUUCUUUUUAUAAAAUUAAACAAACAACAUACUAAGAUAAAUUUUAGAGGCAUGAACCUAGAUUAGCAAUAUAAGAGUCAAAGUCUACAAAGAUAUUGAAAUCCUAGUUUCACAACUUCCUCUUUGAAUGUUGAACUGAGGUGAUCUUCAUUAAUUCAGACCAAAUAUGUGCAUAAGUCCAGCCUAGUCAAUUAGCCAAUUUAAGAUGACAAGUAUCCAAAAUUCAAAUACAUUACAUACCUCAAUUUCAAACAAAACUGAAAAAUAUAAUGACUAAUGCUCACAAAAUGAUCACUUUCGGGGAGUGGUCACAGUUAAACUACCGGAAAAGCGCUGCAAACUCAACGUUACAUCUGCUCCAUCACCAAUUCCCUAAACAUUGGAAAUAGUUACCACUCUAUAUCAUUUAUAUUUAUAUUUUAUUUAUUUUUUAAAAUUAGAUUAAAUAAAAAACAUAAUUAUAAACUUAAGUAAUCAUUUUACUAAUUAAAAAAUCAACUAAACAUAUUAUUAAUUUUUAAAAUUAUUAAACAUAUCUAGUUAUAUAUAGUUGAGGGUUUAACUUAAUUCAAAGAAAAAUAAAAGGGUAUAAUAAGAUUAAAAGACACAAUUUUAGAGACCAAAUUUGUAACUUCAAUUAAAGCAAAUUUGAAUCGUCUUCUUCACCUGUCUUCUUCAACCUUUUUCUGAAAAACGGGUCAUUGCUCAAUACCAUUUUUUUUUCUUUUACUUUGAUGGAUACAAAAGAAAAGGAAAAAAGGGUUAAAUACGUGACCUUUGUUGUUGCUACUUUCUUAUUCGUUGUCUUCAUCCGUCUUUGCACCCACGUUACACCCAAACCACUGGCCUUAGGGGCGGUGUGGACAUAUCCUUAGGCCGGACACAUCAGCAAGAUGCGUGGGUUAGUCCUCCCACUCCGGUUAGCCUUAAACACUUAUUAAAAGCUAGUGGACGUCUUUGCACCCACGUUACACUCAAACCACCGGCCUUAGGGGCGGUGUGGACGUAUCCUUAGGCCGAACACAUCAGCAAGAUGCGUGGGUUAGUCCUCCCACUCCAGUUAGCCUUAAACACUUAUUAAAAGCUAGUUUAUUUCUUGUUAGUUUGAAAUCUAAUGUUAUCAUCAAAUCUAUACAAGAUUGAGAUUGAUAUCAGAGUAACAAUCUCCAAAAGAAAAAUAUUUUACUCAAAAGAAUAUAUAUAUAUAUAUAUAAUGAAUUAUAUCCUAAGAAGUACUAUGCAUGAGUAUAAGAUUACUAUUAUCUUGGGAUCUAUUAAUUGGUAACUAAGCAUACUUCCAAGUUACUAUAUGAAAUUUAGUUAAGGAUUAAUGUCAAGUUGGGUGCAUGCACCUCACUCAAAGGCCUUGUAUUUUUAUCGGUCCCAAGUGACAUCUUACAAGGGCCGUUUUGGAGUUUUUUCUUUCCCCAAUGUAUUAACAUUUAUUUUUUUUUGAUAUUUUUGAACUUUUUAUUUUCUUAGAAAAGUAUACAAAAUAAAAUAUAUACAAGUUUACUUGAAGAUAUGAGUGUUUAUCAGGUUAUUCUCUUGAACUAUCUAUUCUUAGAUAUGAAUAAAUGUGUUUGUCUUUAUCAUUUUUCCCCUUUGUCAAUUCUUGACUAAUAAGGUAAUAGUCGUUCUUGGUGAGGGAUUCACCUCUCUAUUGAUUCUUCAUUCUAAUUAAAUGUUUGGAUUCAACAAUGUCCGAUUGAGUAGUUCUUUAAAACCGCAUUCUACCAUUUGCAUCUUUAUAUUAAUCCCAUGAAUUGGGGAUUCCAUAAACUGAAACUCUUGGAGCUCAAUAGUGUAGUUGAAAAACAUUUGUCGAGCCUACCACUUCCAUGAAAUAGGAGAAUUUUUUCAAUAAACUAAGUAGUUCCUUCUUUAUGGAUCAUCUUUUCGUUACUCGACCCCUGCUUACAUGCGAUUCCUACUAGAAAAUAGAAUUGCAGACUAACUGCAGCUGCAGACAACCCUUCGUUUGGCCAGAAGGGGUUUGAUAUUCCUUGGAGAAAAAUCUCAUCCUGAAAAUAACAAUAUCCAUGAACACAAUGGCUACGAAAUACUGAUUUUCUUAACCGACGAACCGAAAUGUUACAGCCAUAAUGCUGAAACCUCAUUACUUGCCCGCCCUUUAAACAGGUAGAACCAUCCCUGAGCAUAGAAACAUAAACUAAAUCCUGAACCCUCCAGCUGAGGUCUUUGAUAUCCAAUUUUCUUGAUCCACAUCUUUCUGAGUAUAGAUGUUGCACUAAUACACUCGCGAUUCCCAAUGCGAGCUUUCACCAAAAACCCACUCGAAUAUGGCCACUCAUAUUCUUCUCGAAGACCCUUCCCUACAUCUAAUGAGCGUCCAAUUAUGAAUCUGCCCGCAAUUCCUGACUGGAGACACUAACAGAAACAUGCAUAACUGAUCCUCGAAACAUACCGACCACGAUCUUCACCCAAAACCAAACCAUAUGAUGUACCAAAACCUUAUUAACCCUUGAUCCUCUUCUAUUCCAUUACUGACCACUGCUUCGCCGAGCAAGAGAUAAAUCCAAGAAUUUCUGCUUUACAUCCAACCCCUUAUAGAAUCAGGUGUACCCCCACCUGGACAACCACUUGAGACAAUCAUAAAGAACUUUAUGACUUGCGACUUUCCAACCAAUCCCAACUUGAAAACCACAACAAUAGCAACAACUUGCGAACAACCAAAAAUAUAAUGUAUACAUCCCAUAAGGACUUUCUGAUUCCUGACAGAUACUCCCAACAACCUUUACUACUUCCUUUAUCCAACCAAUAGAUUUACGACUCGCUCGUCUCCCAUCAGUGUAUCGAUACCGAAAGCACCACAAGCAGAAUAAAUGAACAACCAUGUUCACUAGGCCCUCAAAGUAUGACUGGAAUACCCCUUAUAAUGUCCUCUGAAUAUGUUUGGAUUGCCUCUGAGCCCACAACAUGAAUCUGGAAUGCCCUCCCUGGCCUUCAGCCCAUGUCUGGAAUGCUCUCGAUAUCACAACGACCUUGACGCCAUCGCAUCGCUCGCCCAUCACUCCAGGCCCACAGAUACUCACCUCAUUCCAUUCCCUUGAAGGGACUUAAUCAAUUCCCUCACCACGCCAAUUGUGCAUCACAAAGAUGCCACCAAAGCAAACCUUACAAAACAUGGACGUACGCGACCCGUGAAUAGGAAAAUAGAUGCACCAUUGGCCCGAUUCGAAGGCUAAAAUCCAAAAGAACCAUGCACAUGAUUCGAACCAAGUGCUCCAAUGCUAUCUUUACCAGAUUACAUGAACUACCCCCAUACACAUACUUAAGAAACCUAGAAUAUCAUCCAGAGAGAGAAGGAAUGUCAGAUAUAAUCUAAAAAUACCUCAAUUAAUAACAUAAAACAUCCCCAUGAUCAGUUGAAACAAGAUCCCAUACUUGAUUGAGACUGAACGGAUUCCAUCGCUACACAACUAGGUUGAGAAGACUUCCGCGGAUAUCGAAGGUUGCCUAAACCUGAGUCUGCUAUUAACCAAGUUCCCACUCCACCAUUGAGGGUAAACACACUCGAAGGACCAAAGAACAUAGAUCAUACCGAACUUGAUGACAGAUUGGCCCGACCACUGCAUCUCGGCUGACACAAUUAAACUUCCGAGUGAACUUUUAUUGAAUGAUGAACCCCAAAAUUAGUGGUCGAGGACACAUUGACACUUAAUCCAGAGAAUCAAGACCCACAUGGAACUGAACAUACCCGCUUCUGGAAAGAUCCACUGACUAACGUCUGCCUAACUAAUCUGAAAAUAGCAAUCCAACAACAAACUCGCAUAUCCCUCAAUGGCUAAAAAUACUCAACCUUAGAAUCCCUAUUCUCCCCCACUUUAGGCUCAAACUACCACUUACUGGCGCUAAAACCAAAUCAUAACUCAAACCAUCUUGAGCAUGUACUACCCUUCCUAACCCUGGAAGUUACGAGUCUGCUCACUGCUUCCCCGAACUCGGAAAAACUGAAAGGGCGUAACCCUAUAUCUUAUAUUCUUCAAACCUAGAGAUAUGAGUUGUUACUAUGAGUUGGUUAUACAUUUGAUUGCACGAAAACGCAUUGGUAACUCGAUGAUAUAAAACGUGCCUUUGUGUAUGAUUCAACAAGUAGUAGAACAAGCCAUAUGAGUCGAAGUUUAUCCAUUCCUUUUACCUUCAGGAUAAAAGCGAUAUCCAUGGGCCCCUCGAUGAUUUAUUAAUGAUGACACAUGUGAGUGCUUGGGCAAGCCAUGACUGAUUUGAUCUGUUCAAUCAGUCAGUCAUCAUGAAUCGGAAAUCAGGAAACAAUAAAUGGAUAGAGAUAAUGAUUUAUAAUCCAUGUCUUAGUCCAUAUGAUAUUUAGAAUGGAGGAAUAUAUGAUCCCUUAUCUAAUGGACUAGUCAUUGACAAAGGUCAAAGUUCAUCGACGAGGUCAGAGUUCAACAACGGCUUUUGAGAGUUACGAUUGCCAGUUGGUUUUUGAAGUCAUCCUCAAUAAUAGUUUUAGACUUAUCCAAGUAGGAGACUAUUGGAUUAGUGUCUAAGUCCAUACCUAUAAUUGGUAUGUACUUGACCGUACUCGUCAUUGUCCAUUUGGGUUGCAUGGCAUCGGAACAUUUGGAUAAACUGUUUGUGAGAAAAGGACAUUUGUGACAUAUUAAUAUAUUAUAAGUUCUAAUAUAUUAAUAUUAAAUCAUGUUAUUUAAUUAGUAUUGAUCAAGAAUUAAUUCAGACUUAAUUUAGUGAUCAAAAGAGACUAAUUAAAUAUAUGGGGAUUGAUUGUGUAAAUCAUUCAUUCUUAUAUAUGUGGGGUUAUGAUCCAUUAUUCCUUAUGUUGGGUUUAACCCAUGUGGUGAUCCAUGGAUACUCCAUGGAGGUUAAAACCCAUGAAGCAUAAGGAAUUCGUAAAGUCAUGGGUUACAUAGUGUAACCCUAAUGCGCACACUAUAUAAGGACCCCUUUAGCUCAAGAAACGGCACUAGUGAUACUUAUAUGAGGGCUAGCCGAUUUCAACAUAGGGUUCUUCUUCUCAUGGUUAUUCCAAGUGUUGAUGAUGUUGUGUGNNNNNNNNNNNNNNNNNNNNNNNNNNNNNNNNNNNNNNNNNNNNNNNNNNNNNNNNNNNNNNNNNNNNNNNNNNNNNNNNNNNNNNNNNNNNNNNNNNNNUUUCCAUUGCAGUCAGAGGGGCCACAAGAAGGCCCAGUGUCCGAGAUUGUAUCCAGUAGGGCAGGUGCCAGCUCCUGCCCUUGGGAUUUCGAGUACCGCCAGCAGUUGUCGAGGCCCGGCAAGGGUGCCUACGGCUCAGAGCCGAGUUUUCCGGUAGAUUUCAGCAGGGAUUCGAGCAGCACUGAGUAAUGAAGGUACGUAACUUUUGUUUUUCUGUCAGCUUAUGUCAUGAUUAUAUUGUUAUGGUUCUGCAUCAAAUUGUGGUAUAAGUGUUGUGUUAUAGUGUGGCUUGCUUGUGAUUAUGUUAUAUGCCAUUUGCAUACCUCGGAUAAUUGGUUGGUAGUUAGGGAAUGUGCUCUUAUGGAGAAGGUUUCGGAGGAUGCAGNAUGGUUGGGAGAGAUUUGGUUCGUUUCGCGAGUUCGGAGUGGUUAGUGUUGGGUUGGAUUGGUUAGAUCCCUAGCUAUGGCAGGCUUGGGCUCCUUAGCAGAAUGAUUAUGGAAUGGCAGCAAAGAUCGGGAUCUCUUUUGAGUGUGAAGCAGCAAGGGGUAAGCAGGAUCGAAGUGGGGGAGAACCCUCCGGGUAUACAUGGAUAAGAGUCUCGUAGACUCAGAAUGAGUGCGCGGCCUCUGAGAAGAAAUGGUAGUAGCACAGUGAUGGAUGGAUUGAGAAGUUCAGAAUUGGGAGUUCGAGAACUUUUCCCAGCAGUUAGUUCAUGUAAUCGAGAUGGUUAGAAGCUGGUUGGGAAUCCAGGAUUGGAGGACCACCUGUCGGACGCAUGAGAGUCGGAAUGAAGAUCCUGAGAACGGGUAACAAGAGAUGUUUUCGUAUUAGUAGCCAGUGUCUGAGGCAGCAUGCAGGUUGUGUAGAUUCAGGAGUUGGGAGGUUGGAAACUUCCCAACAAUAGCUUCUUGUAUCCGGAUUAGUAGACGGUUGGUUUGGGAACCAAGCCGAAGGAUUCCUCGACGAAGCGCUAAGUAUAUCAAGGAUAUAAGAUGUCGAGGAUGAUGCAGAAUUCAAAGUCUAAGGACUGUUUUUUUUGAGAAAUCGGGAUGAGGAAUCACUAGCAGGACUAGGGAUAGUCAGGAUGUUCUCGAGAUAGUAGUAGUGUUGUAAGUCUGCGGGGGUAGCCGUAGCAUUCACUAGCAGUCAGAUAGCAGUAGUAGUGUUGUAAGUCUGCGGGGGUAGCCGUAGCAUUCACUAGCAGUCAGAUAGCAGUAGUAGUGUUGUAAGUCUGCGGGGGUAGCCGUAGCAUUCACUAGCAGUCAGAUAGCAGUAGUAGUGUUGUAAGUCUGCGGGGGUAGCCGUAGCAUUCACUAGCAGUCAGAUGGUAGUAGUAGUGGUGUUGUAAGUCUGCGGGGGUAGCCGUAGCAUCCACUAGCAGCCAGAUAGUAUUAGAGAGUUGUAAGUCCGCGAGCGUAGUCGCAGCCUUUUAUCAGAUUGGUAAGUAGCAUGAGCGCGUGUUAGACGCGGGAAAGCAGUUGUACCCACCAGUUCGGGUGUAGCAGUGAGGAUAUGGGAAUCCACGGGUUAGAUUUCGGAUUUCCCAAAGGGAUCAGUUACGGCUAAGUUAGCAAUUUGGGCUUUGGAUCGUCACAUCAGUUAUGAGAUCAGAGUAGCAGUGGACCGUUAGGGUUCAGGUAUGUUGCGGACUACAGUCAGUCUGGGAACCAUCAUGUUGUUAGUCGUGGAAUUGAUGAUGUCAGGAUGUGACGUAUGGACCCGAUCGGUUGGAUCGGAAAGUUGCUAGAGCCUCAGUGACAGGAUAACUAGUGGAAACUAGUCCUAGAGGAAAAUUUCGUUCAGAAGUCGUGGAAGCGACUAAGUGAGGAGUCCCUUGACUCCACAGUUGGGUUGGAGUUCAGUGUUCCAGUCAGUUCAGUGUUUCAGGCAGCUCAGCGUUUCAGGCAGCUCAGUGUUUCAGGCCGUUCAGCGUUUCAGUCGGUUCAGCGUUUCAGGCAGGUUCAGUAUUGCAGCUAGUUCAGUGUUUGGAAGGUUUCAGGGUUUUGGGUUAGUAUUGCAUUUGCGUUGGAAUGCAAGUGCUGACGGUAUAGUUGGUUGAUUUGGAAUUGGCAAGUCCCUCUCAGCAGGAUCAGUUGAGCCUUUUGCCGAGUAUAAGUGAUUGGUAGGGAUGGCUAGGCAGGUAGCUUUUCAUUCAGGAAGAAAGGCUCGAGUAAGUAGGAGAUGAGUAAGCAGGUGGGAUAAAAGCAAGCUGGUUCCAGCAGCAUCGUUUCAGUAUGAACGGCAGGAUGGAUAGAACAGUUAUAGAUAAUCAAAGUAUCUUUAGGAGUCGCUGGAAGAGACUAGGAGUUUGCGAUGGAGUGUAGUGACCGGUGGGAGUCCGGUAACUCAGAUAUAGGGAGAUUGGUUAGACCAGAGUAGUCUCAGUACAUCCGGUAGGCGGAUGGGAGGCAGCAGGAUUUUCAGUCGGAGGAAGUAACGUUGAGGAGAUUAUGGGAAAGAGAAGGAUUUAGUAUGUUCUAUCGGUAGUGAUCGGCACUGUGAGUGGCCGGAGUGAUGGGCAAAAGAGUGAGGGAUUUUCCAGACAAAGAGUUGGAGGCAGUUCGCAGGCAGUUGAUCAUAGCAAACUUCGAGGACGAAGUUUAGUUUAAGUAGGGGAGAGUUGUAACACCCCAAAGAUUGGAAAGUCAAGAAAAGAAAGAAGACCUCAAUUUUAAGAAGAGACUCGGCGAGUCCAAGGAGGGACUCGGCGAGUCCNNNNNNNNNNNNNNNNNNNNNNNNNNNNNNNNNNNNNNNNNNNNNNNNNNNNNNNNNNNNNNNNNNNNNNNNNNNNNNNNNNNNNNNNNNNNNNNNNNNNNNNNNNNNNNNNNNNNNNNNNNNNNNNNNNNNNNNNNNNNNNNNNNNNNNNNNNNNNNNNNNNNNNNNNNNNNNNNNNNNNNNNNNNNNNNNNNNNNNNNNNNNNNNNNNNNNNNNNNNNNNNNNNNNNNNNNNNNNNNNNNNNNNNNNNNNNNNNNNNNNNNNNNNNNNNNNNNNNNNNNNNNNNNNNNNNNNNNNNNNNNNNNNNNNNNNNNNNNNNNNNNNNNNNNNNNNNNNNNNNNNNNNNNNNNNNNNNNNNNNNNNNNNNNNNNNNNNNNNNNNNNNNNNNNNNNNNNNNNNNNNNNNNNNNNNNNNNNNNNNNNNNNNNNNNNNNNNNNNNNNNNNNNNNNNNNNNNNNNNNNNNNNNNNNNNNNNNNNNNNNNNNNNNNNNNNNNNNNNNNNNNNNNNNNNNNNNNNNNNNNNNNNNNNNNNNNNNNNNNNNNNNNNNNNNNNNNNNNNNNNNNNNNNNNNNNNNNNNNNNNNNNNNNNNNNNNNNNNNNNNNNNNNNNNNNNNNNNNNNNNNNNNNNNNNNNNNNNNNNNNNNNNNNNNNNNNNNNNNNNNNNNNNNNNNNNNNNNNNNNNNNNNNNNNNNNNNNNNNNNNNNNNNNNNNNNNNNNNNNNNNNNNNNNNNNNNNNNNNNNNNNNNNNNNNNNNNNNNNNNNNNNNNNNNNNNNNNNNNNNNNNNNNNNNNNNNNNNNNNNNNNNNNNNNNNNNNNNNNNNNNNNNNNNNNNNNNNNNNNNNNNNNNNNNNNNNNNNNNNNNNNNNNNNNNNNNNNNNNNNNNNNNNNNNNNNNNNNNNNNNNNNNNNNNNNNNNNNNNNNNNNNNNNNNNNNNNNNNNNNNNNNNNNNNNNNNNNNNNNNNNNNNNNNNNNNNNNNNNNNNNNNNNNNNNNNNNNNNNNNNNNNNNNNNNNNNNNNNNNNNNNNNNNNNNNNNNNNNNNNNNNNNNNNNNNNNNNNNNNNNNNNNNNNNNNNNNNNNNNNNNNNNNNNNNNNNNNNNNNNNNNNNNNNNNNNNNNNNNNNNNNNNNNNNNNNNNNNNNNNNNNNNNNNNNNNNNNNNNNNNNNNNNNNNNNNNNNNNNNNNNNNNNNNNNNNNNNNNNNNNNNNNNNNNNNNNNNNNNNNNNNNNNNNNNNNNNNNNNNNNNNNNNNNNNNNNNNNNNNNNNNNNNNNNNNNNNNNNNNNNNNNNNNNNNNNNNNNNNNNNNNNNNNNNNNNNNNNNNNNNNNNNNNNNNNNNNNNNNNNNNNNNNNNNNNNNNNNNNNNNNNNNNNNNNNNNNNNNNNNNNNNNNNNNNNNNNNNNNNNNNNNNNNNNNNNNNNNNNNNNNNNNNNNNNNNNNNNNNNNNNNNNNNNNNNNNNNNNNNNNNNNNNNNNNNNNNNNNNNNNNNNNNNNNNNNNNNNNNNNNNNNNNNNNNNNNNNNNNNNNNNNNNNNNNNNNNNNNNNNNNNNNNNNNNNNNNNNNNNNNNNNNNNNNNNNNNNNNNNNNNNNNNNNNNNNNNNNNNNNNNNNNNNNNNNNNNNNNNNNNNNNNNNNNNNNNNNNNNNNNNNNNNNNNNNNNNNNNNNNNNNNNNNNNNNNNNGUCAGCUUCGGACUUCGGUCCGAUGGAGGGGGCAAGGCCCCAGUCAGUUAGCUUCGGACUUCGGUCUGAUGUCAGCUUCGGACUUCGGUCCGAUGGAGGGGACAAGGUCCCAGAUAGUCAGCUUCGGACUUCGGUCCGAUGGAGGGGGCAAGGCCCCAGUCAGUUAGCUUCGGACUUCGGUCCGAUGUCAGCUUCGGACUUCGGUUCGAUGUAGGGGGCAAGGCCCCGUUAGUCCGGACUUCGGUCCGAUGCAGUGGGCAAGGCCCAAUAUGUGCUUUAUAUGUUUUGUAUGAUAUGUGGUAGAUUGGGGGAGCUCACUAAGCUUCGUGCUUACGGUUUUCAGUUUUGUUUUCAGGUACUCGAUUUCCAAAAGAGGAGCUCGGGAAGAUUGCAGAGCACACACCAUAGUCAGUUAGCCUGGGAAUGUUUGACUCUGAUAAUGAUAUUAUGUUUUGAAUUGAAUACUCAAAAGUUAUGUUUGACUUAUGAUACGUUGUUAUAAAUCUAUUUUUAGUAAUGUUUAAAAGAAAUUUUUAGUCAUGAUUUUUGGGUCGUUACAAAUACCUUGGAAUAUUCAUAUUUGCAUGUAUAAUAGAGAAAACGUAGAUCCAAGGUAUUUAGGGUUGCAUGUACACCAUAGGAGUGAUAGAGUGCUCAAAACCCAACAAAUAGGUCCGAGUCCUUCAUUCUAAGAUUAUUUAACCUUCAUAGCAUGUAAUUUAUUGUAUUCACUUGAUGGUUAACUCCCAUCAACAUGGGUUCCACAAAGCUCAAAGCAAGGAACAUUCGGGCAGAGAAGUCGGUUGUCACUAAAACGCAACAAAAUUUGACAGAUCCUCAUACAAAAUCCUCAAUCUCAAACUCCCCGCACCACGGGUGCACCUUUGCCCUGCUCUCACUCUCCCCAGAGUGGCUAAUCAUUCCUCGUGCUGACCAGCUAUACACUGUACCCACUCAUGAAACUUCCACCAACCCUACAACACUCUUGUAUGCUAGCUGUACAUAACACUGGAUCCUAUAGACAGUCGAAUAUCUGAUCCGAACCUAAGUCCUUCAUCAAACAAGAACAGAAAAUAAGGCCGAAUGAAACAUUCUCAGGCUAAAGAAUCUUAGUUAUGUACAACUAUAAUGCAUACUCUAAGCAAUUGUAGUAAUGAUGUCAAUUUCAUCUAAGGAAGAACCCUAGGCUAUCAUGCAUCAUAUAAUCAGGAAACUCUAUCAUGCAAUUCCUAUAGAUCCCUAGCCUAUCACUAACAUGCUAUUUUAACAUAUCACAAGAUCAAUAACAGUGUAGCAAUUUGGGGUCUACUUACUGGCUCCGACUGAUCUUACACAUAGUAUCCUCUUUAGUUUGAAAGCGACUUUGAAAGUUAUUUUUAAAACCUUUACUUUGAAAAUUAUUUUUUAAAAAACCCUUUUUCCUUAGUUUGAUACUGGAUUCACACGAGUGUUCCUCCAAUUCACUCAAACCAAGGCUCUGAUACCAACUUGUAACGUCACAAAAAUUUCAACAAAUUGAAACCUUUCGAAACAACCCAUUUAUUAAGAAAAGUGUUUUGACCCGUAGGCGCUUUGUACGCCUUGAACUCCCGGAAUGAGGGAGUUCGAUUCCUAAUCUGACCCGUAGUGAUCUCAGCUCAGAAAGAACAAUUUGCUCCUCUAUAAUCUCCAUGAUCCCCUCCUUGACGGUAUUGAAAAUCACUGGGGUAGCGUUAAGGAUGUCGCGAGUAACAUCGACUACGAUAAUCUCAUGCAACCUCUCAUCAAUCGGCUUUGCCGCAGAUCCUGAGCCCGAUCCCGAACCUGAACCUCCUCGCGUAGCCAUCACCAUCCUCAACUGAAAAAUACAACGUAGAAAGCAAUUGAUAAGGAAUAUCAAAAGGAUUUCUCCCCACCAGACUGAUGGUUUUUGAGCACUACACCAUUCCUAUGGUGUACAUGCAACCCUAAUGCUUCAGAUCUAUGUUUUUCUCAAGUUAUACAUGCAAAUCAAAUCAUCCAAAGCAUAAACCCUAAAUAGCAUACAAUUUUUGGAAUUUGUAACUUAAAAAAAAAGUUAGAAGAAUACAUUUUCCUUGUAGCUUGUAGAUCUUGACCUUCAAGAGCUUAGUGCCUCAAUUGUUGCACUCUAGUGAGUCACAAACACCAAGUAGCAAUUUGGAAGAAUAUGAGAGAGGUUAGGAGGCUCAAAAUCGGCUAGGGUAUUAUCUUAGAAGCAAUUGACUAAUUUCAAGGUGUCAUGGGGUAUUUAUAUAGUUGUGCAAUUAGGGUAUUUAACUGAAACCCUAAUUCUCUGCUUAGGCCUUAAGCAAUCCAGUAGAUCCUUCCAGAAGGCCUCUUAUGGACGAAAUCUAUGUGGGCUAUACAUAAGAUUUCGUCCAUCCCUUCUUAGGGAUCCACAUGCUCAACUUGGCAACUACCAUAUAAUUGCAAUAUCAGUCCUUGUAAUCUAACCAGUCUCUUUUGAUCACCAAGUUAAUUCCAAAUCAAUUCCUGAUCAAUACUAAUUAGUUAAUCUGAUUUCUCAAUUAAUAUACCAUUCUUAUAAUAUAUUAAUAAAUCAAAAUUAACCUCUUUCUCCAUAAUUCAUCUAGUCAAGUUGCUAUGGUGCAGGCAACCAAAAGCACCAUGCUACUAUCGGGUCAAGUACAUACAAUUUAUAGUUAUGGGCUUAGACACCUAAUCCAACAGUCUCCCUCUUGGAUAAGUCUAAUAACUAUAACUACAAGUAUGACUUCAAAAUCCGAUUAGCAAUCGUAGCUCUCAAAAGCCGCUGUUGGAAUCUGACCUAGUCAAUAUGUAACAUCCAUAAAUUUUACACCAAAUUUAAACUUUUCAAUCAUAAAUAAAAACCAAAUAGCAUUAUGUUUUCAAAUCAUUAUCCAUCAGAGUGUCCCAAAAUCAUAACAUAAGGAUGAGGAGUGGUAGGUCACGCCUACGCGUUGCUAGAUCUCCUGAAGUACCUGGAACAAUAAACCGAAAACUGUAAGCCCGAGGGCUUAGUGGCUACCCCCAAAAUACCUAUACCACAUUGACAAUACCAUAUCAGUAAUAAUCAAUCAAUCAACAUGCAUAUCGGGCCAUCGGCCUGACUGGACCGCCCUAUAGGGCCUACAGUCUAUCUGGAUCUAUCCCGAGCCUUCGGCAUGACUGGUCCGCCACAUGGCCCUACAGUCUCCCCGGACCGAUCAUAGGGUGUGCAUACUUUCAGCACAAAGCAGGACCGCCUCAACCCAACUAACAAUCAAAUAACUAUGUGCGCAUAACUAUCAUAUACUGGCAUAUACAAACAUCAAGCAUAUCUAUCACUGGUCAUCAAUCAUAGAAUUCCCUCGUAACUAGAGUACCGACCUAGCAGGUCACUAACAUACCAAUCCCUACGGAUCAUAAGAGCAUAACAUACUGUCUACCCUGAUUCCGAUCAAACAGAUCAUAACCACAUAUAGCAUACCAUAACAAUAAAAACUAAAGGGUCGACCUUGGUGCUGUAGACCCUAUCGAUAUAGUGAGGAUAACUCACCUCAUAGAUGUCGACUCGGAAGGUAAACUCCAAAUCUCGGAUCAAUUGACACAGGCCCCACCACAUAUCGCAUAACAUACACGUAAGUCCUUAACCUUAUAAGGUACUCCAUAACCUACUAGUCAACCCCUGAUCAAAGUCAAAGUCCUCAGUCAAGGUCAACAGUCCAUGUUGACCUCAACUCGCCGAGUUCCUUGAAGCAUAUUCAAACUCGCCGAGUCAUCGGGGUGACUCGUCAAGUUCCUUUGAUUCUCGAUCAAACUUUAAGGCCACCCGUCGAGUUCCCUCCUUGCAACUCGACGAAUACACAUGCAUACAUAUCCAGGAGAAAACUCAUCCGCCUCGCCGAGUUGUUCUUCAACUCGUCGAGUCUAUGGAAAUCAUCAUCGGACUCGUCGAGUUGUUUAUCCAACUUGUCGAGUUCACGACCAUCUUCAUGUGACUUGCCGAGUCAACCUUGCGACUCGCCGAGUCCAUUCAGUCCGUUUUCCAUACAGAUCUAUUUUGAGUCAUGCAGCGGCUCCAACUCACAGAUCUAAGCUUCUAGGACAUGCUUAUCACGUAAGGAUGCAAACUUUACGUGCAUGCAUGGCUUUAAAGGCUCCAAAUGCCAAAUCUAAGAUCUUAAUGAGGCUUCAUGCUCAAUAGGGACCUCAAUCACGACCAAAAUUGUAACUUUAUGCUUCUAGAAUCCGAAGAGGGUCCAGAUCUGAAGUUACAACUUCAGAUCUAGCCCAUAGCUCAUCAUACCAACUUGAUAUUACAAGAAAACCCUAAAACUCAACCAAUAGAGGAGAUUCAUAAGGAAAAUGAUGGUUUGGGUACGUCUGGAAGAUGAUAUCUGAGAUGAGUGUUGAUUUCCACACUCUAAAUGCUCCAAUCUCCUUCUCCUCCAAGUCUUCUCCUUCCAAAGAUCCUCUUUUCAAGCUUCAAACACACACAAGGCACCCACACACGAAUAAGGGCUCUCAAGGACUCUUUAGAACUGUAAAUAGGUCCAAGGGAGGCUAAGGCCCCUUUAAAUAGGGAUACAAACCCCAAGAUUUAGGGUUUCAUCUGCCAACUCCUACUCACCAAGUCCCAAUAUGGAAUCGUCAAGUAGGUCACUUAACACGGGAUCUCACCCCGCUGCUACUCGACGAGUAGGGCAACCAACUCGUUGAGUAGAGCGUAACUCAAUACAUCUUAUUUAAAACAAUACCUAAGAACCGGGGCGUUACAAAUCUCCCCCACUUGAACUAGACCUCGCCCUCGAAGUCCGCUGGAACAAACAAUGUCGGGUAAUGCUCGCUCAUCUCCGCCUCCGGCUCCCAUGUCCACUCGGAUCCCCUCCGAUGUUCCCACUGUACCUUUACCAAAGGUAGUUCCUUGUUCUGCAGAAUCUUCUUCUUCCUUUCCAAAAUAGCCACAGGCCUCUCCACAUAGUUCAGGUGCUCAUCGACCUGAAUGUCAUCCAACGAUACCACUGCCUCCUGGUCCAUAAUGCAUUUUCGCAAUUGCAAAACAUGAAACGUGCUGUGGAUCCGGCUGUGCUCCUCCGGAAGCUCUAGCCUAUAAGCCAGCCUGCUAACCCUGGCAACAAUCCUGAAUGGCCCAAUGUAACGGGGACCUAAUUUUCCCCUCUUCCUGAAGCGGAUCACACCCUUCCAACGUGAAACCUUCAGGAGGACCAUGUCACCCACCUGAAAUUCCAGUAUAGAUCGGCGUCGGUCGGCAUAACUUUUCUGCCGACUCUGAGGGGUCUGCAAUCGCUGUCUAAUCUGUUGUAUCAUCUCGGUAGUUUGCUGAACUACCUCUGUCCGACCCAUUACCCUGUGGCCAACCUCGCCCCAACAGACUGGGGUCCUACACUUCCGCCCGUACAACAGCUCGAAAGGCGGGGCGGGAAUACUGGAAUGAUAGAUGUUGUUGUAGGCGAACUCUACAAUCGGUAGGUGGGAAUCCCAACUACCAUCGAAAUCAAUGACGCACGCCCUCAAAAUAUCCUCGAGGGUCUAAAUGGUCCGCUCACUCUUGUUGGAUAAGGUGUCUAAGUCCAUAACUAUUUCUGGUCAGUACUUGACCCGACCCGACAUGGUCCAUUUGGGUUGCAUGGCACCAUGCAAUUGGAUAGACUAAAUGAGAGAAAUAACACUUGGAGAUUAUUAAUAUAUUAUAAGUUCUAAUAUAUUAAUAAUAUUAUUUAAUUAGUUUGAUCAAGAAUUAAUUUAGAAUUAAUUAAAUGAUCAAAAGAUAACUAAUUAAAUAUAUGGGUUGAUUAUGUAAAUCAUCCAUAUCUUGUAUAGUGGGCUAAGAGGCUCCAUGGAUUAUCAAGUUGGGUUCUACCCAUAGGAUGCUCCAUGGAUGCUCCAUGGGAGUUACAAACCCAUGGGUCAUGGAAAUGAAGAGUCAUGACACAUUAGGGUUUACAUGGUGUAACCCUAGAUGUGUCAACACUAUAUAAGAAUCCCAUUCUCCACCAAAAUCUGACACACAUAUGAAACAAGAGGGCUAGUCCGAUUUCAAGAAGUGUGUGUUCUCUCAAAAGUCUUUCCAAGAGCAUUUGGUGUUGUGUGAAGCAUUUAAGGCAUCACACUUGGGGUGCUAGGCUCACAAGGUUUCAAGGAACAUAAGCAACAACAAGGUAAGUUAUUCUAUCUUUCAUUCAAGUUAAAAAUUGUUCCCCAUGUAUGCUAGAUAGGAAUAUAACCUUGGAAUUCAACUUUGCAUGAUAAUUAGACAAACAUAGAUCCAAGGUUAUUAGGGUUGCAUGUACACUUAGGAAGUGUUAGAAUGCUCAAAACCCAUCAGUGGUAUCAGAGCCUAGGCUUGUUUGUUUGUUAUUUGUGCUUAAAAGUUGAAGAAAGUCGAAAAUCUUGCUGUCUGACUGAUGGACUCGGCGAGUCCAUGGGGAGGACUCGACGAGUUCAUGUGUAUCUUCAACCUACUCGGCGAGUAGGUUUAUGCACUCGGCGAGUAGGGUCGACAGAGUGCAGAAUUUCGACUUGUGUUGCUGGAAAUGGAUUAGAAUCAUUACCCUAAAAUGUUUUGGUACUUGAAAACUUAUUUUAGAAGGUGUAAUGUCUUUUCUAACUCAUUUACAACAACUAGUUAUCAAAAUUACAAAGAUUAAAUGUGAUUUUGAUUCUUGAAAGUGUUCAUAUUCAUAUUCUUGUUCUUAUGAUGUUUAGAUGAUCAUAGGAAUUAUUUGUAACCUAUGUGGUAGAUUAAUUCAUGAUCAUAAUGUGUUUUAAUGGAGUCCAUAACUUGUCCUCAAGUUAUGGAAAACCAAAAGUCUCUUGGAUUAAAAAACAUUAAAAGAACACAAGAGUUAGGAAAAAUGAAAAGUCCUCAUUUUAUUACUCUAUUAAACUCAUAAGUUACAAGAAAUGAAAAGUUUUGAAAGUUUACAAAACUUGCCCUCAAGUUUUGGAACAAGUAAAGUUAAGUUAAAACUUUAGUUCCAACCCCUAGAAUUUUAAAAGUUAAAAUUCAACCCUUAUACUUAUAUUAUUAUGAUUUAAUAAUUAUAUAUAUAUGUAUAAGAACAAAGUCGUCUUACCGCUAGUACGCCUCAUUCACGAAGCCGGUCUAUAAGGUGGGUAUAAGGUUGUUGCCUAUAAAAUGGUGACUUAAUGGGUGUCCACUCUCACCCACCGCUUGCUUGAUCGGUGGAGGGUCGUUAGCCGAACGGGUAAGACAAGGACUUAUUAAUUCUCAUUCAAAGUAUGAUGAAUAUUAUAAAGUAACUAAAUGUUUUAUUAAAUUCCCAAUCUUAGUUACUUUAGGAAAAAUGUGAAUAAGGUGCUAUUCCAUGAAAUUACACUUUACACUUUGAUUAAGUCGUUGGUGGAGCGUGUGUGGUUAACCGGCACACUAACUUGGACUUAACAAGGUAGGUAAAGGGUGACUUAGGGUUUAUUAUAGUAUCGAUGGAGCGUGUGUGGUUAACCGGCACAUCGAUUGAGUGAUAAACUUUAAGGGUACCAAGUGAUUUGCAUGGUUACUUCACACCUCGUUUUGUGAUCCUCGGUAUCCCAGUCACAAAACUUGGAGGGCACACUCGAGAUUGAAACAUGCCUUUGAAAAGUUCAUUGAAUCUCAAAGAAUCUAGGAAUUUCUAAGAACCAUUCAAAAACCUAAUACUAAAAUAUUGCGGUUUUCGUGGUGGAAAUUGGUGAAUCGUCAUUCACCUACCUUUCAAAUAUGAUAUAGCUUAGAUUACGGCAUACCUCUUCUAAGUUAUAUUAUAUUGUGAUUGGAUCCUAGCCUUAAUAUUACAUUUGGGUGUUUUAUUAAGGACUCUCUUAUAUCUAAACUAAUCUUGUCCUCUUUCCUUCAGAUGUCUUUCAACAAUGCUUCUGGCUCUAAUCCUAAUGGCUCCUUUACCCUUAUGAACUUGUGUGGGAAAGUCACCUUUGAUGGAUCCAACUUCAAUGAGUGGAUCAGAAACAUCAGGAUGAUUACCCGCUACGAGGACAAAGAAUAUGUCCUUGACAAGGAGCUUAAGGAGAUUGAUGAGUCCACUGCAACUCCUCAGGAGAUCGCUGAAUUUCGGGCACAUGAAAGGGAUGCUACGAAAGUGGCUUGCAUCAUGAUGGCCACGAUGACAGCGGAACUCCAAAAGUCUUAUGAGGAUUUCUACCCUUAUGAAAUGCACCAAGAUUUGAUGGAAAGAUACCAUCAAAGUGCAAGACAAGAGAGGUAUGAAAUCAUCUGCUCCAUGAUAACAACCAUGAUGAAGGACGGGGAAUCCGUCACGAGCCACAUGCAGAAAAUGCAAAGGUAUGUGGAUCGUUUGCUGAAGCUUAAUGUGAACUUCCCGGAGGAUCUUGCAAUAGAUAUUAUUUUGCAUUCCUUACCAUCGUGCUAUGAUCAAUUCCGCAUGACAUAUCACAUGAACAAGGAAGAAGUCACCCUCAGCAAACUUCAGGGACUUCUCAAGACCGCAGAAUCAGGUCUUAAGGGGAAGUCGGUUGCUAUCACUCCUACUCAAAACUCUACUCCGGUUUUGGCAAUCGGGAAAAGUCGAGGGAGGAAGAGAAAGAGCUCUUCUAAGGGUACCAAGGUUCGGACCCUUGAUGGCUCUUCUUCAAGUGGAACCAAGAAAGGUUUCAUUACUCCUUCUUCUGACCCAAAAGAGGCUGAAUGCUUCUAUUGCCAUGAAAAAGCUCAUUGGAAGCGGAACUGCCCAAAAUACCAGCAAGAUGUGAAGGAUGGGAAAGUUAAACCCAACCAUGCAGGUAUUUACACUAUCAUUUCUAAUAACUCACCCCAUUCUAAUUCUUGGGUCCUUGAUACCGGGUGUGGUAUUCACAUUUGUUGUGACUUGCAGGGACUAAGAAGAAGUGAGGAUGUGGAGCAAGGAAGGAUAAACUUGAUCAUGGGGAAUAGGAAAGCUAUACCUGUUACCAAGAUUGGAGUUUAUACUUUAUCGCUAAGUAGUGGGUUUAGUUUAGAUUUGAAUAAGUGUUGUUAUUCGCCAGGAAUGGCAAGAAAUAUUAUUUCCUUUCAUGCUUUGUACAAACAAGGGUUUACCUUUUCAUUUAAUAAUGAAGUUGGUUCUAUAGAUGUUUUCUAUAAUAAUGUCUUUUAUUUUAAAGCAUUACCUUGUGAUGGUGUGUAUGAAGCUGUAUCUGUUGUAGAUAACUUGGGAAAUAAUGUUUUGUGUAUUGAUUCUACUAAUAAUAACUUGGAUAAAGCAUCUUUAUGGCAUUGUCGUCUUGGACAUAUAAGCAAGAAACGCAUAGGCCAACUCCAAAAGGAUGGAGUCUUGGAGUCGUUUGACCUAAAGUCAGAUGAUAGUUGCGAAUCAUGCUUACUUGGAAAAAUGACAAAGUCACCCUUCACAGGUUCGUGUGAGAGGGGUGAAGGUUUGUUGGACCUUAUACACACGGAUGUGUGUGGACCAUUCAAACAUGCCACAAGGGAUGCUAAUCGUUAUUAUUUGACUUUUACUGAUGAUUAUAGUAGAUAUGGAUAUGUCUACUUGAUCAAGCAUAAGUCAGAGACUUUCGAGAGGUUUAAGGAAUUUAAACAGGAAGUCGAGAAUCAAUUGGGCAGGAACAUUAAGAUGCUUCGAUCCGAUCGUGGUGGUGAGUAUCUUAGUUCAGAGUUCCUCGACUAUCUAAGGGAAUGUGGGAUAGUCUCACAAUUGACACCUCCCAGGACACCACAGUUGAAUGGUGUGGCUGAGAGGCGUAAUCGAACCUUGUUAGAUAUGGUUCGUUCCAUGAUGAGUCGAGCUACGCUACCAAUCUCAUUCUGGGGGUAUGCCUUAGAGACUGCCGCCCAUAUUCUUAAUCUAGUCCCUACAAAGAAAGUUGCCAAAACUCCUCACGAGAUGUGGACUGGUAAAGUACCUAAACUAGACCACAUCAAGAUUUGGGGUUGCGAGGCUUUCGUGAGACGCGAGACUCAUGAUAAGCUCGAACCUCGAAGCGAGAGGUGUAUUUUCAUCGGUUACCCACAGCGAUCCUUUGGUUACCUCUUCUACAGACCUAGUGACAAUGUGGUCUUUGUAGCAAGAAGAGGAGUCUUUCGAGAAAGAGAGUUUAUAAGCCAAGGAGACAGUGGGAGGCAAAUUGAUCUUGAAGAAAUUCAAGAAUCAAGCGGUGAAGGAACUUCAAACUCUAGCCCUCAACUUGAGGAGGAAACUCCUGUUGAGCCAAUUGACAAAUCUGUACCUCUGAGACGUUCCACGAGAGUUAGGAGUGCACCUGAGCAUUACUAUGGAUUCCAUAUUACUGCAGAAGGUGAGACACUUAUUAGUGAUGAGACACUAGUAAGUCAAGAUGACCCUAACAGCUACGAGGAAGCCAUGGCAGGCCCCGAGUCUGCUAAAUGGAAAGAGGCUAUGGAUAGCGAGAUACAAUCCAUGUAUGACAAUCAAGUUUGGAACUUGGUUGAAAAUGUACCAGGUCGUAAGACAGUAGGGUGCAAAUGGGUCUUCAAGAAGAAGACCGACAUGGAUGGUAAAGUACACACUUAUAAGGCUAGACUGGUUGCAAAGGGCUUCUCUCAAAUUCCUGGAGUGGAUUAUGAUGAGACCUUUUCUCCGGUAGCCAAGAUUAAGUCUAUUCGGGUUCUGUUAGCCAUAGCUGCAUUUCAUGACUAUGAAAUAUGGCAGAUGGAUGUCAAAACCGCUUUCCUUAAUGGAAAGUUGGCUGAAGAUGUUUACAUGAGUCAGCCAGAGGGUUUUGUCAGCAACGAGUACCCUAAUAGAGUGUGUAAGCUUGAGAAAUCCAUUUAUGGAUUGAAGCAAGCACCUCGCAGAUGGAAUCUUUGCUUUGAUGAAAAGGUCAAGGAAUUUGGCUUUUCUAGGAGUGAAGAUGAAUCUUGUGUGUAUGUCAAGGCUAGUGGGAGUAUAGUUAGCUUUUUGGUAUUGUAUGUGGAUGACAUACUACUCAUAGGAAACGACAUUCCAACCCUGCAGGAAGUAAAGUCCUGGCUUGGGAAGUGUUUCGCUAUGAAGGACCUUGGUGAAGCUGCCUAUAUUCUAGGGAUAAGAAUCUUGAGAGAUCGGAGUAAAAGACUAAUUGGACUUAGUCAGAGUACCUACUUGGAUAAGGUGCUGAAGAGAUUCAGCAUGCAGGAUUCCAAGAAAGGAGAGUUACCCAUCCAGAGUAACACCAGAUUGAGUAAGACACAAAGCCCUAGCACUGAGGCUGAGAUAGCAGAAAUGAGUCGAACACCUUACGCUUCGGCUGUAGGAUCGAUCAUGUAUGCUAUGACGUGUACUCGACCCGAUGUAGCUUUUGCCUUGAGCAUGGUUAGCAGGUAUCAGGCGAACCCUGGCAAGGCACACUGGACUGCGGUAAAGAAUAUCCUCAAGUACCUACGGAGGACUAAGGACUGGGUCCUUACCCUCGGUGGGAGUGAUGACUUGAGAGUUGUAGGGUAUAGUGAUGCUAGCUUCCAGACUGAUAGGGAUAAUUUCCGCUCUCAGUCGGGCUGGGUCUUUACCCUAAACGGAGGAGCAAUUUCUUGGAAGAGUUCCAAGCAAGAGACAGUGGCAGAUUCUACUUGUGAAUCAGAGUAUAUUGCAGCUAGCGAAGCAGCAAAGGAGGCGAUAUGGCUGAAGAACUUCAUUGGAGACCUUGGAGUUGUACCAGCUAUUAAAGAGCCAAUGGAAAUUUUCUGUGAUAGUGAAAGUGCUGUUGCCUUAGCCAAGGAACCAAGGGAUCAUGGGAGAUCCAGACACAUCGACAGAAAAUACCAUUUCAUUAGACAUCGGAUCGAAGAAGGACUCCUCGUGGCAAAGAGGGUAUCAUCGGAUGAGAACCCAGCAGAUCCCCUCACGAAGGGACUGAGUAGGGUUAAGCAUCUCCAGCAUGCUCGGAGCAUAGGGCUGAAGGAUGAUAUAAGUUUUAGUAGUUAGAUAACCCAGAAAUUUGUAAAGUGUAAUUGACAUUUGAUGAUGAAUAAAAGGUGUUUUAUUUAUGAGUAAAGUGUUGCUAUCUCUUGUCAAUCGUUUACUAUAUUUCUUUUGCAUGUUUUGACUUCCAGAAUAAUUUUGUUUGGUGUAACAUAUUAUUCAAACCUCCACAGUCGGUCAUAUGUCGGAAGUAGGUAUGAAUCAAGACUGUCAUGAUGGGUUGUAGAGGUCUAAGGUGUUGGACAAGGCUACAACAAUCAUGAGUGCUCAUAAGUUCUGAGCAUUGGACUCAACCCACGCUCACUGGAAUCACUUCAUGGAAUUCUAUCUCGAGUGAUCGUGAGACGGUAAUAUCAUAUAAGUCUUCAAACCUAGAGAUAUGAUUUGUUACUUACAAGUUGGUUAUGCAUUGACUGUACGAAACCGCAUUGGUAACUCGAUGUUAUAAAACGUACUUUUGUGUGUAAUUCAAUGAGUGGUAGAACAAACAUAUGAGUCGAAGUUUAUCUGUUCCUUCUUGGAUUAGAAGCUGAUAUCUGGGCCCCUCGAUGAUUUUGUUUUGACCCAUGUACCGGGCCCGGUCAGAACUAAGUUGAUGUGUUCAAUUAAGUUCUAUGUCAAACAAAUCGGAAAUCGGGAAACAAAUGCUGGACAAUAAGCAAGACAAUGUUCCAUGUAUUUGUCCGGCUGAUAUCUAGAACGGAGGAUUAUAUGAUCACUUAUCUUAAAUGGCGUACCAUCAUCUUCUCAGUUCCGAGAGACCUUGAAAGAGCUACGAUUGCCGGUCGGUUCCUGAAGUACUAGAGAUAUAGUUAUUAGACUUAUCCAAGUGGGAGACUGUUGGAUAAGGUGUCUAAGUCCAUAACUAUUUCGGGCUUGUACUUGACCCGACCCGGCAUGGUCCAUUUGGGUUGCAUGGCACCAUGCAAUUGGAUAGACUAAAUGAGAGAAAUAACACUUGGAGAUUAUUAAUAUAUUAUAAGUUCUAAUAUAUUAAUAAUAUUAUUUGAUUAGUUGAUCAAAGAAUUAAUUUGGAAUUAAUUAAGUGAUCAAAGGAUAACUAAUUAAAUAUAUGGGUUGAUUAUGUAAAUCAUCCAUAUCUUGUAUAGUGGGCUAAGAGGCUCCAUGGAUUAUCAAGUUGGGUUCUACCCAUAGGAUGCUCCAUGGAUGCUCCAUGGGAGUUACAAACCCAUGGGUCAUGGAAAUGAAGAGUCAUGACACAUUAGGGUUUACAUGGUGUAACCCUAGAUGUGUCAACACUAUAUAAGAAUCAUAUUCUCCACCAAAAUCGGCUACACUAAGAAACUAGAGGGCUUGGCCGAUUUUGAGAAGUGUGUGUUAUCUCAAGAGUCUUUCCAAGAGCAUUUGGUGUUGUGUGAAGCAUUUGAGGCAUCACACUUGGGGUGCUAGGCUCACAAGGUUUCAAGGAACACAAGCAACAACAAGGUAAGUUAUUCUAUCUAUGAUUCAAGUUAAAAUUGUUCCCCAUGUAUGCUAGAUAGGAAUAUAACCUUGGAAUUCAACUUUGCAUGAUAAUUAGACAAACAUAGAUCCAAGGUUAUUAGGGUUGCAUGUACACUUAGGAAGUGUUAGAAUGCUCAAAACCCAUCAACUCUGCCCAUCAGUCUGCGGAUGGAACGCCGUGCUAAAAUGUAGUCUCGUGCCCAGUUCCUUGUGGAACUUCUGCCAAAACGGGAAGUAAAUCUGACAUCCCGAUCGGAAACAAUGGAAAAUGGGACCCCAUGGCGAGAGACAAUCUCGCGGACGUACAGGUCGGCCAACUUCUCUGCCGAUGAACUCUCCCAUAUGGCUAGGAAAUGGGCACUCUUGGUCAAUCGAUCCACGAUGACCCAUAUAGCAUCAAACCCCUUUUCCGUCUUCGACAACUUCGUGAUGAAAUCCAUCGCGAUCAGUUCCCACUUCCACAUGGGAAUCUCUAGAGGCUGCAGCUUACCGUGCGGCCUCUGAUGUUCGGCCUUGACCAUCCUACAGGUCAAGCACCUCUCAACAAACCAAGCGAUAUCUCGCUUCAUACCAGGCCACCAAUAACUCGAACUCAAAUCACAGUGCAUCUUGGUGGCUCCCGGGUGAAUACAAAACUGAGACUUAUGAGCCUCCUCCAUCACUGUCUGCCGGACCCCUUCGGACAUCGGAACCCAAACCCGACCGUAACGGGUCAACAAUCCGCGGCUAUCCUGAACAAACCGGGCGCUUUCACCCUUAAUCCUUUCCAACUUCCAGUUCUCCGGCCUCAUACCCUCAAUCUGAGCAUCCCUGACCAAACCCACCAGCGGGGAAUCCACCGUUAUCCUCAUACACUUGGCUGGGGGUAAAGGACCCAACUGAAUUACGGCUCAGAGCAUCCACAACUACGUUCGCUUUACCAGGAUGGUAAAGGAUCUCAUAAUCAUAGUCCUUGACCACAUCCAGCCACCUGCGCUGCCUCAUGUUCAGGUUCGGCUGAUUCAUGAUGUGUCUCAAACUCUUGUGAUCCUUGUAUAUAGUACAACGGACCCCGUACAGAUGGUGCCUCCAAAUCUUGAGAGCGAAGACCACCGCUCCCAACUCAAGAUCUUGCGUGGGGUAUCUCAUCUUGUGCGGCUUCAAAUGACUCGAUGCAUAAGCUAUCACUCAUCCCCUCUGCAUGAGGACUGCCCCCAAAUCUGUGAUGGACGCAUCACAAAAUACCACAAAACCCUCAACUCCCUCGGGGAGUGUCAACACCGGCUGAAUAUACUGUUGAGCCCUAGCUGCCGAACAAAACCCUGAUCCCAACCUGGUGCCCUCACCAUAUGUAGUGACAAAGAACAUGGUUUGGCAUGCGGAAUUAAAGCUUGCACAAUUGAACAUGGUGAUUUGGGUGUUUAAGAGAUAUAUUGAAUGUAUAUGGUGUUACAAAAAGGACUAGAUCUAGACUACAUAAUUAACACACACUUACACACUCACUUCUACAUCUCUCAAGCACACCUCUAUAAGUGGACAAACCCACCUUAUAUAGAGGGGUUUACAUGCCUCUCUCUCACUCUAACAAUCAAAUGGGUCUAAAGGCUAAAGCACCACAUGCAAGUGGGUUUUACAAAAGUCAAACAUUUACAAAGUCAUGAAUGAAGAGCUUUGCACCCCAACAUUCUCCCCCUCAAAGUUAGGAAUGAAUCACCCAUUUCAAAUCUUCCAAAAUCAAGCACUACGCGGUUCGAGCCUCAAAGGUGACACAUGUCGAAACGAACUUCAAUCUUCAAUUCUUCCAUGACUCUUCAAUUUGGGCUCUAGGAUGUGAGACCUUACAAACCGAGCAGCAACGAAUGAUUAAGAGUAUUCCAAACUCCAAAUAAUCACCCAAAAGUUGCGCAUAAAAACACACCCCAAAAAUCUUCAAUAAAACCAAACCCAUUUCGAAUACAUCACUUCCGAACAUCCAAUUACAUCAUCUCGUAGGCUUCAAAACUUCAAGAUCACUUCGGUCUUCAAAUCCGCGUAAUAUGAAAAAUUCAAGUUCGAAUUUCCAUAUAAAACUUCUCCCCCUUUUUAUAAUCGAAAUUUGAUUAUAAAACUCCAAAGGAAAAAGAACGUGCUAUAUUCGGAAUUUUUCAUGUCAAAACUCCCCCUUAACAUGUGGCAUAAACUUUGAGCUUCAAUCCGGAAAACCCAAAAAAUAAUCAAUUUGUUUUUCCAUUGCUGUUCAUUGAUCUUGAAGCCCUUAACAUGUGGAAUUUUUCACGGAUCGCCUUUGACAAAAUUUCUCAAAAAUGGGUAGAAAUUGUCAAUUUCAAAAUUCUGCAGUGACCCGUUGCGCCCAAAACAGCAAAAUAUGCAAAACUCUCCCCCUUUUCCAAAUCUGGGUAGAAAGCGUCAAUUUGCACAAACUGCAGGGGCCUGAAAUGCACAAUCUUCAAAUUUUAGCAAAAAAUAGUCCUUUUUCGAUUUUGGGUGAAAACUGCCAAAAAUUCGAAGUCUGAGGGACCAUUUUCGAAAUUCUGCUCUUUGUUCACAAUUCAUACGAAGAUUCCGCAAAUAUUCGAAGCUCCAAAUUUUUUUUUGAAAUCGGGUGAAAAGUGUCAAAUAUUCAGAAAUUGUGUUAAUGUUCGAAGUGCCAAAAAUUCGAAGGAUCAGGGGCCGUUUUCGAAAACUUGCCAUUUCAUCAAAUCAUACGAAGCCUUUUUCCAUUUGUCAACUAUUCAAAACAAUAAGGGCCAUUUUCAAAAAUUCUAUCUUCCUUCUUUUUAAUUCAUAUGAAGACUUUUUGACAAAACAUAUCAAGCAUACGAAGAGUGACUGUGAACAGUAAUGCACAAUGAUACCCUUCGUAUGUUAACCCAGUUCUUCGUUUUUUUUUUCAUCUAUUACCCUUCGCCUUUUGCAAUCCAUUCAUAUACCCUUCGUUCCAAAAUCAUCAAAAUCAAUAGAUCCUUCGUUCAAACACCCUUCGUAUGAAUCUUUUAACAUCUCUUCGUACAAAUCCAAGUUUUUCCCAAACCAACACCAACUUAGUCUUCGAAAAUUAGUAACCCAAACCAAUUCUUCGCUUUUUGGUGUAAACCAUCUGUUCUUACAGUUCUUCUUCACUUCGUACAUCAAUCACCAAAAACCAAUCCUUCGUUCAUUAACCAUGUAAUGCCCUGUCGUCCAAAUUGAUUUCAUUAAAAUCCAAAUAGGCUUCGCUUUUCCAGUUGAUGCCAAUGAACAAACGUGAUCAACCAUUUGAUUUUACAGUUCACUCUUCGAAUCUUAACCCAAAUCGAUCAUUAACCCUUCGUUUUUUCAGUUUAUCCCAAAACUGAUUCCACUACUUUCAUUCUUCACUUUUCAGUUUAACCCAAAACGAACGAAAUCGUUUCUUUGUUCCUUACAGUUCUUCCCAAACUCAUCGACAUCAAGAACAAACACAUCUAUUCGUUCACUACUUCAAUCGAUAUCAACUUAAUCAACACAAAUCAAGCUUGCAAAAUCACAGAAUGAACGGAAUCAACAAACCAAACUUGAUUAUCAACCAUACGAAAUCAAAAUCAUCAGACUUCUCUAUUUAUGUAAACUCGAUUUUGACUUUUUGGUUGACCCUGACAAACAACAAAACUAUUGAUCUUUAAUCCAAUUUUGGAUCAAACACCCAUUUUUAACAUAAAUCGUAACAUUCUUCAACUGUUCUUCAUCGAGUUCUUGACCGAUUUUAUCAAAAUCAAAAACUAAAUUGUUGACUUCUCAACUACAACUCGAUCAUAAUCGACUGAUAAUUAUCCAAAUCAGAUUCAGUCAAUUCAUAAGUUCAGAAUCGCAAAUCGUUGAUCAACUUUCAUAAGCGAAAAAGAAAACUCAAGAACAUUAUGAUUACAAGUCAAAAUAUGUUUGAGCUGAUUACAAGAACAUUAUGGUACAACCGAUAAAAGCGUACGUACAUAUCAAACAAAGAACAACGAAUUUUAGAAUUAAAUCACAUUGGAUGAAUUUUGGGUUCCAUCAAAGAUAUCGGAUAAAAAAAUAUGUAUGGGCUCAAAUUUAAACAUGAACAGUGACAGAUUCGUACAUUGGAUCAUAAACGAACAAAAUAUUGGGCUGUUGAUAACCACACAUAUCGAAAUUAUCAAAUAAGAGUAUGAAUUGGGCUCCAAGUUCAUUUAUGAACAGUAAGAUGUCAAAAUUUUUGGCUAAAUCAAAAUAAAUGGAUCAUAAUGAAUUUUGAGCUCAAAUCUCGAUUCAAACGAACAACUGUAAAAUCGAGUCGAACAAACAAAUAUGAGAUUGGAUCGGACUUUGAUCAACGAAAAAAUUAUUGGAUCAUAACAAAUGGGUUUUCAAAGAACAUUUGAUCCAAUGAGUCAAACGAUCAAAAAUUAAGAACGCAACGCACGAUUCAAAGAGAUUAAGAGAGAUCAUAGAGAGAGACUCACCAAAAUUGAUCAAAUUACGACAAAAUUUGCCAAACCGGGAAUCAUUCUUCAAAUAUCACCUUGAUCUUGAAGACCCGCUCUGAUACCAAUUGUUGUGACAAAAAUACUACAAGUUCUCCCCCACUUGGGGUUCGAACCCCCACCCGCUAUCCCUCAUAGUCGAUCAUGGCGCCAAAACGGCUAAGCCAAUCCAUCCCUACAAUCCCAUAUACAUCCCCCAUGGGGAUAGGAAUCAAAUCUAUCGGGAAUGACACCCCGAAAAUCUCCAACUCGCAUCCCCGGUAGACCGAAGAAAUAGAAACCCCGUGCUCUUUGGCGAUCGAAACUCGCAACGGGCACUCAAGAUCAUCCAUCGGCACACUAAACCCUCUAGUGAAAGUCUGAGAUACGAAUGACCGACUGGCCCCCGAGUCAAACAAAACCAAAGCAGGCAAAGAAUUUACUAAAAACGUACAUAAUCAUAGGUACAACCAAUAAGUACAACACAAAUACGAUAACUGAGACAGAGAAUAGAAACGUACCAGCAACCAUAUCCGGUGCUGACUUGGCCUCCUUGGUCGUGAGCUGGAAGGCACGACCCUGAGCCUUCGGAGGCUCCAACUUAACUGGCCUCCCGUCUCAAAUCAUUACAGUAGCUGGCACAGAACCCUGCACCGACUUCGCGGCGAGCUGCGGACAACUGGUCUUCACAUGACCAACCUGAUGACAAUGGUAACAAAUCCUCAUAUCUGUGGGAGGGGCGGGCUGAUGGUAGCCCUGGCAUAGUGCCCCUCCUUUCCACAUUUGUGGCACCCACUUCCUGCUCUACAAGUUCCCGAAUGAACCCUGCCACACUUUCCACAAGUGCGGCUCUGCUGACCCACACCGUGUAUCAGCGGUCUUAGCCCGCUUAGGCGCCGGCUGAGACUGUGCCGGUGCCUGACGCUGCUCCUUCAGCUGCUGCUCUAUCUCAACUCACGCUGCCUCGCGGCUUCCUGAAGGUCCCGGAGGGUAUCACAACGCUGUGUAGCCACAAACUGCCAUAUAUCCAUCUUAAGCAUACUCAGAUAACGAGUCAUCUGAGACUGUUCUGACGCAAACUCUGGGCAAAACAUAGCCCUCUCAGUGAACAUCCGGGUGAUCUCCAUCACCGACUCCCCAUCUUGUCUCAAUGUCAAAAACUCCUGAGCAAGCCACUCCCAUUCCACGCGCGGAACGUAGCGGGUGCAAAACAUAUCCCGGAACUGCUCCCAAGUAAUAGCAUCCCACUAAUCAUCAGAAUAUGAACCUGUCUUCAAUCUCCACUAGUCCUUUGCCCCGAGCCUAAGCAGUUUCAGAGCACACCUGACCUUCUGGUCAGCAGGACAUGAGCACGUGAAGAAACAGCCCUCCACGUCAGACAACCACCACAUAGCCCUGAUCGCAUCCUGUGUACCAUCAAAUGUCGGGGGCUUCGUAUUAUCGAAGUCCCGAUACUGGAAAGCCCUGCCGGCUCCUCCUCCAACCCCUGCCGCAGUUACAGCCUAAGUGGCUGCAACGACAGCUAUCUCUGCUAGAGCUGCAUAUCGCUCAACAAAAUACUCAACCAUUGCGGUCUUAAUCGACCCAAACAUCUCUGGCAGCUGUGCUCGGAACAUAGCAACAAUCUUGUCUUGCAUGAUCUCCCGGAUCCUGGCAUCCAACUCCUUGGUCCCUAUUUGUACCACGGGCUUAGGUGCUACCGGCACCUCCAACCCUCAGUCUCCCGACCCCGAUCCUGAUCUUGAUCCAGAAGCAACACGUCUCGUCACCACCAUACUGAAAUAUAUAUACAAGUCAUCAAAUAAAUAACAUAAUGUCGGGAGACCAAAACCCACAAACCCUAGGGGGUGUGAUUUCCUUGCUAAGCAUAUGGGUCCUGUGCUUUAAGUAGUACGGGCCCAUACUACCUUCCACACCUACCCAUAUUUGUCUCAAGUAACACCACAACGCCCUAACAAUAUUAUCAACAUAGAAAUGCGCUCAACCCUCACUUCUAGGGGAAUACCAACUAUCUCGCACCUAGUCUCACCACUUAUCAUGACUCACACAUCCAUGAAACUUCCAUCAUCCCCUGCCGCGCCAGUGCAUGCUAGCUGUACGUAACACUGGAACCAAUAGACUUUCGAAUAUCCAAUCCAACCCAAAGGUCGAAUCAACAUUUUCAGGCUAUAAGGUCUUUAUUAUGAACAACCGUGAUGCAUACACUAAAAAUCUACAGUUAUGAUGUCAAUUCCACAUACAAGAAACCCUAGGCUAAUAGGCAUCAUGUAACUAGGCAAAUCUAUCAUGUGAUUCCUGAAGAUCCCUAGCCUAGCACUAGCAUGCUGUUCUAACAUAUCAUAAUAUCAAAUAACUAUAUGGUAUUUUGGGGUUUACUUACAGGCUCCGGCUGAUCGUACCCUCUACAUCCUCCAUCCUUUAUUUUGAAAACCAUUUCAAAAACUUACUUUCUGAAAAUCUCCUUGAUUUGAGACUGAAUUCACACGAGAGUUCCUCCAAUUCACUCAAACCAAGGCUUUGAUACCAACUUGUAACAUCCAUAAAUUUUACGCCAAAUUUAAACUUUUCAAUCAUAAAUAAAAACCAAAUAGCAUUGUUUACAAAAAUGUUUUCGAAUCAUUAUCCAUCAUAGUGUCACAAAAUCAUAACAUAAGGAUGAGGAGUGGUACGGUCACGCCUUCGCCACUACAAGAAAAAGACCCUUUUACGACGCGCAAGCAACGACACUCGGAGAUUUAUGUUACGCAAAAGAGAGUGACGUUAAAAAAAAUGUUAUCUCUUUAAAAAAUUUAAGAAUUUAGGUUGCACAUUAUUGCGUGCCCUUAAAUUAGUGUCUCAUGUAAAAAAAUUAAAAACACGAAGGGCACUUUAUCUAAAAGGUGCGCCGUCUAUGAAUGUCGUUUUAUAUUUUUUUAAGGAACGCGCUUCUCCUUAGAGGGAAAAUGAAAUCUCCAAAUUUUUUAAACCCCCACCUUCUUCUCCCUCGUCUCCACCCCCUAAUCGAAGCUACCAGUUGAACAACCCCUAAUCCACACCACCACCUUCUCGUCUCUCCUUCUCCACCAGGUUUUCUCUCAUCUCUAUCCUCCACCUUCUGGAUUGUAAAGGCGUCAUUUUAUAAUUCUUUUACCAAACGCACAUCCAUUAUCCUCAAUUACAAAAGGCGUCCAAAUCUAGGGGUUUUUUUUCAAGAAGAAACCAAACGGGAGUGCUCUCUUCAACAUUCGAUACCUCCGCUCGCCCCACCUGCUGGCGACCUUGGUUCUUAUAUCCUCCCAGUUUUUUGCGUUCUUCUUUCAGAAAUUUAAUCGAACAAGAUCUUGUGCCAGGCAGUUAAUCUAACGAUGGCGACAUUUUGAUUUUGAUCUCAAAAUACAUCAAAUACGAGCUUAUGUUGGAACUGAUUACCUAUAUAUCUUUUCCUUUAUGGGAUAAAUACAUCGAAUACGAGUAACAACAACAAUAGUGUUCCAAUCUUGCAUUGAUAUACACACACGGAUAUCGGAGCAUCCUAAUCAGCAAUUGGACCGCUAUUAUAACAGGUGAUAUACAAUUUUUUACGUAGAAGAGCCUCUAGCUUUUGUUAGGUCCAAAAUAAACUAAACAUGGUCAUACUCUUUCCUACAGUUUACAGCUUUAGGGAUUAAUAGCAAGUCGCCCUUUAUCUGAACUAAAAACCGCUGAGGAAGUUGCAGCUGCAACAAAUUCUAAAGACGAAGCCAAUAUUGAAGAAAAUGAAUGGGAAUUUCAUCCGGAUGCAGUGGAAAAACCUUCUAAACCUGUAAGUGAAGGCGUAAUAGAAGCUGAAGAGGUGGAGUCUUAUAUUGCCAUUAGAGAAGAGCUGUACAAGAAGGCUAAAGAAUUUGAUUCAAAGAUUAUUGAUUUUGGGACUGCUAUCAGAAGACCCUACUUGCAUAAGGUUUUUAACAUUUUUUUUGAUAAUGUAUACAGAGGCAACCGGAGAUUCACUUAUUCACUUGAUCUUACUUGUGAACUUUGAAUAUGUGUGGGUCCGAAGGGCUUCAUAUGGACGGAAAAGUGAUAUAGGAUAACGAAAGGAAUAUAACUGUUAACAGUUGAUCAAAAUCAAAAGAUACAAUUGGUAUUCUUUGUUUAGGUUUUGUUACUGCUUAAUAUAUAACUUCUGCAUGUUAAUUGCCACAGAGACGACAACCUUUAGGGUUUGCGUUAAGGUUGAUUGUUACAGAGAUAUGGAAACUUUAAUGAGAAAGCUUAACUGAAGAACUUAUAAAACGACUAGAGUAUAGAGUUUCCUUGGCUGAUGAAUGGAUUAUCUCUAAUUAUGUAGCAGGUACUCCACACUCAAACAAACACUGAUAUAGUUUCGUAGGCUUUCAAGUUUCAAUAUUGUAUUCCUAUUUAACAUACUGAGUCUACUCUUGCAAAAGUUGUGGCGAAUUUUUUUUUCUUCAUGCAACUGUAUCACAAAUAUAGCUAACUGGAAAUAUUAUUAUGAUUAGGUUAUCUAGUUCUUCAUUUAGACCUCUACUUGUAUUGCCUAGUUAAAAUAUAUAACUUUUAGCACUUUUUGUGUUUAUUUGGACUGAUUAGAUGUUACAUGGUUGAGAAUUUGGAACUGCUAUCACCUUUGUAUGGUUACCUUGGUUGUUCACGGUUGUUAUCUUCUAUACAGGUUUAAGAUACAAUCAAUCACCUAUUUACUAUGGGUGAUAGUGAAACAGUUGUUGCUCAAUCAUCAGCUAUCCAAGAGCAUCCAUCAACUACAGUUAAUAGAGAUUUGGCUGCUUCUACAGGUAUCGAUACCAUGGAUGUAGACAAUGUCAUUCCUCAUGAGGAUGAUCGAGCAUCCAUCCAGGUAGUAUCUUACUGCUGCUAUAGCAACCCCCUAUGUUCUUUAGAGUUCUUGGGCAUAAACUUCCUCUUUUUGGUUCAUAUGGUGGCUUUUUUAUAUAUAUUAGUAGAAAACCAUGUUACACAUCACCCAAAAAACAAAAUGAAAAGAAACUGAACAAAAAACUAUGAGUUUUGAUUUAUGUUAUAGAUAAUAACGGGCAUUUGAUUACUUAAUAGUUUUUAGAAUCAGUCGGGAGUCUUUCCAAGAAUUCAGAAAGUUUUCAAGAAUCAAAAGCUACAGAGUCUUCUUUGCACUUUUUGAAUAGCAACUAGCAAAUCCCUUCUAUCUUAAUGUUCUUUAUAUAACUUAUUUGCUGCAUGAAAUCUUUUCUUAAUGCAUAAGAAUUUCAUGCUUUCAGACUUUACUUACAUGGUUGCUUUUUAUAUCAGGCAUCACCCGAACAUUGUUCUAUUGCUUUUUAUCAAGAGGGGUAAGAACUAAGAAUUACUUUCUUAUUUUAUCUUUUUCUGUUAUUUUUUCAAUCUGAUAAUUUAUAUAUAUUUAAAAUGACUUGUGAUAUUAAUUUGUCCAAUAACUUUUGAUGAGCAUGUGCGUAGGGGUAAAACGGGAAGAGGAAAUGCUCGGGAGAUGGGCUUUGAGAGUUUCCUUGACUUUGUUCUAGCCCUGGAAAACAAAGACACUCCAGAGGGAAUUACAUAUCUUUAAUGAUGUUUAGAUCUUAAUGGAAGAGGCUUCUUUACAACAGCUGAUAUUCACACCCUUUUCAGGUAUAACUAAUUAUUAUUAGGAAAUAGGAAAUUGAAAAUUGGAAGUAAAGGAGGGGAGCAUUUAAAGUUUAAAUGUUGCCUGAUAUACCCUUCCUACAACAAAAAAUAAAAAUGAAAAAUCUCUGCUUUUCCUACUUGUUGCACGCGAGACACGUCUGCAAGCCUCUUGACUAUGAGAUACAUAUUUUCACCAUAUAUUAGUAAUAAAAAAAUAAAAAAAUGAUUUGAUAAUUGAUUGGUACACUACACUACAGGGAUGUGCACCAAAAUUAAAUUUAUUUACUAUUAGUGGAAUUCAAGAUAUGUACAGGAGUGUUUGUUGCCUUUAUAAUUGGUACAAUGCUAACAUGGAGGACCUUGGCAUUGACAGGUUUUAAAUUAGUCUAAAUUAUAUUUAUUUACUACUAGUGGCAUUCUUAUGGAUAAAGAAAAUAAAAGGUGAUGAAUUCUAGUGUUCUGUUUGCAGGAUUAAUCCCUUGUGCUGUUCUAUUAGUGGGACUUUUCUUUGUACCAGAAUCUCCUAGAUGGCUGGUAUGUGAAGUAUCAUGAUUCAUGAAGCUGUUUAAUUUAUCUUCAAGAAAUUAUGUUUGACAUCAUGCAUGCAGGCAAAGAUUGGAAGAAAGAAAGAGUUUGAUGCAGCCCUAAGAAAACUUAGAGGGAAGGAUGCUGAUAUAUCUGAGGAGGCGGAUGAAAUCCAGGUGUUCAUUUCAAAGCUCUCAACUUUUUUUCUUAUUUUUGUUAACGAAUAAAAAUUAUAGAAUUCUUUUUAUGUGUUAUCAAUGGGGUCUUGAAUAUGUUGAUAGGAUUAUAUAGAAACACUACAAAAGCUCCCGAAGGCCAAAAUAUUCGAUUUGUUUUAGAGAAGAUAUUUGCGAUCUGUCACUGUAAGUUUAUUUUCUUGAUAACUCUUGUUGGCUACUUUAAAAAAAAGAUUUUUAUAAUUGUAGUCCGAAUCUUGUUUUGACCAUACAUGGUACUUUUUUUUUUUUUCUGUAAUUGUAGUCUGAAUCUUGUUGGCUACUUUAAAAAAAGAUUUUUCUAACUUGCUCCUGGACGUGAUUGUGCUAUUGAGUUUGAUCUUGGAAGUGGAAGCUAUAAUGUAACUUGCUAUUGCUCAUACAACUUUUGUUGGAAUGUGAGUAUCAUAAUUCAUGCAUUUUUAUAAAAGUUUAAAAUAUUAGUUUAUGUUUUUUCUAUAUAAAAGAUAAAAUAUUUUUGUUGCUAUUGUUGUAGUGUACAAAAGAAACUCAUCGCCUUGUGGACUGUGAAACUGUGUCCAAAUGGAUUAUGAAGAAAAGUGCAGAGUCUGAAAAUAUGAAUUGGUAAAGGUCUAAAUUGCCCCUUGGCAGGUAUGCUGAUCGAAUUGCUAAUGCUAAAUGGGAAGUUAAAGAACAUGGAAUGGAACGCAAAGGUGAUUAUUUUUAAUUUUAGCACCAAAUAUUUUAAAAUAUCAUUUUUUUUAUGUUAAAUCAUAACUAUAACUCAAGGUGCUAUAUCUUUUAUCUGUUGUUUGUAAUGUUGAUAUGAUAACAUUAGUUAAUAACAUAUUUAUAUAACAACUCUAUCAGUUAGCUAAAACUGAUUAUGUCAUUAAUAUAUUAAAUUUCAUAAUUAUUAUUUAUUACAUUAAUGCUUUUAAUAUGUUCUUUAGUUGCUUACACCAUCAGUUCUCAAUGGUCGAUUAGUUAAUGCCCACCAACAUCUCCUAGCACUAAGGAUAUCAGAUUAUCUUGGAAUACACCAAGUUCUGUGAUAUUUUCAAUACCAAUCAUAAGGAGGAAUUACAAUAUGGUGUUAUGGAAGGAGUCAAUCUCUUAGGGAAGUAAUGGAGCCAAAAGAAGGUAGUCUACUCUAGGUGCAGUUUGUUAUUAUUCUAUUGGUGAUUUGAAGCAUGGAGUUGAUUCCUCCUGCAAGUGAAGUUACUUAGUUGGAAUUUGAUGUACAUAGUAGAUUAGAUGCAAAUUUAUUUAUUGUAAGAAAUAGAAUUGUAUGACAUUAAAUUUAAGCAAUGGAUUCUAUUUUUUGUAUAUAAUAUUUUAUUUUCAGUUAUGAAACAUUAAAUACAAAUUUAAUUAGAAAAUAAGUAAACCUAUAAAGAUUUUUUUUAAACAUUUAAAAUUAUGAUACGCAAAAAUGUGUGUCAUCUUCAUUUAUGACAUGGCCUUUCUUGACAGGGGCUUUCUUAAUACGCAUUACGUGUCAUUAACACGCGCGGCGUAAGGUUACGACACGCGAAUGCGUGUCAUCUUCCUUUAUGACAGGGUCUUCCUUGAUACGCAUUGCGUGUCGUAAACGCACGUCGUAAUUGCGCGUCGUAAAUGAGCGUCGUAAAUGCGCGUCGUCUAUAAACGACGCGCAAAAGCGCGUCGUCUCUCUUUAUGACAGGGCCUUCCUUGACACGCAUUUGCGCGUCGUCUGAGCCUUUUACGACGCGCAAUGAGCGUCGUAAAAGGCUGUUUUUCUAGUAGUGCGCCCUAGCGGCAUAUCACACACACUCUUGUUUCCGCAGUUAUGAGUUCAUUAUGGGAUUGAUACUUUGAUAUUUUGGUUGUUUACAUGUUGUGGAUUUCAAAUUUGGGUUUUCGAUGUGAAAUGGUUUAAUUGAACAAUGUUUUNGGCCAUCGGCCUGACUGGACCGCCCUGCGGGGCCUACAGUCUAUCUGGAUCUAUCCCGAGCCUUCGGCAUGACUGGUUCGCCACGUGGGCCUACAGUCUCCCCGGACCGCUCAUAGGGUGUGUGGGCCUUCAACACAAAACAGGAUCGCCUCAACCCAACCAAAAACAAAUAACUAUGUGCGCAUAACUAUCAUAUACUGGCAUAUACAAACAUCAAGCAUAUCUAUCACUGGUCAUCAAUCAUAGAAUUCUCUCAUAACUAGAGUACCGUCCUAGCAGGUCACUAACAUACCAAUCCCUACGGAUCAUAAGAGCAUAGCAUACUGUCUACCCUGAUUCCGAUCUAACAGAUCAUAACCACAUAUAGCAUACCAUAACAAUAACAACUAAAGGGUCGGCCUUGGUGCCGUAGACCCUAUCGAUAUAGUGAGGGUAACUCACCUCAGAGAUGUCGACUCGGAAAGUAAACUCCAACUCCCGGAUCACUUGACACAAGCCCCACUACCUAUAGCACAAUAUACUCGUAAGUCCUUAACCUUAUAAGGUACUCCAUAACCUACUAGUCAACCCCUGAUCAAAGUCAAAGUCCUUAGUCAAGGUCAACAAUCCAUGUUGACCUCGACUCGUCGAGUUCCUUGAAACACAUUCCAACUCGCCGAGUCAUCAGGGUGACUCGUCGAGUUCCUUUGAUUCUCGAUGAAACUUUAAGGCCACCCGUCGAGUUCCCUCCUUGCAACUUGACGAAUACACACGCAUACAUAUCCAGGAGAAAACUCAUCCGCCUCGCCGAGUUGUUCUUCAACUCGUCGAGUCUAUGGAAAUCAUCAUCGGACUCUCCGAGUUGUUCAUCCAACUCGUCGAGUUCACAACCAUCUUUAUGUGACUCGCCGAGUCCAUUCAGUCCUUUUCCCAUACAGACCUAUUUUGAGUCAUGCAACGGCUCCAACUCACAGAUCCAAGCUUCUAGGGCAUGCUCAAAAGGGACCUUAAUCACGAGGCGAUCCUGUUUUGUGUUGAAGGCCAAGUUUCUAGGGCAUGCUCAAUAGGGACCUAUUUUGAGUCAUGCAAACUUUACGUGCAUGCAUGGCUUUAUAGGCUCCAAAUGCCAAAUCUAAGCUCUUAAUGGGGCUUCAUGCUCAAUAGGGACCUUAAUCACGAUCAAAACUGUAACUUUAUGUUUCUAGAAUCCAAAGAGGGUCCGAUCUGAAGUUACAACUUCAAAUCUAGCCCAUAGCUCAUCAUACCAACUUGAUAUUCCAAGAAAACCCUAAAACUCAACCAAUAGAGGAAAUUUAUAAGGAAAAUGACGGUUUGGGUACGUCUGGAAGAUUAUAUCUGAGAUAAGUAUUGAUUUCCACACUCUAAAUGCUCCAAUCUCCUUCUCCUCCACGUCUUCUCCUUCCAAAGAUCCUCUUUUCAAGCUUCAAACACACACAAGGCACCACACACGAAUAAGGGAUCUCAAGGACUCUUUAGAACUGUAAAGAGGUCCAAGGGAGGCUAAGGCCCCUUUAAAUAGGGGUACAAACCCCGAGAUUUAGGUUUUCAUCUGCCUGCUCCUACUCGCCGAGUCCCAAUAUGGACUCGUCGAGUAGGUCACUUAACACGGGAUCCCACCCCCGCUGCUACUCGACGAGUAGGGCAACCUACUCGUCGGGUAGAGCUUAACCCAAUACAUCUUAUUUAAAACAAUACCUGAGAAUUGGGGCAUUACACAAUAACGCGUCCUUUAGAUAAGGGAUCAUGUAGUCCUCCAUUCUCAAGAUAUCGUGUGGACAAAGACAUGGAAUAAAGUCAUACUCAUUGUCUAAUAGUUUGUUUCCCGAUUUCUGAUUUGUUUGACAUAGAAAUUAAUUAAACACAUCAAUUUAUUCCUGACCGGGCCCAACACAUAAGUCAACACAAAAUCAUCGAGGGGCCCAAUAUAUCGCUUUUAAUCCUCUUAGGAUAAAAGGAAGAGAUAAUCUUUGACUUAUAUUCUUGUAGUAUUUACUUCUUAAAUCGUACAAAAUAAUACGUUUAAUAACAUCAAGUUAUUGAUGCGUUUACACACUAUCAAUGCACAACCAACUUGUAAACAAUAACUAAUAUAUCUCGGUUUAAAGACUAUGCUAUUAUCGUCUCACAAUCAUUCAUGAUAAAUUCCAUCAAGUGAUUCAUAUGAGCUUGGGUUUAAUCUAAUACUCAAAUAUUAUUUCAGGAGCACUCAUGAACAUUGCAACAAACCUUUGCUAUGUCCAAACACUUAUACAAUCUACAAACCAAUUCAUGAUAGUCUAACCUCAUAGCCUACUUCCAAAGUAUGAUCGACUGCGGAUAAUUCGAAUAAUCCUAUUAUUCUGGAAGUCAAAACAUGAAAAAGUGAAACAAUAGUAAACAAUUUACACAAGAUAGUAACUUUACUCAUAAAAAAAAACCUCUUUAUUUAAUCAUCAAAUGUCAAUUACAUUUUAUCUAUUACAAGUUUCUAAACAAUUAUCUAACCACUGAAACUAAUAUCAUCCUUUAGACCAAUGCUCCUCACAUGCUGUAAGUGCUUAACCCUGCUUAGACCCUUUGUGAGGGGAUCUACUGGAUUCUCCUCUGACGAUACCCUCUUGAACACGAGGAGUCCCUCCUCUACCUGAUGUUUGAAGAAGUGGUAUUUUCUGUCGAUGUGUAUGGAUCUACCAUGAUCCCUUGGUUCCUUGGUUAACGCAACUGCUCCUUCGUUAUCAUAGAAAAUUUCCAUAUGCUCCUUUAUGGCUGAUACAACUCCAAGGUCUCUGAUGAAGUUCUUCAACCAUAUUGCCUCCUUCGAUGCUUCGCUCGCUGCUAUGUACUCUGAUUUGCACAUUGAAUCAUCUACAGUCUCCUGCUUGGAACUUUUCCAAGUCACUGCUCCUCCAUUCAGGGUAAAUACCUAGCCCGACUGAGAGUGGAAGUUAUUUCUGUCGGUCUGAAAACUAGCAUCACUAUACCCUAUCACUCUCAAAUUUUCACUUCCACCAAUUACAAGGACCCAAUCCUUCGUCCUUCGUAGAUACUUAAGAAUGUUCUUUACUGUUAUCCAGUGAGCUCUACCAGGGUUCCUUUGAUAUUGACUAACCAUGCUCAAAGUAAAAGCCACAUCAAAACGAGUAGACGUCAUAGCGUACAUGAUCUAGCCAACGACAAAAGCAUAUGGUACUCGACUAAUUUCCACUAUCUCGGCAUCGGUACUCGAACUUUGAGUCUUACUCAAUUUUGUAUUGCCCUGGAUUGGUAACUCCCUUUCUUGGAAUUCUCCAUGCUAAAACACUUUAUCCAAGUAAGUACUUUGACUAAGUCCUAUUAGUCUCUUACUCGUAUUUCUCAAUAUCCUUAUCCCUAGAAUAUAAGCAACCUCUCUGAGGUCCUUCAUAGCGAAACACUUCCCAAGCCAGGGCUUAACCUCUUGCAAAGUUGGGAUGUCGUUUUCUAUGAGUAGUAUGUCAUCCACAUACAAUACCAAGAAGCUAACUAUACUCCUACUAGCUUUGACAUGCACGCAGGACUCAUCCUCGCUUCUUGAAAAACCAAACUCUUUGACUUUCUCAUCGAAACAAAGAUCCAUCUGCGAGAUGCUUGUUUCAAUCCAUAAAUGGAUUUCUCAAGCUUGCACACUUAGUUUCGGUACUUUGCAUCCACAAAACCCUCUGGCUAAUUCAUGUAAACAUCCUCAGCCAACUUUCCAUUAAGGAAAGCAAUUUUGACGUCCAUCUGCCAAAUUUCAUAAUCAUGAAACACAACUAUGACUAGCAUAACUCUUAUAGAAUUGAUGUUGGUCACUGGUGAGAAGGUGUCGUGAUAGUCAACUCCCGAAGUUUGAGUGAAACCCUUCGUAGCUAGUCGUGCCUUGAAUGUGUCCACUUUCCCAUCCGUGUCGGUCUUUUUCUUGAAGAUCCACUUACACCCGACCGUCUUACUACCUGUUAUAUUGUUAACCAAGUUCCUAACUUGAUUUUCAUACAUGGACUGAAUCUCGUUGUCCAUCGUCUCUUUCCAUUUUGCAUACUCUGGGCCUGCCAUGGCUCUCUUGUAGUUGUUAGGUUCAUCCAUAUUUAUUAGUGUACUAUCACUAAUAAACAUAUCACCUCAGCAGUUAUAUGGAAACCAUAUAACACGGGCGGAUCACUAACUCUAGUGGAACGUCUAAGAGGUAAGGACUCGUCGAGUCCCACUAUGGACUCGUCGAGUUCAUCUGUCAGGGGCCAGAAAUCGAUUAUUUUCAGCUUUGAACAAUUAACCAUGACAUCAAAUACAACAUAAAAACAGCCUAGGCUCUGAUACUACUGAUGGUUUUUGAGCACUACAACAUUCCUAUGGUGUACAUGCAACCCUAAUGCUUCGUAUCUAUGUUUUUUUCAAGUUAUAUAUGCAAAUCAAAUCAUCCAAAGCAUGAACCCUAACUAGCAUAAAAAUUUGGAAAUUUGUAACAUAAAACAUAGUUAGAAGAAUACUUUUUCCUUGUAGCUUGUUGAUCUUGACCUUCAUGAGCUUAGUGCCUUAAUUCUUGCACCUCGAUUGAGUCACAAACACCAAGUAGCAAGUUGGAAGAAUAUGAGAGAGGCUAGGAGGCUCAAAAUCGUCUAGGGUAUUCUCUUAGAAGCAAGUGGUUGAUUCCAAGGUGUCAUCGGGUCUUUAUAUAGAUGUGCAAUUAGGGUAUUUGAUUGAAACCCUCAUUCUCUGCUUAGGCCUUAAGUAAUCUAGUAGAUCCUUCCAGAAGGUCUCUUAUGGACAAAAUCUAUGUGGGCUAUAUAUAGGAUUUCAUCCAUCCCUUCUUAGGGAUCCACAAGCCCAAGUUUGCAACUAGCAUAUAAUUGCAAUAUCAGUCCCCAUAAUUUAAUCAGUCUCUUUUGAUCACAAAAAUAAUUCCAAAUCAAUUCCUGAUCAAUACUAAUUAAAUAAUAUGAUUUCUCAAUCAAUAUAUCAUUCUUAUAAUAUAUUAAUAAAUCAAAAUUAACCUCUUUCUCCAUAAUUCAUCCAGUCAAGUUGCUAUGGUGAAGGCAACCCAAAUGAACCAUGCUACUAUUAGGUCAAGUACAUACCAAUUAUAGUUAUGGGCUUAGACACCUAAUCCAACACGGGCUCCUUAGAGCUUUCAGGUCUCUCCUUGUCUCGGGUACAAGUCUUGUGCUUUUAGUAGUACGGGCCCAAUACUACCUUCCACACCUACCUGUACAUUCCCCCAAGGCCAUACCUGAUACCUCUAAUUCACCAAAACAUAGAUAAAACAUGACAUACGAAACACAACACAUAUCCUAGAAUCCUUGGGGAUUUCUCAAUCCUCAUAGAACCAGAAGUCUCAAUCAACACCGCAGGUUGCCUUAUGCAUGCAAGUUAUACAUACAUAUAAUCACAUAGACUGUCAAGUGAAGUUUCUACCCUAAGACCAAAAUGAAGCAAGGAACAAGAAGUAAGGAAGAAUCCAUCGUUCUAGGGCUAUGAAAUCCUACACGUAUACAACUUUGAAAGAAUACACUUAGCAAAUAACAAAGACAACAUCGAUUUCAAGCAUUAUAUUCAUAGCAUUGAAUUCUAGCUAGUAGGCUACAAGGCAUCACACAAAUCAGACAAUUCUCAUAACUCCUGAAGGUAUCCUUAGCCCUAUUCUAGCAUGCAUUUCACACAUUAACAUACUGGUUGUAAUUCAUAAGCUUGGUUAAAUUUUUGGAAACACUUACUUGAGCUUGGCCGAUUGCGUGCAUUGCACUCUCCCUUUUUACUUAAGAAAACCGGUUUAAGAAAAAAUUUACUUUUGUUUAUUUUUUAAAAAGGGUUACCAUUUCCUUAGUUUGAGUUCUGACACACCUUCGAGUGUGGCCGAAUUUCUCAAACCAAGGCUAUGAUAGCAACUUGUAACAAUCCAAAAAUCUAGAUAAAAAUUUUCAUUUUUUUAAAAAUAGAAAUUACAAUCAUAAUUUGUUUAUGAAAAUCCAUUACAUGAUUUCAUAUCAAAAUAUCAGAGUAUCGCUAUCGAUAAAUGAGGAAAUUCUUGGGAGUGAUGUUGCGCCAUCAAGCUGGUCCAUUCCCAUCAAUACCAGAAGUACCUAAAAACACCCAAAUAAACUAUAAGCAAAAUGUAACAUCCCAAAAAUACAGGCAAAAAAUUUCAUUUUUAAAUACAUUAUUAUAACACCAGCAGUAUAAUAAGACAUCCAUAAUAUCAUGUCAUGUCAAAACUAAAGUAGAAAUAAUCAAAACAUGUUAUAAUAAAACAAUAUCAAGGUGUAAUCUCAAAGAUCUCAUGUGCGGAAAACCAUAGCGUGAUGCACUGUGAUCAAGCCGACUCCUUUCCUUUAAAAACGAGUACCUGAAACCAAAACUGUAAACCGUAAGCAUGAAGCUUAGUGAGUUACCCCAUCAUACCACAUACCAUACAACAUACAUGCUACGAAGCAUAUCUGGGUGUUGACAUACCCCUUUGGUAACUUUAACCGAUAUCCGGGGACUGUUUCACCCCUAUCACUACCACAUAAUAACAUAGCAUAACAUAUAUAAAUAUACUGUCAUGCAUAUAUGGGUGCCCGACCUACCCCUUCGGUAUCUUUCAACCGGUAACCGGGAGCUAACCUCCCCAUCGGUAUCUUUCAACCGGUAACCGGGAGCUAACUACCCCUUCGGUAUCUUUCAACCGGUAACUGGGGACUAUUUCACCCCUACCACUACCACAUAAUAACACAACAUAAUGUACUGCAAGGCAUGCAUGGGUUCUGACGAUCCCUUCGGUAUCUUUCAACCGGUAUCCGGGGACUAAUAUUUCACCCCUAAUACUACUAACUCAUAUAACAUAGCAUCCUAGAACAUAGAGCAUAUCAGAUAGUUGUAAACUAGACAAUUAUCACAAAGACAAUCAUCUCAUACAUAGUCACCUACUAGUGGGUCAGCAUUGGUGCCUUAGACUGUCACACCCCAAAACCGAGAACGGCGGAAAUGUUCUGGGGCGGAGGACGUCAUGUAUAAUAUCAACAACAAUGUAAAGUAGUAAACAAGCAACAACAUCAUCCAUUGCAUUAAUAAAAUAAUUAUUAUACAAUUGUAUUCUGUCAAAUUUUGAUAAACACUAAAGCAUAAAUCAAAAUGAAAGAUAAGUCUUGAACAAGCUCCAUCUUCCUUUCUCCUUGCAUCGGUACCUGUCUAUGAUGACCUGAGGAUACAAGUAAUUUUGAAAGCGAGUAUCAGCUUUAAAGCUGGUGAGUUCAUAAGUAUAUAAGUGUCAUUGCCUUGUUUGUGAAAAGCUGUUAUGAAGGCCAUGAAAACCUUUAAAUGAAAAUGUUGAGGUAAGUAUGAAAUCCCUAGAAAAAACCCUUAUUUUCUAUAAGUAUGAAAUGUAGUCUUCUACUAAGACCCGAAUGUUCUGUACGUAUGAAGUGUAGUCUUCUACCAAGACCCGAAUGUUUUGUAAGUAUGAAGUGUAGUCUUCUACCAAGAACCGAAUGUUCUGUUUGUAAAAUGAUAGUUUUCCCUUUGUAUUGACUAGUACUAAAAGUGCUUAGUCUAACUCAUCGUCUAUGUGAAUGCAUCACAAAAUAAAGUAAACAGGAAAAUGUACUACUGUAAGUGUUGUCACUGGGUACUAGGACCAACACAGCCUAGGUAAAUAUUAUCCCGAGGUACUAGGGUUAACACUACCUAAAAAUAAAGUAAACAGGAAAAUGUACUACUGUAAGUGUUGUCACUGGGUACUAGGACCAACACAGCCUAGGUAAAUAUUAUCCCGAGGUACUAGGGUUAACACUACCUAAAAAUAAAGUAAACAGGAAAAUGUACUACUGUAAGUGUUGUCACUGGGUACUAGGACCAACACAGCCUAGGUAAAUAUUAUCCCGAGGUACUAGGGUUAACACUACCUAAAAAUAAAGUAAACAGGAAAAUGUACUACUGUAAGUGUUGUCACUGGGUACUAGGACCAACACAACAUCGCAUUAAGCGAAAUGUAUAACCUAAUGAACAUCCGAAGAUUGUCCAAUUGUCCUCUGUAGCAGCAGCAGGUGGGUGGAAGGGUUAGUCCCAAAUCGAUCUUCCUAAUAUAAGUAGUAACCUUAGACCUCCGUAGAUGGUCAUCGACCACUGGUGCUAAUCAGUGGGGUUCGGAAUGGUGAGUCCCGCCUAGAUAUCCCAUUGAACCGGGAUAGGAAAGAUAAUUUACACAGAAAGUACUAAUAAAUUAUCCUCUUAGUUCUAAGUACAAGUAUCCAGGUAAGUGAAUACAGGAUAAUGCACCUAUGUAAAAGUGUUCCUGUAUGGCAUUCAUGUAUGUGCGUCCAUGUAACAGGUAAGUAUAUGUGAACAUAUUCAUGUAUCAGGUAAGCAUCUGUAAGUACUCAUGUAUCAGGAAAUGUACUAGUAUAGACUCAUGAAUGAACUGACUCUUGUGUGAUUCUUUGUAAUAGAAAUAAUGUUUGAUAUCUUCAAAUUAUCCCUAUGAUAAUUUACUGUAAUAUAACUGGAUGAUCAUGUAGGUUUAUACACUCUUACUACUCAAGGGUGUGGGAAACUAAAUGAAAGAUGUAAACUAUAAACUCAAUACAUAUAUAAGAAUAUAAGUGUAUAUGCAUAGUUUAGUUCAAGAAUGUAAAAAUGGUUUUGUAAGACCUCUUAUGGGUUUUGAACAAUAAUUAACAAUGACUUGAUGUCAUUUUAAUAAACAUUUCAAAGGUAAAACAUUUGGUAACAAUGUGUUUUUAAUAUGUAAAACCAUUUCAUGCAUCACAUUUUGUAGCAUGUGAAAUCCGUUAAAUGACAAACAUAGUUAUAAAAUGCAUAUCAAUGAUUCAAUAACAUGUAUGUUUCUACUUGUAUUCCCCCCAUUAAAGCAUUUAAAAUCAUUUAAAAUAUUGAUUAGGGGUAUGAACUCACUUGAUUGAAGUGGUUGAUUUGAAAUAGUCCAGAGAAGAAUCAAGCAGAACUUCGACAGGAAGAGCUGAAAACGCGGGAAAAUCUCAGGAUUCUCGGGAAUCUCGGGAAUCUCGAGAACACAAAACCUUCCUUCGGGACUUGAAGGUGAAAACCGGGGCUUUGGGAGGGUCUCGGGGGCUUAAACGCAGAGUUUCGGCGCGAGAAAGAAAGGAACUGAGCAAUGGAACUCGGAGCCCUUGAAAUCUAUUUAUAGGGGCAUUUUUGGGGUGUGCCACGUCGUGGCAAGUGAUGGCCACGUCGUGGGGAGUCAAACCUAUCCUCUUCCAUUGAUUGGACGCCCUCAGUCACUUGCCGGGUCGCGGCAAGCUUGUGCCACGUCGUGGGGCCUGACAGCAUCGGAUUUUGGGCCCCGAACUUGUAAAAUCCAUAACUUUCGCAUACGAGCUCCGUUUUCGACGUUCUUUAUAUGCACACAUAGCUAAAAAUAUGAUCUACAAAUCUCGUUUAGACUUCAAUUGCAAAUUUUGACUUUAUUUUUAAUUAUUUAUUUUUAACGGGUCGGGACACGAAAAGUCUGUUAAAAAUCCAUAACUUCUUCAUCCGGUGUCCGUUUUCGUCAGACUUUUCGCCGUUGCGCUACUAAUGUUGAGACCUUAGAUUCUCAUUUAGGUUGUUUUGGCACNUUUGGUCAAAAGUAUCUCGAGCUCUAUUUCGAGUUUUUAGCUGUCUACUGCUAUACUCGAAUCUUGGAAAAAUCAUAACUUUCUCAUACGAAGUCAGAUUUGGACGUUCUUUUUAUGUACGCUCACGGUUUGAGGUUAUCUAUAACUUUCAUUUAGAUACUUAAGGCUAAAAACUAUUGUAUUGAAACUUCGCGUUUUUCGUUUAAUCGGUGUUGUCGGUUUUGCCGAGAAUCUUCGGUUGGUCAUAACUUCUUCGUUAUAACUCGAAUUUUAGGGUUCUUUAUAUGUACUAAAACCUUGAUACGAUUCCUACUACUUUAUUUAACCCAAAUAAGAUUUUAGGAAAGUUAUAUUUUGACCUAAAUUUGAUUGGUUUUACAUUUCAUUGUCUCGAAAUAUCGGGUUGUCACAUAGACCCACCUCUACUGGAAGGUAAUUCACCUCGAAUGCAGAAGCUUCCUAAAGAAAUUCUUAUUGCUGCCCUGCCCACUUCCCGAGCUAUCAAUACCAAUCAAUAUACCAAAUUAGCAAUUGGUUCCCAUACCAAAAUCCUUAAUCCAUGCAUGGGAUAAAAUGACCAUUCUACCUAUGGCCCAGUAUGAUCCGGAAUUAUGGCCAUAACCCAAACAAAAGCCCAACACUAUAAUGUCCAUAAUACAAUCAAUGGCCCAAUUUUCUAAAUUGGGCCCAAACCUCUACGUGAGUCUUGCCAUGAGGCCCAAUCAUUCUUUCCAGUCCAAUACACCUCAUAUUCUGAUGGCCCAAUAAUAAUCCAAACAUUUAAACCCAAAAUGCUAAAACUCACUCAUGGCAUGGUCCAUGGACUAGUUUUCCAAAUUGGGCCCAAGACUUUAGUGGGCCUCUACAAAUAAAAUAUCAACCCCAAAACUGAUGGCCCAAUAGCGCCCAAAACAACAAGCCCAAAAGAUGGCCCAAACUGAAGCCUAAAAACCAAAGUCCCAUUCUGCUGAGUACGCGGGGCGUACUCAGCUUGUACGCUAAGCGUACUGGCUUAAGGGCUUGUACGCUACAUGUAGACGCUUGUACGGCCAGCGUACUCCUCCUGUUGACCAACUCUCAAUCCUAGCUCUUAAUCCAUUAAGCCAAGACGUCCAAAACCUCAAAAUGGCUUAAUAUAAGUGACUUGACCCGUAAAGUCGAAUGCUUUAAGCCUUUGCAUGGCUUAUUUAAUCCCAAACACUAAAGAUGAAUUCCAAAAGGUCAAAAUCACUCCCAAAAUGUCUUAGAACUUCUUAAUACCUUAAGACCUCAGUCCAAACUUCCAGAUCUGAUUUCAAGGGACUUCUUAAGUCAUAAAUUUUCCAACUUUAUGACUUAGCAUAACUCAAUGGGGCCUAAAUCUAAAACCUAAGUUCCAAACUUCAUUAAAUGAAUACCAAAUCAUGCAUGGAAGGUUUAUACCUCUCAAGAUCUAGACUUUAUGACUCCAUAACCUCAGUAAGGACCAAAUAAGAGGCUCAAAGGUUCUGGAGUAACUUCUACUCACAAGAACCACCUCAAAGGGACCAAAAAAACAUAACAACGUACCAUUUUGCUAGAUCUACAUGAAAAAGUUGUCAAUGUUGAGACUCUAUACCUUCAGAAGAUAGAUCUAGGUGCACAAAGCUUGGAUUCAAAAGCUCCAAGUCAAACAAUGACUCUUCAAGAAGUUCCUUCUUCCUCCUCUAGCACCAAAACACACCAAAAAUCACUUUGAAGCUCUAAAAUUACUCAAAUGGGGGCUAAGGGUCGAUUUCUAGGGUUUGGAGGGAUGGAGGAUGAAGGUAUUAGGGUUAGGUUAUGAGAUAAGGAGCUUAAAUAUGCUCCAAGACCCUAAAAUAGGGUUUUGAUCUAACUGGCGUACGCUCAACGUAAUUAUGGUACACCCGACGUACUCCAAAGAACAUUCGCGACCAUCCUGGUCAGUAUGUCCAGCGUACUCUAAGGUACGUCCAACGUAUUGCCUUCUUCACUAGUACGCCCUGCGUACUCUUUGUGUACGCCAUGCGUACUCGGCUAACCCUGAAAACCAUGAAACUUCUGAAGGCCAUAACUUCUUCGUUAUAAGCCCGAUUCCAAUGAUCCUUAUAUCCACGGAAAGGUGACGAGAAACUCUAUGCAUCCAUCAACUUAUUCUCACCUCAAAACCUUCUGAAAAAAAAAUCCAAAAUUUAUAAAGAUCUUCAACUACCACUUUACCGAUAUACCCCUUGGCUCCAAAACACGAACCGAACACCCGAAUCACUUAUAAUACAUCACCUGCACCCAAAUGGGCCUAGAUACUACCUUUUCAAAAGCCCUAAUACUUUUGAUGACCAGCCUUCAGGCCACAUCGUUAGACUAGAAGUCAAUCCGGAACAGGGCGUUACAUAAAAGCUUAGUGAGUUCCCAAAAUACAACAUAACAUAUAACCACAGAAUACCACGCUAUAUACAUAAGAUUGCCAUAGGAAACCCCUAUGGUCUUUACCUGGAAUGCCAUGGGCUACCCCCAUGGCCUGAUAUCCAAGUUCCAUGUGCUACCCCCUUGGUCUUUACUUGGAAUGCCAUGGGCUACCCCUAUGGUCUUCACACAAGUGCCACGGGCUACCCCUGGGGUCUUCAAAUAAUGAAUUCAUAACAACUAUCAAUGCACAUGUCAAACAAUGGGCCGAAAUUAGUGCCUUCGACCCAUUGAUAUAGUGAGAAGACUCACCUCAGACUGCUGAUAAAAAUACUACUCGGCUAUCGGUCCAGAUAUCUCACACUGAAUAUACACAAGUUAACCUAAUUAGAAUUAAGUCACAAACUCAAGGCAUAGGCCAAAACCCUAAUUACAAACUCCUCCAAUAAGGCCCAAAAGCCUUUCUCCUUUAAUGGGCCUAACAUCCAAGCUCCAAAACAAUUAUAGGCCAUAAGGCCCAAAAGGCCCAAACAUGCCACCUAUGGUCCAACAACAAGUUUAAAGGCCCAAAUACUCUAAUAGAUCCAGGCCCAAGGCUAAGUAGGGCCCAAAUGGAUCAAAGGCCCAACAAUAGCCUAAAACUCACUGGAAGCAUACGCCCAAUGUACAACAUAUAUACGCUUAGCGUACUGGGUUAUUUGGUGGUACACACAGUGUAAAAGCUAGUACGUCCAACGUACAAGCUGCUUUGCACAAAUAGCCAUUAAGUGCUUACUUCAUGAAGCCGCUUCGUCCGAUUCCAAAUCUUGGUCAUCAUAAAGGUUGUAGGGCAAAAAUUUUGUAACUUUAUGCCUUUGAAUGCCAUAUGGGAACCUAACACCUCGUUUUAUCCUUUAAGACUCCCUUUAAGAUCUUAAACUCAUGCAUGGUGUCAAAACAACCAUCAAGUUAACAUUUUUAUGGUUUUAACAUGCCAAAGGAACUCAAAUCAAACAUUUCUAACCUCUGGAGUUGCUCAAACUCACAAAAGAGGAUCCAUGGACCAAAAAUGGACUUAUUACCAAACCCUAACUCAAACUAGCGAAAGGAUAAGCAAGGUCUGGACUUUUUACCUCCAAAAGUUCCGCAAGAUGAAAUAGAUGCAGGAUCUAGAAGCUCAACCACGUAUAAGACUUGAUCACAACCUUCUCCUUCUUGCAAACACACUAAAAUAGCCACCAAAAUCACUUUUAAUAUCACGAAUCACACUCACUUGCAAAUUAAGGUUUAGGUAUGAUAAGAGGCAAUAGAAGUUGUUUAGGGUUAGGUCUAAAUGGCAUAAGAGUGUUAAAAUGGGGCUAAAAUUAGGAUUUUUGUCUUAGGCCACGUACGCCCCGCAUACAUUGUGCAUGUCCGAGUCCAAACCACCCUAAUAUGCUAAGCAUACACAUAUGUACACCCAACGUACGUAGGGACCUCCUUUGCAAAUAAGUUUCAUUCCAAGGGUUAAAAGGGUAACUUGCAUUCCGAAUGUUACAUAUAGAUAAUCAAAUACUUGAUUCUACCCUAAGCCCUUCAUCAACCAAGAACAUGAAAUAAAGCUAAACCAAAAAUUAUCAGGCUAUAGAAUCUUAAUUAUGUACAACUAUGAUGCAUACACUAAGCAGGUACAAUAAUGAUGUCAAUUCUAUAUAAGAAGUAAUCCUAGGGUAUCAAGCAUCAUAUAUGAGGAAAUUUUAUCACGUAAUUCCUGACGAUCCCUAGCCCACCGCUAGUAUGUUGUUGUAUCAUGAAUAACAUAUCAAAUAACAGUGUGGGUAACUUGAGGUAUGCUUUCUUACCGCGGCUGACCGUACACAUCACAUCAUGCAUUCCUUGGUUACUUUUGAAAACCAUUAAAAAAAACUUUUACAACUCCCUAGUUUGAGUUUGGAUUCACACGAAUGUUCAUCCAAUUCUCUCAAACCAAGGCUCUGAUACCAACUUGUAACACUCCUAAUAUCAUAGAAAAUUAAAAAUUUUAAAUUUCAACCAUUAACCAACAUUGUUUAUAAAAAGUGCUCAUUGCUUCAAAAGUAUUAUUCAAAAUCAUAGUUUUUCCCAAGACAUAAAAACACAAAACAGGAAGAUGUGCACGAUCACGCCUUUGCCUUCCCGCGAUUAUCAGAAGUACAUGAAAUAAUAAACUGAAAUUGUAUUUCAAAGCUUAGUGAGUUCCCCCAAAGUACCAUCAUGAAACAUAUAAAAUACAUAGAUUAACAUGAUGGGCCCACAACCUCCCAGUUGGAUUACCUUGGCCCACAACCUCCCUGUUGGAUUGCCCUGCAUACCAUAUACUGGGUCCAUAACCUCCCAACCGGGUUGACUUGGCUAGUUUGUGGAGUUUGACCUAUUUUGAGCCAAGUAUAUUUUGGAUAAUUUGGUAUUAAUUUAAGUUGGGAAAUAUUUUGGGAUAAUAGGUGUUGAGUAGAGCCGGGUGUCGGGGAAGACAUUUAUUCAGCUUGUGUUUAGACUGAGAGGUGAGUUUUCCUCACUAUACUUACAAGUCGAAGGCAUCAAGGCCGACCUAAUGGAUUGAUAUCCUGUUAGAUACUAAUUGAAGAUAUGUUGAGUAUGCGAUACAUCUGUAUGAUUAUAUGAUAGGUAUUGAUAUACAUUAGACUGGUAGAUCUGUAGGACUACAUGUGAUUAUUGGUUGUGUAAUCACCUGUUUGUUGUAUGUAUAUUAUCUAUUAUAUGUCGACAUGUUACUUUAGGGUUGAGAAUAUUGCUUUGUGCUGUCAUUCGACAGACCGUGACAAUCCAACCAGAAUGUUUUGGGCCAGAGUAAUCCAACAGGGAGGUUGUGGACACAACAUGCUAAUCUAUGUAUUUUAUAUGCUGCAUGAUGGUACUUUGGGGGAACUCACUAAGAUUUGACUUACAGUUUCAGUUUAUUGUUUUAGGUACUUUUGAUGAUCAUGGUACGAUGAAGGUGUGAUAACGCACAUCUUCCUAUUUUGUGUUAUUGUGUCUUGGGAAAAACUCUGAUUUUGAAGAAUACUUUUGAAGCAAUGACUCUUUUUUUAAACAAUGUUGGUUAGUGGUUGAAAUUUAAAUUUUUUAAAUUUCUAUGAUUUUUGUAAUGUUACAUUGGUUUGGCUUGUAACCGAUCUAAACCCCCCACAUACCCUUGUUAAUCAUAAAAGAAGAAUCCAUUUAGAACUAACUAUGUUCAAAAAUAAGAACCAUAGUGUGUUAAAUAUUCAUUACCUCAAAUGUAGGGAUCUUUUGAUGUCGAAGAACAUUAGUUAAGAUAAAUUAAAAAGGAUAUUCAACUAAACCAAAGGUCUUUUGGCCUAGCACUAUCAUAUGUUGGAAAUGUGACCCUUCCUAAUAUCAGAAAAACGUGUUAUUUCGAUUGCUUGGAUUACACUGAAAGUCAUGAUACACUUACGUAUUAAAGUAUUUCGAUGGUACAAUCAAAAUUUAAAUUGGAUAAAAUUCUGUGAGAACAACAGAGAAUGAAAAUGUUAUGAUUCUUGUGUGUACCAGAUUCAAAUGACCAAAAAGGGAUAUGACUCCUUGUCCGAAAAUUGUCAUAUUUCCAGUUACAAACUGCCACAAAACCAUCACUAAACUGACUUAGUCGGCUUAACAAACAAGAACUACAUAUUUAACAUACAAAGAAAAGCUAACAAGUCUCCUGAUACUUGUAAAAAUCAAAUGAUGUAAAAAAAUUAGAUAUCAAAAAAUCUAGUAUUAACAUAGAUUUAAUUAAACUUAUAGAUUAUCUGUUUAUAUAUCAUGGAAAUUUAUUCCCAAGGUCAUCCUUAACUCGUUAACAAGUUUUGGGUGUAACGAUAUAACAAUAUCUAAUCAUUACUCCUCUGAUAAAAUUUUGGAUUCUGUGGUCUAUAGGUUGCAUUUUUUGUUGCUAAUAGGAGUAGAAAAGCUAAAAUCAUUUGGGUCGAUUGGAUUCAUAAUCCUACUUCAACUUGCACUCUUAUGUAAUGUUUUUUUUCCUAGCUUACUGCUAGUUUUUAUAAAAUUUUAUCUUGUUCCGAAAAAACUCCUCUUAUAUAUUGGUCAACUUUGAGAUACAAUUAAAAAGGUUCUCUUGCCACAUCACACGCCAUCCACCCCAACGACCACCACACAAUAAUAUCGAUUUGGUAUAGACCAACAACUAUCUCUUUCCUCAUCUCCCUCAAAUCGGUCUUCAUUUCCUUUCUUUUCAGUUUGCUUUUUAAUAUUCAUACAUAGAGACUCAUUUUUGAGAAGUUAAGACACAUAAAUGUGUUUAAUAUUGGAAUCCCACAUGACAAAGUAGCAUCUAGGGAUGUCAAUGGGGGCAAACGGGACGGGGGUUGCAUUCCCCACCCCCACCCCCAAAANNNNNNNNNNNNNNNNNNNNNNNNNNNNNNNNNNNNNNNNNNNNNNNNNNNNNNNGCCCCCGAUUGAUUUUGGGCUACCUUAUUUGCACUAAAAGAAGUUCUUGUUUGGACUAAUAGAAACUAUAUUUUGGGUUAUAAAUAGAUAUUUAUAACAUAAUUUUACAUGUACAAACAACUUAAAACAUGUUUUAUUUUGAAGUUUUGUAUGCAAAAAUCUUUUUAUUGUUUAUUAUAUUUAUAUAAUUAAUAUAUGUCAAUUUAUAUAAUUUAUUAACGGGGCUCCCAUGGGGGUUUCGGGACGGGACUACCAACCCCUGCCCCAGCCCUUGAAAUUAAAACGGGGGUUAACCUUGCCCCUGCCCCCGUCCCCGAUUAUUUUCAACAAAUGCCCCCAUACAAGAUGGGGUCCCCGCGGGAUCGGGGUCCUACGGGACUUUUUGACAUCCAUCGUUAAGUAAAGAAUGUUUGUGACGAUGUAACUUCCUCUUGAUAUACAUAUCUUUUAUUAGAGACCGACCGAUGUCAUCCUUUAACACUGUAAAUUUUCAAACAAAGUUUUCAUUUUAAAACACAAUAAAACACAUGUCACAUUCCUUUCAAAAAUCACAAGUAUCAAUUUAUCAAUACAUUUUAAAAGUUGUUUAUCGCAAAUCCAGAUCCUCAAACAUAACUCUUUUCUCUUGUGUGUACAAUCAAACCGGUGCCUUAUCGUGAUCCUGAUAAGAACCUGAAACACAUAACACAUAACAUGGUAAGCAAGAAGCUUAGUGAGUUCCCCAAAACACCACAUACAGCUCAUUAGCCACUCGAGGCUAUAACACAGUAAGACCCUCCGGUCAAUGUAUCUCAGUGGGAUCCUCCGGUCCCAAACUCUGAUGGACCCUUCGGCCGAAUAGAAUUUUCCACCCGCGUCCAAGAUUCACAUAUACUCGACGAGUUUGGGGACUCCAACUCGUCGAGUCCCAAUGCAAAAAUGCAAAAAUUCAUAUGUAUAAUACGUAUCGGGAACCGGGCGUUAGAUAUUGGUUGUAUAAUCAUUUGUCUGCUGUAUGUAUAUUAUCUGAUAUAUGUCAACAUGUUACAUUAGGGUUGAGACUACUGCUUUGUGCUAUCAGUCAACAGAGAGUGGCAAUCCAAGCAGGAUGUUAUGGGCCAGGGUAAUCCAACCGGGAGGUUGUGGACACAACAUGCUAAUCUAUGUAUUUUAUAUGUUGCAUGAUGGUACUUUGGGAUCACUCACUAAGCUUUAGCUUAUAGGUUCAGUUUAUUGUUUCAGGUACUUCUGAUGAUCGCGGUAUGACGAAGGUAUAAUCAUGCACAUCUUCCUGCGUUGUGUUAUUGGGUCUUAGGAAAAACUCUAAUUUGAAUAAUACUUUUGAAGCAAUGACUUUUUUAAACAAUGUUGGUUAAUGGUUGAAAUUUAAUUUUUUAAAUUUCUAUGAUUUUUGGAGUGUUACAUUGGUUUUGGUUUAUAACCGAUCUAAACCCCCACACACGCUUGUUAAUCAUCAAAGAAGAAUCUAAUUAGGACUAACUGUGUUCAACAAUAACAACCAUAGGGUGUUAUAAAUCCAUUACCUCAAAUGUAGGAAUCUUUUAAUAUCGAAGAACGUUAAUCAAGAUAAAUUAAUAAUGAUCGUAACAUCCUGUUUAUUAAAUAAAUAAAUAGAUAAAAAUUUGAUGAAAGAAUAGUCGCCCUAAAUUCAUAUUAUUUAGUGGGGCGCUGGUUUUGGGGAGCCGAAUGGUAUAAUUUGGAUUAUUCGGAGGUUAAAAGUGUAAGUUCUAGAUUUAAUUUGAAAAUGAUUUUAGAAGUCAUGGUGUGUUUAGUAAUUAAUGGACUUAAAUAGAAAGGAUUUGAUGGCUUAAGGGGGUGAUUGGUAAUUUCGGGACCUAUUAUGAAACGACUUUCAGAGAGAGGGGUUAAAGGGGUAAAUUUCUGAUUCAUUUUGAAAAGAUUAAUAGAGGGAAGGCUACUGUUGUUAUUAUGGGGAGAAGUUUUAUGGGGAUUGGGGUAUAAGACCUGUCAGCCCGGUAAACCCUAAACCUAGCCAUGUGUCCCAGCCGCCGCCACCUUAUACCCCCCCCCCNNNNNNNNNNNNNNNNNNNNNNNNNNNNNNNCUCCGGCGCCGCCGCCAUCAUCCCGUUUCCGAUCAGCGAGCUGCCGAGAAGCUACUCCAUUGGACUUCUGCCACUCUUCUCUUAUCCUUCUUCAGUCGUUGCCAUGUGAGGCCUCAUCCACCACCCGCUACUUCAUCGUUGGAGUGCUACCACCACUGUCGGUGCACCAUUGUUGUCGCUGCUGUUGAGGCCAAGGAUGAAGACGGAUGUUGGGACGUCGGGAAUGAAGAAGAACAAGCCACAAGUCGCUGUAACGUUGGUUGUAGCGCUGCUGCUCCGCCACUGCCCAUUUCCGUUAAAGACAAGGUCGUCACUUGUUUCUCGUGGAUGGCUUAGUCGGAGGUGUCGUUCGUUUCCGUGUGGUGCUGUUCCUCCGUGAGCUGCUGCACUGGUGGUGCUGCCACUGUUGCCGUUAGUGUUGCUGCCACUCUCUACCGUUGUCGCCGUACGCCACCAGGUGGGUGGCAGGGUUCUUUUGCGAAUGAAAACAGUUUGUUUGUGUGUGUGUGUUGUAUGUGGUGAUGUUUGGCCUGAAUUAACGAGAACAAUCACCACCACCUUCGUGAGGUGGUAGCUGCCACCAUGUACCACCACCGGCCACCACAAGGGUGGAUGUGUAUGUGUGUGUAUUGGCAUUUAUGUUGUAAAUUGUAAUUAGUGCUAGUGUAAUCAAAAGAAAAACUCAAAACCACCACCGUGAGGUGGUGGCUGCCGCCACCAGUCGCCGUGUUGGAUGGCGGUGUGCUCUGUUUAUAUUUAGACUUUGUUUGGGUUGGACAAAAUAGACUAGACCCAUAACCACCACCGUGAGGUGGUGGCCGCCGCCGUGAGCCGUCGUUGACCACCACUACACGAGGUGGUAGUGGGUGGUGCCUGACUUAGGAACACCCUAAUUGUCUUAAUGAAACCUUAAUGGGCCUAAGGACUUAGCUUUUGGGCUUAAUUGGAUUGUAAUGGGUUGGAAACCCUAAUUAGGGUUUAGAAAACCCUAAUUUUGGAAUUAUUGGUUUGGACUUAUCGGGACCCACAUUUGGGACCAUUGGAGUGAUGACUCAAGCCCGUUUUCAUUGUAUGCUUGGACUUAAUGGAUUAAUGUAAUGACCAAAAUUCUCUAUGUUAGUGAAGUUGGUUUUCCGUUACAUAGAAUUAAGUCGUACAUGCGUCUAGGAUGUGAGAUUAGACCGGUUUAUAUAAAAAAAAAUAAUAAAUAAACAAAAACAUAUUUUUUAACAUUUUAAGAAUUUAAUAGGGAUUAAAAUAAUUUAUAAGAUUUAGUUAAUAAUUAUAAUGAGCUAAAGAUAUUUAAGUAAUAUUACGAGUUAAAUAAAUACUCAAAUUAUUAAAAAGUGGCUUAUUUUAUGUGUAAAUUAAUCAAAUUAAACGACUAUAAAGAAAUAAAAUAAAAGAAAAGGUAAAGUAUAUAUAAUAUGGCCAGGGUUAAUAAUGAAUUGAGUAUAAAAGAUCAGGGACUAUAACUGUAAAUUGGAAUUCAAUCGGUGAAUUGAAUUCUAUAAGCUCGUUACCACUGAUAAUAAAUUUGUUUUAAUUAAUUCUAUUCGAUUGCCGCAACCUAUGUUCUUCUUAUUCGUUUCCGUUACCAGGCAACUUAUUCGCCUUGCCGAUUACACCUUCUCUUUAGGGUUGCCAUAUUUGUGUCGACCAGAAAAAAAGAGAGAGAAUUGAGUGUGAGAGAGUGUCUGCGUGAGAAGGAAUGAACGAGGCUCACAUCCUACUGCUAUUAGAUCGAAACAAGGUAAGCUCUUGAUCCCGAAAACCUGUCAUGUUUUUUUUGUUCAUCAAUGGCUUAUUGUGAAUAUCUUGCUGCCAAAAUACUUGUUUUUAGAAGCCACACAAACCCGUGAACUACUUCAAUUCAUCUCUGUCAAGCCUUAGGGAUGAAGCACCCAUGUUUGAGUCGUGUCGGGCUUAGUCGAGACAACCCCAUAAGCCAUCAGAACACCAGAAUCACAUUUUGGAAUGGUGUCUUCUCUAAAGCGUAGCCUCAAGUCCCUUAGACGCUUUGUUAAGGCUUUGAAACAGAAGCAGGGGAAGCUAUAUGUGUUCUUUCGCAAUUUUAAUGCAUGCCUCUGAAUUGCUACCGGACAAUCAAAAUAGACUAAUGCUUGAUGGAAUAUGAUAGUUACAGACAUAAUGGUUGUAUAGUUUCACUAAUGACUAAUUCAUAUCUAGACUUAGCUAUUUAAAUCAAUAGAAAGAGUCUGGAUAACAUAUUUCAUGAUAAACACUUAAAGAUUAAUUCAUCGUCUUGUGUUAAUGUAUGUAAUUCCAUAAAAGUUAAGAUGUUAAAAAAAUGGAUUGCCUACGUAAUAUUGUCUAAUUAGAAGUCUACUUCACACUAGGGUGUCUUAUAAAUAUAUGAGUGUAAUUUAUAAAAGAGUUUCAGUAUUAUAAAAAGUGAUUUAAUCACUAAUUAUAUGUCAAGGAGCAUGAUAUGAAAUAGUUGAUUAAAAGCAAUUGAUUACAAAUCAGUGUCAUCGGCUAUAAGGCUUCCUUAUGGUUAGUUAACAUUACAUUAUUCAUGAUACAACUUAAUUAUACUAUAGAUUAAAAUUGUCUAUCCUUAGCUACAGUAAAUAUGCUAAGGAUUUGGCAAAAAUGAUCCUCCAUCUAUAUGGGUAUUUAUAAUUCUGGAUCAUUUCUUUUAAGAGGUUAUAAUUUGCUAUUUUCUAUAUUUUGUGUAUACGUGUCGUUCUUUUUACUGAUCAAAGGUUUGAUCGUGUGCGUGUCAUGGACACGCGUUUUUUUCCUGUGUUUAUUAUCGAUCACCCUAUUCUUUUCAUCUGCCCACCGCCCUUACUUCCAACAUAUAUUCCACCGGCUUCCUCAUUCAUUUUUUCAUUAUCCCACCCCUUCAUUGACUAACUUCACCAACUGUGUUAUUCUUUCUUUAAAGAAGCUCAUCGGUUCCUUAUAUGUUUUUUUCAGGGCCUAUGUUUGUUGGAAUCCUUACGCUUGCUGACGUCUUUUGUGAUUAAGGGAUAAUUUUGUUCCUGGUUGCAUAUUUGAGUCUCAGGCACUCACUUCCUUUCUCUUUCUCUGUUUUCUUUCUACUCAUGGCAUCUCUAAUGGCAUUCUAUUACCGUGUUUGUAGGUUUACGCUUCGAAUUGUGUGAUUUUGUAUUUUUCAUUUCCGCUUUCGCUCUUGAAGAUGAGUAGUAGAAAUCGAUUGGAUGGUGAUUACAAAUACCUCUUGUCAUAUCGAUUUGAUUGUAAGUAUCUCACCUCUAAUUUGUUUUCUUUUUUUGGACUUUGUUGUUUUUUCAAAUAACACUUCUUACCUUCUAAAGCUCGGUUUCAUACACUUCUAUCACUUUUCUGUUAUCAAAGCUUCUUGACUAUGGUAAAUAUGGAAAAUCCUGUGACAUGUAUGUUUAUGCCCACAAAGUGUUUGAGGAAAUGCCUUUUGUGUUUAGGUGCCUGAUUGUUAUUCUGUUGAGUGUAUAAUUUCACAAUAUUGCGUAAAUUUUUAUUAUUGAGGCUCAACUGUGUAACUUGAACUGUUUUAUUGUAGUCUUACGGUUCUCUCCGUUCGAGGCAACAUACGACACUCACAUUCCACUACGCUGAAGCAUGAGACUUUCCGAUUUGUUGGUCUUGCCAAGUAGAUUCAGAUAACAUUUUCUUUCCAUAUAUUCUUCUAAAAAGCAGUAAUUUAUGAAAUUCUCAUUCUACAAUCCAGAAAACUGUUAAAAAGGAGCUUGAAAAUCUCCAAAAAGAUUAAUACUUUUAUUGAUUUGGCUAUUACCAGUGCUUUUUCAAGGGAAAUUAAAACAAUCAAAGGGAAUUUUCUACAAAAUACGUAAAUAUGUUAAUAGCUGUGUGUUUUUUAUUUUUUUUUUUGAUAGCUAAUUAGCAUUGAAGUGGUAGAAUGAAUUGGUUAUUAUUUACCCAUAUACCAGAUUAUGUCAUCUCUCUAUAUGUUUGGAAUGUUUGUGGGUUUGAUAUGUUUGCUGCUACUGUCACACCACAGUUGAAAAAACAUAUUUCCCUGCUAAAGGGGUUGUGUAAUUGUGACCAUUUUACAGUUUUGAUUUCAAAAUUAUAUUAAAAAAUUUAAAUUGCAAUCAAACUCAUAACAUGUGCAUGUUUGACUGAUUGAGUUGUCCUACAUCUCAAAAAAUCAGGGAACAAUCGACGGUGUUGACAUUAAGCCAACUUCAAAUUCGUGGGUCACAGUAACUGGAGGUAAUUUUCUUUCUUGAAUGCUUUUGGUUCACCUGUCAAUUUUAGUAUUUAUUUGAAGUAUAAUUUGUGUUUUGUAAUGUAAUAAUAUACUCUCACACAGAAGUUUUUAAAGCAGUGCUAUAUAGGAAAAAAUUAUUAAACUUCUACAAAGGGCAUUAGCAAAGUUAUGGGAUAAAACUUUAAACGGCCUAAAACAUUAACAAACUGUGAAACAGGGAAGACAAAAUUCAAUGGUUUUUAAAGAUUUUUGUUUUUUGGUUGUCUACGUUAACGAUCCUGCUGUUAAAAUGUUAUGAUUAUGACUAUUUUGUCCUUCCUUUCAUUACUUUCUGAAGGUGGUAAAGAAAAGGGAUAUAAUCCAAGGGUAAAAUGGUCAAUUUACAAAUUUCACAGCUGUGAUGUUAAGUUAGAUGGCCUAGGGAUGAAACACAUUACCAAACAGUGACAUAUGAAAUUUUUGUACGACGUUAAAGUUUCAUAUCUAUAUUUCAAAAAAAAAAUUCAUUUGCAAUUUUCAUCUGUAGUUCCCUGUUUUUGACUAUUUAUUGCCUCUUUUAUAUUGUGAAAAUUAUGUUUGGGUUGUUGUUUAUGAGGUAAUUGGUAUUGAUGUCAAUACAUAACUUUCAAAAGUGUUAUCUGCCAUACAGGAGAAUUUGGGAAAACAAGCACAUAAGCAAGAAAAAAGAAGGGAAGGUCAUAAUGUAAAAAGAGAAGGUUAUGACGAUGAGAAUUUAAUUUUGCACCUUCAACUUUAGUCACUUUCAUCAUUUUUAAUGACUCAUAGUUUCUUGCCAUUCUCAGUCUAUUUUGAUUUUUAGAUAAACUUAUUUUAUUGAAAACUUUUUUGUAUUAUCAAGGAACAUCAUUCGAUAUCUCAACUGAAAAUUAUGAUAACAACAUUACUAGAUGAGGUUGUUUAUGAAUUUUUAGCUAUAUAUUUUGCUGCUAAAAAAAAGAUAAGAAUACCUUGACAUUCUGACCCUCGCGAAGCGAGGCUCACCCUCUAGUUAAUAUUAAACCAAGGUGAUUUGUAAUUUAUAAACUACGAUAGACUUAUCUAAUCAAUUAAUAUGACAUAAACUAAAUAUAGUUUAAUAUUAAUCAUGUUUAUCUUAGCCUAAACUAAAUAAAUAUAUACUUUUUGUUUAGGUAUUUGUUGAGUAAAAGAGCUACGAAUUCACGUUUUGAAGUGAUUUCACUACCGAACUAAAGGUGAGUCAAUAGACUUUUCAUAAACCCUAUAUAUAGUCGAAAACUACUUUCCGAAAAUGGCUCGAUUAGUCAAAUUAGAAUAUUAUUAAUUGUUGAUAUUAUGCCUAUAUGUGCAGUAUGAGAUAUGCCAUUGUUUUGCUUUCUGUGACAUUUACAUGCUUAGUAAAUUUGGUUUAUAUGUCUAUCUUGGUACUUGAUACGAUUAAUUGCAACUAUGAUAUGCUAUAUGAAAUGUUUGAUAUUUGACUAUGACCUUGUUGAGUAUCUUUUAGUAUAAACUAGGUUACAACCCGUGGAAACCAUGGGUAAAAAAUUUAAAAACAAAUUUAUAUUAUUAAUAAGAGUUAAGAUUGUCAAUCCUUUUGUAUUGAUUAUUUAAAAUUAAAAUUAAUACAAAUUUGUAAAAAAGUAUAUAAAUUUGAAUAUAUGUUAAAUAGAAACGCAAUCAAUCCAUCGAAAGUUAAAUAUGAAUAUAACUAAAAUGCAUCUUUGAAUAUGUGAAUGAUUUAUGAAGUGUGAGGGCAAAUCAUUAUUUUUUGUAAUGAGGGAGCAAUCAAGAAACACCAUGUGGCGUCUAUUAAAGUCUGAAAAUCAAAUAUCGAAACGAACUGAAUAUUAUGGAUUACAAUUACAAUGCUAUAUAAAGAAUAAAUUAUUUAAAAAAAAAAUGUUACAAAAAAUAGAAAAAAACACAAUUGUUAGAAGUUAAUGGGUACGAAGCAUUUAUAAAUUCCUAAAAACUUCCUUAUACACAACAUUUGAAGUUUUGUUUGUAAGUCUACCAUCCUUAUCUAAAAUUAACAAUUUCAAUCCUUCUCUACUUUGAACUCUAGAUAAGGCAACAUACUGUUGUCCAUCUGAAAAAAGGAUCCUUGAGAUACAGACCAACCUUUAAUAACGACUGGCCCUGACUUUUAUUAAUUGUCAUUGCAAAACAUACAGCCAAUGGAAAUUGUCUUCUUUGAAAUUUGAAUGGAAUUUUCUUUCCAGAUGGACUUAAAGACAUUCUUGGAAUAAAUGUUUGCUUUCCAAUAUUAGUUCCAGAUAUGAUAAUUGCCUCAAUAACACGUUUGCCCAGAGAUUUCACUUGUAGUCUAGUGUCGUUUCAUAAUCCAUUUUUCUGAUCAAUGUUUCUUAGUAACAUAACUGGAACACCGACUUUUAGAAUUAACUUGUGAUUUGGCAAACCUGAUACUUUAAGACCAUUUAAAAUAUCCUGGGAGUAUAAAUUGGGAUCAAACUGAUCAUGAACAAACUCUGAUUGGCAAAGAGUAUCUGAACUUAAAUAUUCUACUUCAUCUUCGGGAAACAAUGCUAGCAAACGAUCAUUGAUUUGUUGGACAACUUCAUUUUUUGGAGCUAGUAUAGCUCUUUCUUGAAAAUAACUCGUACCGUUGAAUUUUUCAAAGAUUGAAGGAUAUACAAACUCAAUUAAUGAACCUAUAGGAUCAUGUGGAUCAUUAAUGAGAAUAUCAUUCGGAACAUCAAUAAUCGAUUCACCAUCCUUCAAACCACCAACUUUUCCUUCUCCUAUGUCCAAAAGCCAGUUUGCAAAAUUAUGUAUUUUUUGAAUAUCAUAUGGAUCCUUUCCAACGGUUAGUCUCAUCUUUUUUGUUAAUCUAUGGACUUUGCAUUGUUGCCAUAUAUAUGAAGAGCUUAAAGAAGCAUUAACGAUAUUUUGUCUGCUACCUCCUUGAACAACAGGUAGAAUCUGUCUAAAGUUUCCUCCAAAAACAAUCGCUUUCCCUCCAAAUGGAAUAUUUGAGUUGGUAGACUUAUCAAACUUACAUACAUCUCUCAGAGCUCGAUCUAAAGCUUCAAAUGCAUGUUUGCGGACCAUAGGUGCUUCAUCCCAGAUAAUCGAUGAGCUUUUUCUUACUAAUCUGCUGAGUUCACUAUCAGGCGGUAUCUUACAAACAGAAUACUCCGUAAGAUUCAACGGAAUUAUAAACCGAGAGUGUGCUGUCCUACCUCCAGGCAAUAAUAAAUAUGCAGUACCACUUGAAGCAACAUUUAAAACUAUAUCACCAUUACAUCUAAUUGCUGCAGAUAACGUCUUCCAAAGAAAGGUUUUGCCUGUUCCACCAUAUCCAUAAACAAAAAACACACCUCCUUUAUUAUCAUUGACUAUAGUCAUGAUAUCAAGAAAAAUAUUGCUUUGCUCGUUUGUUAAUGCAUGAAACAUACUAUCAAACUCUUUCUUUAAAAGCGGUAUGUCAUACUCUAGCUCCUCCAUGAUAAAUCGAUUUGUUGAAGAAGAAACUGUAUCGAAAUCAGGGUAAGGCCUUUGUUUAUAAUUUUUAAGACUGGUGUUGUUAUGAAGUAAAAUCUGUUCGAUCUCGAACAAAGUCAGGUUUUUGAGUUGAUCCUUAUUGAGUGAUAAACCUGUAUAAAAUGAACAAUAUGUCAAAAAGAAUAUAAUAUUAAACAGUUUAAUGGUAAUAAAAAAAUUAUACCGUGCAUAUUGAUAAUAUAUAGUAUCCGUUUUUACAAAUACUGAUAGGAAAUUAUAAUACCUGGAGACUUUAAUCUACGCUGUUGGUUGUAAAGAAUACCAUCCGACAAGUGUUGCCAUGUAUUUUCCCAAACAAACUCUGGUCUACCCAAACUGUUAGACAUUAACAUCGUAGCAAAUAAGAAACGAAGAUAAAAACCAGUUCCUGAAUGACUUGCUUCCUUAAUUGCAUCAACGUAUUCUUUGUCAUCAUCUAAGAGGCCCAAAGCAUAGCAUGCAUCUCGAAAAGUAGGAAAUUCUUCACCGUUUACCGUGCGAAUUUCUUCAAAUGAUUUUGGACCUUUCACUUUAUUUAAAAGAAUCCGUAAGAAGUAGACUUCGCCAAGUUUAGGUGAAACAGAGUGAAUCCUUCCUAUUGAACGUCCAAUUUUCCUUGGCUUCCACAACUUAUCAUCAGGUUUCCAAACAAACUUUGUAGGAAAUUCAACAUAUGUAAGUUUUCGUGCAUCUUUAUUAAUUUUAUUACAUUCCAUCCAAGAUGUGAACAUAGAAGCAGCAACUGAAGGUUGUUCAAGAACAUCGUCAAUAUCAUCGUCUGCAGCAUAUAUGACUUGUUGUUGAUCAGGAAGAUAAAAAGGUAGUCGCAUCACAGAAGGAUAUCGGUAAUGGACAUCGUAUUUAAAUAUUCGCCAUGAUGCUUCACAUGCAGAUAUAUAUCUACAAUCAUAAUAAUCUUUUAUUUCAUCGACAACCUUUUCGUGAUUAGAAUCAGCGUUGAUGUCAUCAACAAUUAUAGCUCUAUCUGGACCUUUGUUUAUAUAUUUAAACAUAUACUUUAUGGAAGAUCCCUGAUUGCACCAUUCAACAUUAAUGUGUGCCUGAUAUCUUUUCAACAUAUAUUUGUUAUAUGGAACAACAUUUCUGUUGUCUAACUUGACACCUGAUUUUUCGACAAAAUAUCCAUUGUUUCUUCUCAUAUAUAAGGGAUAACCGUUGACAUCAACCGAAGAAUGAUCACAUAAUUGCUUUGGAAAAUUUUUCGAACAUUGCUUGUCAACCAUGCAUGGACAAUUCAUAUUUUCCAGCUCCAUAAGGACCAUGUAUCAUGAAUUCACUUACAAGUGAAUACAAUUCUGGAUCUUCAUUGAUAUUUGGAAUCUCAGCAGAAAUAAUCGGAUCAAUAUAUUCAACAGUAGGCCGCUUGGAGUCGGCAUGCAUAAACAAACAAAUAUGACUAUGUGGCAAACCUCUUUUUUGAAAUUCAAUUGUAUAGACCACUGCAAAUUAAUUUUAUAAAUAAGAUAAUCUUUGUACUGGAUGAAAUAUAUUUGCAAAUAACAAAAAAUAUUAAGAAACUAAAUAAUCAUUAUAAAAAAAUAUUAGAAAUAAAUACAACUUUUAAUACCUCCUUGUACAAUGUCGAAAAUUUUAUUUUCCCGUAUGUCUUUAAUCAAAGCAUCGAGAUUUAUUUUGAAUAACCUACAUAAGAUAUCAGGUCAAUCUUCUGGAUGUAGUGAAGUGUUAUGAAGAAACCUUUUAACUUUAGGCCAUUUUGGAUUACAUGUAAAGGUUAUGAAGAAAUCAUGAUAUCCAAUCCAUUUACAUAAGGACAUGGCAUCAAGGUAGUUUUACAUCAUAUAACGUGCACCACCAGUGAAUGAAGAAGGUAAGAUUACACGUUGUCCAACAUUGGAUAUAUCUUUAUUCCCUAGGUCUUGUUGAUUACGUAAAUUUUCAUAAGACUCACAUCUAAGAAUUUGUUGUUUGCUCCUUAUGAAAUGUAAUCUCUCACUUUCAAUCAUAGUAUAAGCAUCAACCAAAAACUGUUGGAACAACCUUUUUGAAUUAAUAAUUAGUGAAAAAUAUUGAUCCCUGUCUUGUAUUCUAUAAGAAAAAAAUUCUCUCAUUGUACAGUUGGGCCUCUUGCUGUUGCUUAUUGGUGUAAUACCUCGAUGUGGUAUGUCAACCCUAUAACCAUCAUCACCAUAUGGAAACAGUAGUGGAUUCUGAAAGAGGAAGGUAUGAUGGAUGUAAUUUACUAAUACGCCGUAGAGAACCUGAUGAAGUUUGAACAACAAUAUAUCUUUUAUCAAUUGAAUCACCAAUAUCUCAAAUAAUUAAAGCGGCAACCUCAGAAGCAGAUGGUAGGUUGUAUAUCCUUCCAUCUUGGUCCCUGAUUCCAAUAAGUCUCAACUUGAUAUCAACAUGAGGUUUUUGAUGAAAACAAUCCCUAACCAUUCUAUAAGACUGAACCAAGACAUUAUUUGAAUCCAACAUCAACUUCAAAUCUUGUAUAAUAUCAUUAUCAAGGACAGAAGAAUUUGAUGUAGAUCGUUGAUUCUCUCCACUACAAGUAACAUGAACAUAUAAACAUAAGAUAAAUAAAUAAUAUAAUGUUGAUGAAUAAGAUAUCUAUUAAUGUGAUAAUUGUGAAAAGUGUACCCAAAACAUGUUCGUCUAUUCGCGAUCUCAUUAUCAGUAUCGUAUAUGUACAACUGAGAGAAUUUUGGUUUUAACCCCUGUUCCGGUAAAAGGCUUCCGAUACUAUGAUAAUUUUGACCGCUAAGUCUAAAAAUGUAUGGAGCAUUUCCUCUAUUGAUUGAGGAAUCAAUCUUUCCACCCAUUGACGUAAAAGAAAACAUAGAAUUGUAAGAACGAAUGUUCUUCAUGAAGUGUUUGCUUUUAGAAUCUCCCGAUGUAAAAAGAUGAACAUAACUUGAAGGUGAAUUCUUUAAAGCUGGUAGUUCUACUUUGCCAUAACCACAACAUAAACAAUAAUUUUGAUUCGACUUUUUUUUUUUUACAUCUGAUAGAUUCAUCUUUCCAUAAUUUUGCAAAACAUGUUUGGUAUACAACAAUCUGAUCACCAUGAUCCAAAUAAUCUGUCAAUUAAGGUUGACAUAAAAAUGUUAAUCAUGUAAGUUUAUAUAAGUGAAAAAUAUUGAAUGAACAAAUGUAAAUAUUAUAUUUUUAUCAAAAUUACCUUUUGAUAUACCGUUGUAUAUGUUUUGAUCAUUUUGGCCAUCGAUUUUGUCUUGAUCGGAUCUCAGACCAAAUAUUGGAAUAGGAGUUAAAUUUGGCAUUUUUUUCUUUGCUUUAUUAUUUGGAUUAGUUAACAUGACUGAAGACGAUUUUGAUGUUAUUGUAGAUGAUUUGUCGGAUGUGUCGCCAUUUGAAAAUACAGAGAAUUGUCUAAUAUUUGUUAACGGCGAUUGACAACUAUUAUUGAAAAUAUCCAUGGCUGGGGGAAAAAUUGAAAGUAUGCAUUGUUAAAUAUGAUACAAUAAUAAUAUAUAUUAUAAAAUAAAAUGGUAAAAUAAAUGAGUUACCGUUGGAAAUGUUAGAUAACGGAGUUCUAACAUUUAAAUGUGAAGGAGGAGUUUGUAACAUUGCUUGUUUUGUUAUAUAUGCACUUGUUUUAGAUCAGAAUGUGCUUUUAUUUCGAUGUACAACUCCUUUGAAUUCAUAUACAAAAAAAUGGUUAUGAGAAAUGUAAAAUUGUUUAAUAAUUAUUUUAAUAUUAUAUAAAUAUGAAUAUUGAUAAAGAGAUUAUAUAAAAAGACGAUGAUGUAAUAAAUUUUAUUACAUAUAUUUAAAAAAAACUUAAAAAGUUUAAAAGCAAUCAAGUAUGUUACCGUUUGAAUCCAAUCUGAUGUUUGGUAACGGUGUCUGAAAACUGUUAUUUGGAAUAUCGAUGACUGAGAAAAGAAGAUUGAAAUGUACAUUAUCAAAUAUGAUACAAUAACAACAUAUAUUAUAAAGUAAUAUGGAAAAAUAUAUGAAUUACCAUUGGAAAUGUUAGAUAACGGAGUUCUAACAUUUAAAUGUGAAGGAGGAGUACGUAACAUUGGUUGUUUUGACAUAUUUGUUGUUGAUGUAGAUGUGGAUACGCUUUUAUUUCGAUGGACAACUCCUUUGAAUUUGAUUGGAAAAAAAAUCUUAUAAGAAAUGGAUAAAUUUUAAAUAAUCUUGUAAAUUUUUAAAUAGUAUAUGAAUAUUAAUAAUGAUAAAUAGAUUAUAUAAAAAAAUGUGGAUGACAGAAUUUUUAUUUUACAAAUUUAAAAUAGAAAAAAAAAGUGUAUAAGCAAUCAAGUAUGUUACCGUUUGAAUCCAAUCUGAUGUUUGGUAACGGUGAUUGAAAACUGUUAUUGGAAAUAUCCAUGACCGGGAAAAGAAGAUUGAAGGUAUACAUUAUUAAAUAUGAUAAAAUAAUAAUAUAUAUUAUAAAAUAAAAUGGUAAGAUAAAUGAGUUACCAUUUGAAAUGUUAGAUAACGAAGUUCUAACAUUUAGACGUGAAGGAGAAGUUUGGAAAUUUGAUUUUUUUGACACAUUGGCACUUGAUGUAGAUGCGGAUAGGUUUUUAUUUCAAUGCACAAUUCCUUUGAAUUUGUCUGCAAAUAAAAAAAUUGUUAUAACAAAUGGAUAAAUUUUAAAUAAUAAUGUAAUUUUUCAAAUAUUCUAUGAAUAUUAAUAUACAAAAUACAUGACACAAAAAAUGAGCAUGUAAGAAUUUUCAUUUUACAUAUUUAAAUAAAGAAUAAAGAAUAAAAGUGUAUAACCAAUUAAGUAAAUUACCAUUUCCCUUCAUUUUAAAAAGAUGUGAUGUUGAUGAAGUUGUAUGAAUUCAUUCGGUCAUAACUUUUUUUUUAUUGUCCAAGUAUAAUUUUCUUAUUUUUCUUUUUUCUGUAGCCUGAACAUGAUAGAUGUUCCUAUUUGAAUCUGUAUAAGCAUAUAUACACACAUAAAAUAGUUAUAUUCAGAUUAAAAACAUUGAUAAAGAAAGUUGUAAAAUAUAUAAUGAACGUACUGUUAUCACCUGGGUUAGUAACAUUUGUAGAAGAUGGAAUUCGACCGACUGAUGUAGUGUACAAAGGUAAUUGUUUUGUAUUAUCCAGAUAGAAAUUAUUUAAUUUUAUCUUCUUAUUAGUCUUAAAAGAGUCCAUGUUAGUAGCUGCUAUCUGAAAUGGAAAAAGAAAUAUAACUUUAUACAAAAACAUUAUAUAUUGAAAAUUAUUUUCAAAUUUAAGAAUAAAUAAAUAAAUAUUUCAAAUUUAAAAUAGUAUGCAAUAAACCCAAAGAAAAGAAAGUAUUAUGUAUUAUUGAUGUGCACAAAAGUACCCACUAAUUUUAAUAUUUAUAACCUAACAAACUUAGAAUAACUAUGCACUUAUAGGCAGUGUACCUAGUCAGAUUACAAUAUAGCUUAGGUAAGUCGGGUGUCGAUCACAGGGAACGGUGGUGAAUUAAUUUAAUAUAUUUGAUUAUAGGUUACAGGUCACAUGAAAAGAAUAAAGAAAUAGUUUAAUAAAUCUCAAACUAACAAUUAAUUAACAACUUUGGAUAAACUAACUGGAAAGCAAAUCUCUUCAGGUACUUUGGUUUAGAUAAAUUACACCUUAAAAAACAUAGACAAUUGUAUACACAAGUUCAUUUAUUCAUGUUCACCGAUUCCUAAAAUGAUUAGAUUCGCGUUCACUAUAACUAAUCCUUUAGCAAACAAGUCAAUUCAAACAGUGAUCAGUUGAUUAAACUAACAUGCUUCCUAGUGUUCAGUUCGUAUCAAGCAAGACUUGUAAAUAUAGUUAAUCAAAUUACUAAUUCAAUUUAACCUCUUGUUGAUGGUCAUCAAACAAGGCUCACACAUUAACUUACUUAUUCCCAAGUUAAUCCUAGUUUCACAUUCGUUAUUCCUAGACUUAUAAUCUCGAUGGUCAUCAAAAUCAUAAGAGACAAGCAAUCAAACAGAUGUUCAUAUAACUCAAUUUACUUAACAAUUAACAUCAAAUAAUUAUCAUUAAUACGUAAGGAUCUUUUAACAAGCUUGGCAAGAUAAAUUAAACAUAAACAAACAAUUCAAUAUAGCAAUUAGUCUAAUAAUCAAGGUUUCAUUCAAUCAUAAACACAAAGUAAAAGGUUUUUACACCCAAAUCAGAAACUAAAUACAGAAUAGUAACACAAUGGAAUGCUAAACAUGGUCACGUUAACAACCCAUAUGAUUACCGACAUGUAUCCACUCUCCAACCCUUCCGAUCUUCACUCCUGUUAGCUUAACGGCCUUCCGGCCGCCUUCUAGACCCUCAAAACGGCUUAACAGAAGUUUAAUAUCGACUAAAUUAGGUUGGAAGUCGAAUCCCCCCUUCUGGUUAGCUGAUAAUCGACUUUUAUAACCUUUGUAACCGACUUACGUACGCUGGGCGUACUAAGGGUUUAUACGCGAUUGGAGUUAUCCGAUGCCAGCCGUUACGUGGGGCAUACACAAGAAUUACGCUGGGCGUAACUCGUCUUAGCCAUUACGCUUGGCGUACAAGUAAAUUACGCGGGGUGUAAUCGUUCCUCCAGCAUUUUCCUUUCUUUUAGCCUCUAAGCCUGAUUUCCGCUUCAGUCUUUUCUUUUGUGCUUUAUCGACAACGAAUAGCUGCAAAUCAUAAUUUAAAGCAUUAUGAGUACUUUUUAGUUCUAAAAGAGAAUAAUAAAGGCCAAAAUAUUAAGAUAUAAUGCAUAAAAAUAUAUAUAAAAAUACACAUAUCCAAAUACCCCACACUUAGUCUUUGCUUGCCCCCAAGCAAAUUUUAAUUUUAUUUUACCAUUAUCGCAUUAAACAAUCCAUUUAAAACUCAACCAUUAUGCCAAGACCUCAACGCAUGCAUUUGUGUCUAAAAUUUUCCUAAAAUACCCCCCUACUUUAAAUACUCACAAUCUUCAUAAACACUUGCCCACUUUUUACGAACAAUGCUCAUUUUAUGCAACCCUCCGAAUCCAUCCGCAGAAAACCUCCUUAUCCUCAAGGUAUUUUCCUUGAUAAUUUGAUCUUUGAUUUCUUUGAAUUCACCAUCUUAUUUGAAUUGAUUUCUGGUAUCUUCAACUUUUUUGAAUUUCUUGGAAUUUUGAUCUAAUUCUUCACUUUAUUCGCUCCAAAAUUCUUCAAACUUUUCUUGCAAUUCUUUUUUUUUUUCUUUUAACAUGUACCUCACUUUUUUCACUCAAAACCUACAAGCUUAAGCAGAGGCGCUCAACCUCAACCUUUAUCGGUUAACGAUAAUAAUUUUCCUGGAUACAUUUCAGGUUUAGGCUGCUAAACAUAUUGCAUCCCUCAAACCAAGCGGGGUUAUGUUUUUGUUCCAUGAUUUCACUAAAAUAAGGGAGGCCACAAAUGCACUAUAACGUAUAUUGGCUCAACUAAACAUUUGAGUUCUCAUCGGAUCAUCUCAUACAAUAUUAGCAAAAUUUAAAUUAUCACUAGAUUUUUCUAAAUUAAACUAUUAUUUCAAGUUUUAAAAUUUUUAAAUUUCCUAAAUCUAGCAAUUUCCUAACUAUUAUUUUAUUUUUAUAAUUUACUAUUACCGACCCCCUACCCCACACUUAUUUCAUACAAUGCCCUCAUUGUAUGCUAAAACGAAUUAAGAACAUAAAAAGGGAGAAAAAGGAACAGACUCCCCUGGGUAGUUGUGGCGAGAUCGAAUGGGGCUGCUACAAGUUGCUCCAAAUAUCGCUGAAAGACUGAAAACUGAACUGCUGCUUCUGAAUUUGUCGAAAAAUAAAAUCAAGACUGCCGACUUCAAAAAAUGUGGUGCACAAUAUUGCAAGUAAAUGCAAUGUGUAGUAACCAUGACGUGGGAAAGUGUUGACCACAUCAUGUCUUCAAAAAUGACAUCCUCUUCUCGCGAUGAAAAAUCCUCCACAGCAUAGGAAAGUGUCAGCCAUGUCGUGGCAGCCGGGAUGAUACGUCUUCCUCGCGUCAAAAUAGAACUCUAUGGUGUGGGAACAGCUCAUCAUACCAUAAAAGGUAAAAUAUCGUAAAAAUGCCAAUCGUCUAAAUGAACGCUCACGAAAUCAAUAUGCACCCCACACUUAUGACAAAUUGUGGGUCUUGACUAUACUUUUCGAACUCUCACACGACUCUCUCUAGCAACAGUCGGACCUAGCUGCUAAACUUACUGCCAGCUUUCUAAGGGCGAAAAUUCUGCAGAGAUCUAAACAACCAAAGAGCAUCAACAUGGAAAACAAAAAUAGAACAUCCUAAAUUAAAGUUUAAUUACAUACCAAAUAAAAAACUAAAACUAGAAACACAAAAAUAAACUAAAAAUAACAUAAAAAUAAAAAGGAUAACUAAAUCACUCAUCAUCUCCAUCAUCAUGCUGCUGUGUCCCAGAAGUACCGGCCCCAUCAUGUCGUGGCCGGAAUGGUGGAGGGUAAGGAACCGAGUACUGAAACCCCUAGUGGGAAAAGAAUACGGUCAACGCAUCCCCAUACCACUAUUGUUGCCUGUCCACAUGUGCAACAUACUCACUAAGGUUCUGAACCCUCAUGUCAAGACAGUCAAUGCCCUGAGCUAGGUAGCGCAUAUCAAUCUUCGGCUCAGGUCCCUGUUGCGCUCCCCGAGGAGCAGGUCUACGCUGCUGGACCCGUCUCGGCUGUGGCUCGGCAGCACCCUCCUCGUCCGCCACAUCAUCUGCUCGUACNNNNNNNNNNNNNNNNNNNNNNNNNNNNNNNNNNNNNNNNNNNNNNNNNNNNNNNNNNNNNNNNNNNNNNNNNNNNNNNUGAUCUCUCGUUAACAACUGAUAUGAUCGGGCUAGUCGCGUGAUAAAAUGCCCUCUGCACAUCGGGCUAUCCUCCCGAAGUCCCCUGGCCCUCUGUCCCAAAUAUGCAGCUAAAGCAACUGGAAGGUUCAGGUGCCUCCCUGGAGUAACAAGUGCCCAUAGGAAAUACAAGUCUAUCGAAGGCACUCUCUCACUAUUCUUAUGAUGCGUGAGAGUCAUGGAAAUCAACCGGUGCAACAGUCUAUAUGUAGUAGACCGAAUCAUCCUACCCCGUGCAGUAGAUGGCGUAUAAACUCCCCCUGUAAUCUCAGCCCAAAAAGUGUGCUCAUUAUAUUCAUCUGGCCGCUCCGUGAGACAAUCAGCAAGGAAUGUCGGGAAGUGGACACUCCUCGUCUCAUCUGCUGUGUAUAUACCCACUCAAGUCGCAAGCUCUAUGACACUGCACUCCCGACUCACACCCCCCAGUCUAAAGGCAAAAGUUGUCCUAUCAUCGGGUGCCUUCCUAGGAUCAUAGGAAACUGUAGCGUAAAACUCCAACAAAAAUUCCCGAUAAACAGGCUCCUGGAUCCUGAACAAUCGUGCCCACCCCUGCCAUACGAACAAUUCCACUCCAAUCGCGUCCGAGUGCGUGUAUUGCAAAAAAAUCCUGGAUCAGUGUAGCAAGUCCAGUCCAGGUCGCCAAUUCCCAGUCGAAUGAUGGUGCUAUGUCGAUCUCCUUGGUGAGCAGCAAACUCAAACUGUUGACAUAUCGUGCCCGGGUUGCAUCGUUCAGAGUUUGCGGAAAUUGUAAGAAACGNUCAGAGUUUGGGAAAUUGUAAGAAACGGUGAUCGGUCACAUCCUCGGGUGGGUUGGUCCUUUGAGUUCUUCGGGCCAUAAUCUGCACACAUAAACACAAAACCAAACAAAAUAUAACAGCAUUAAAAAAAUUUUAAACCAAAAAAAAAUGGUGCUGGAUAUGGACUGUACGCUGGGCGUACGUCCAGGUUCCACGAAUAUGUGUUCUGCUUCCUUUUCUUGUGCUAAAGUUAUAACCCAUAUCAAAAAAUUUCAAAUUAACCAACUGCAAGCAAUAAACACAGCAGGGCAAACACAUGGGGCAUAUCGAGCUUCGUGGUCCAAGACAGUAGAAAAACGGGACCACUCUAAAAAAUAUGAACCAUUCUCCUGUUCGUUCCUUAUCUUAUCAAGAUUAGAAAGCACUACAAAAGAAAAACUUCAUUGGGGCAGUCAAGAAUCGAAGUCAACAGGGUUACGCUUAGCGUCCGUCCCCGAGCUCAAAAUGAUGGGUCUAUCACGGGAUUAAGACCAAAUUAGGUACUAGGGUUUAGUCCAUUGAUGGAAAUCGGUCUUUUUAAGUCCUAAUCAAAACAUACAAUUAUGAAAUCGGCCCUAAUUCAAGAACCCUAUAAACCCUAGAUUUCGAACAAAGGCAUUUUGCAGCUUAUUCCAUCGAUUUAAACACAAAUCCAAAACAUUGAGUAACCGAAAAACUUACCUGUGUGCUGAAUUUUACAAGAAAAGAAGCAAAAUUGAAAAUCCUUGGGAGAGCUUGCCGUCACAGUUCGUGUGUGCGAAGGAAAGGAUUUUGAAAAAGUAACAAAAAAGUCAAGGGUCAAAAGAUAUAACCUGGUCACCGAUUUACGCUGGGCGUAAAACAAGGUUACGCUGGGCGUAACUCCAACUCCAUGAAAAGUCCAUCCGCGAUCCGGGGUUUAUUACGCUUGGCGUAAUUAAAAUUACGCUGGGCGUAAUGAAGUAUUCCUUUUCUUUAACUGAAAUUUCUUUUCUUUUAACUAUUUAAUUAAGGGACUAAAAACUUAAUUAUUUUUCUUUUUAAUUUCUUCAGCAACUGAUGACUUUCCGAUGAGUAAAAAAAAUGAGACGUCAUAAUCACUUAUCUUUGUCAAGAUCAAACAACAAUGGUUGAUUAAAAACCUUUGCACGCAAGAAUUGGUUUGCGAAAACACCCACUUUCGGGACCCGUUAGAAUAUUUCCUUUGUUUUCUUUGCACCUUUAACUAAAAGCGGAACAAGAAGUGACCUAACUAGUCAAGAACAGCAAGAGUUCGGUCUUCCACUUAACCACCACAAUACGCCUUACUAUACUACGCCUCAUGGAUUGAGUUGGACAAAUCAACAAAGUAGUAAGCCAACCAGGUCAAGAAUUUCCUAAUCGCUUGGAUUCUCGAAACCCAUGCAAAAAGUAAAGUCAAGCAAUGUGUACAAUCCCAAAUUCCUGCAAUUAACAACAAGAACCUUCCCGACAAGUGAAAUGAUAUCAACGAAAACCAAACUAAAAAUAAAAACUAACUAAAAACAAAUAACGAAUAAUCAAAAAAACUAAAUUAAUGACAAGCUGUUCCCGGCAACAGCGCCAAAAACUUGAUGUGCACAAAAGUACCCACUAAUUUUAAUAUUUAUAACCUAACAAACUUAGACUAUCUAUGCACUUAUAGGCAGUGUACCUAGUCAGAUUACAGUAUAGCUUAGGUAAGUCGGGUGUCGAUCACAGGGAACGGUGGUGAAUUAAUUUAAAAUAUUUGAUUAUAGGUUACAGGUCACAUGAAAAGAAUAAAGAAAUAGUUUAAUAAAUCUCAAACUAACAAUUAAUUAACAACUUUCGAUAAACUAACAGGAAAGAAAAUCUCUUCAGGUACUUUGGUUUAGAUAAAUUACGCCUUAAAAAACAUAGACAAUUGUAUACACAACUUCAUUUAUUCAUGUUCACCGAUUCCUAAAAUGAUUAGAUUCGUGUUCACUAUAACUAAUCCUUUAGCAAACAAGUCAAUUCAAACAGUGAUCAGUUGAUUAAACUAACAUGCUUCCUAGUGUUCAGUUCGUAUCAAGCAAGACUUGUAAAUAUAGUUAAUCAAAUUACUAAUUCAAUUUAACCUCUUGUUGAUGGUCAUCAAACAAGGCUCACACAUUAACUUACUUAUUCCCAAGUUAAUCCUAGUUUUACAUUCGUUAAUCCUAGACUUCUAAUCUCGAUGGUCAUCAAAAUCAUAAGCGACAAGCAAUCAAGCAGAUGUUCAUACAACUCAAUUUACUUAAUAAUUAACAGCAAAUAAUUAUCAUUAAUACGUAAGGAUCUUUUAACAAGCUUGGCAAGAUAAAUUAAACAUAAACAAACAAUUCAAUAUAGCAAUUAGUCUAAUAAUCAAGGUUUCAUUCAAUCAUAAACGCAAAGUAAAAGGUUUUUACACCCAAAUCAGAAACUAAAUACAGAAUAGUAACACAAUGGAAUGCUAAACAUGGUCACGUUAACAACCCAUAUGAUUACCGACAUGUAUCCGCUCUCCAACCCUUCCGAUCUUCGCUCCCGUUAGCUUAACGGCCUUCCGACCACCUUCUAGACCCUCAAAACGGCUUAAAAGAAGUUUAAUAUCGACUAAAUUAGGUUGGAAGUCGAAUCCCCCCUUCUGGUUAGCUGAUAAUCGACUUUUAUAACCUUUGUAACUGACUUACGUAUGCUGGGCGUAAGUCGGAUUACGCUGGGCGUACUAAGGAUUUAUACGCGAUUGGAGUUAUCCGAUGCCAGCCAUUACGCGGGGCGUACACAAGAAUUACGCUGGGCGUAACUCGUCUUAGCCAUUACGCUUGGCGUACAAGUAAAUUACGUGGGGCAUAAUCGUUCCUCCAACAUUUUCCUUUCUUUUAGCCUCUAAGCCCGAUUUCUGCUUCAGUCUUUUCUUUUGUGCUUUAUCGACAACGAAUAGCUGCAAAUCAUAAUUUAAAGCAUUGUGAGUACUUUUUCGUUCUAAAAGAGAAUAAUAAAGGCCAAAAUAUUAAGAUAUAAUGCAUAAAAAUAUAUAUAAAAAUACACAUAUCAAUUAUGUAUUAUCAAUAUUAAUUUUUCUUCAAAAUAAGUUGAAUAUAUCAAGAUAAAAAGUAUAUUCAAACUAAGAAAAUAAACCAGAAACACACAUACAAUAUUUUUGAACAACAAAAGCAUAAAAGUACAUACAAAAAAUAUAAAGACAAAGAAUUUACCAUUAUGUCCCUAGAGUACUAAUAAUGAGAAGAACAAAGAGAAACUGAAAUAUAAAUUUAUAUAGUUGCACUCAUGAAUGACUAAAAUAACACGAAAUGUAUUAAUUGUCAAUGUGGUUGAGCGCAAAUUACCAUUAUGUCCCUGGAGUACUAAUAAUAAAAACAAAAAUUAUAAAAUCCUUAAAAUAGUUCUAUAGAUGGUAUACUGGUAAUUAAAACAAUCAGUUUUUCCACAUGCCUCUUAAAAAAUCAUUUACAACCAUAAAUAAGUUUACCAAUAUACCCGUAACACAUUAAUUUUGUAUAUGUAAUAUGUAAGAUAUGAGAUAUAUGUGGCGAGGGCAUUUUCGUCCUUUAAACAUACUUAUAACAAUUAACAAACCUCAUGAUACAUUAUAACAGUGGAUAAUGGAUCGACAUACAUAUAUACUUUUCCUUUUAAUGAAGAGGCGUGAAAUAUGCAAUUGACAGAAAUGCCCCUUCUACAAGACACACCUAUUUAAAUUGCAUAAAACCACACCGCUUAACCUAUUUAUUCAUAUUUGAUGUUAGAGUUCUAUAAUUACCAAGGUGUUUUUAUCUUUUACUUAAUAGAAAUAUGUCUCGAUCAAGUAAGUUCAGGUAUAUGUUUUUUUUAUCUAAUGCAAAUAUAAUGACAUAAUAAGUAAAAUAAGAGAAAAACUACAAAAUAUUGGGUAAAAUUAAAAAACGAGCCACACCCUUUAAACAAACCAUCAUUGGGUUAUCAAAAUCAGUAACAUGAAUGUAGUCACUAUAAAUUAUAUGCAAAUAGGUAUACAUGAGAAAUAGCUAAAAUGAAAAAUGAUAACUACCUCCACCUUAUAGUUUAUAAAAAAUAAGGCAAACACCUUAACUACAUGCAUAGAUACUCUACUCCCAAUACUAAAGAAAUUAGUCUACAAAUGGCUUUAGUUAAUAUGUUUUUGGUUUAAACCGGUUCAGAUCAAUGACAAAAAAAUAUAAUUAUAGUAAAACAUGACAGAAAUGCCCCUUAAUUCAAAAUGGGACCAAUCAAUCAAGUAAUACAAAAUACAAUCACGUAAUACCUAAGCAGAGAAAAUAUAACACAAAAAACAGAAAAAAAAUUUAUUUCUAUAAAACAUGACAGAAAUACCCCCGAACUAAAAAAAUAAAAAUAAUCAAAAUUACAUUUCUAUUCGUAUGAGUUUGACGGUACUUUUAGGUUUCUUUGUGUAAUCCGUCAAUGAAUCUGGCCUAUGAGUUUGACGGUACUUUUAGGUUUCUUUGUGUAAUCCGUCAAUGAAUCUGGCCUAUAAACAUGACCUGAACCAAUUUUUUUACUUGGUGAACCAAUUUAAUAGAAAAAAAAAUUUGUUCUAAUUACCAUUCUACCAUUUGUAACUUGGGAAUGAUUAAUUAACAUACAAAGGUGAAUUUUCUCUACCUGCUGCCUUACGUUCAAAAUGACAAAAUUGUAUUGGUAAACAUGAACCAAAAUGGACAAAGGUUUCAAUUUUGGACAAACACAGUAAAAAUAUGAACCAAAACAAUAAACAUUGAUAUAAUUUUGCGAUGGUAUUAUCUCCAAAAGAAUAAAAAAUUUCAAUUUUGCGAUGAUAUAGUUUCAAUUUUGCGAAGAAGCAACGUAAGCAGUAAACCAGAUUGCGGUGAGAGAGAGAGAGAGAGGGCCUGCCGCCUGCGAUUGGUAAUUUGUGAUGGUAUCUCUCGACCGAGAAAGGGGAGCGAUUGAUGAACAGAACCAUAUUAAGAGGAAUUAUGAUUGUCAAAUAAGUUUUUGAUCGUUCUUUUGAUCGUUGUUAUUUAGGACAAUAUCUCAUAGUGAAAUACGAAUAAGGUAUCAGUUAAAGUGUCACACACACGCAUACACAUUAAGAAGCAUAAAUAACUUUCAAUUUUGCGAUUAACACAGACAUUGAGAAGCAGGGGCUUACAUAUACACAAUGAGAAGCAGAAUUGAGAAGCAGAAACUUACCGAAGGAUUGAAGUCGUUGACACAGACUCCAAUAACUGAAGUGUCGAUGAUGCUUGAUUGUUGGAAGACAAUGCUGUAAAGAACCUUGGAAACACGAUGCUAUAAAUAAAUUAAGAAGCAGAAUUGAGAAGAAGAAACUGAAAUCGAGAUUGAAGUCUAAGAUUGAAUAUCCGAUAAAUAAUUAGUCCAUGAUUCAGAAACUUGAAAACAUAAUGCUGUAAAGAAAUAUUGAUUAUCAUAUUUUUGAAAUAUAUAUUGACAAUAAUAUGAUCAAAUCGACAUAAUAAUCAAAAUUAAAUGUAAUCGAUGUGAUUGAUAUGGAUACCAUAAUAACAUGCUCUUAAUCGGGUAAGAAAUGAUUUUGAGUUAAUGUGUACAACUGGUAGCAAAGAUAAAAAUCGGUAAUUAAAAUAGGGAGUUAUAUGGAUUCCAUAUUGGAUUCAAUAUUCAAUUUCAAAUUUCCAUAUUCCACAUCGAUUACUACGUGAAACAAUAAAAUAACAAAAACGGUAUUUUACAUUUGUAGAAUACUAAUUAAUUGCAGAAUACUGAUUUUUUGAAGUUUAUAAUUUCACUAUAAAAAACUGUAAUAACAUAACCAUUUUUAUUUUUCUGAUUUAUUUGAAGUAAUUUAGACUUAUAAUACCUGAAAUAGUGGUAUGUGUUUUAGAGUUUUGUACAAGAGCAUUGUGUUUUUUAAAAGUAUUUACAUAUCUACGGUACUUUUAAAUUUAUUUACUAAAAGAUUGUAAAAUUUUAAAAUUCAUGUGGACCUAUCCCUUUUAUACCAAAAAUAUAAGAAAUUAAUUAUGCGCCUCCCCACCGCUCAUUUUUCUCGCAUUUGUCGCUGGAAAAUGAUGGCCAACAAGAUAAUUUCAAAACAUUAUAAAAAGAUUUCUCUUUCGCUUGUUUGCUCGCUAGAAAAUGAAAACAAACAUAAACGGUCAUAAAUAAAAACAACCAAACACGAAUUAAAUAUAUUGACAGAUUUAGAUUCUUCCGGCUGCGAACUUGGUUUGCUCAUUGGAAUAUGAAUACAACCAAACAAUUUGGAAAUCGAAAAGGAAAUUGUUGGAAAUGCACCACGUUCAUAGAUCUUGUGCCAAAACAUUUCUCGUAUAUAUUUGUUUCAAACAUUGGUCGUUCAAUCAAUGUCAUAUAACUUGGAAAUUUGGAGGGGGGAGGGGUUGUUUAACAGAUGAUACCGAGGGUUAUGAAUGGGUUAGUCGGUGGCAAGGCGGAUGUAGAGGUUCAUCCGCAGUGUGGUUUGGGGAGAAUUUCAGCAGUGUUUUGGAGUUGACGAUGUCGGACGGUGAUCGUGUCAUAGGUGUAAACACUGCACAACACAACAUGUAGACUAGGUAUUACUGGCAAUGCUUGUUAUGAAAAAAAUAAAAAACCAGUAGACUUCAAUCGUUGAAGCAGGGAAAAUGUGGUUGUGGUAGGUUCAAUGGAUGUAUGCGCACUCAUGCACAGUAGGGGUUUGCAGCGGUGCUAAGGGUUGCCAAAUGGUUUUGCAAGUAAUGUGAGCAUCAAAAGACAAUUAACAUGAUUUCAUUUAUUUUAUUUAAGUACAAUUAAAUGGGAAAUAAUUUUAAAAGUACUAUAUUAUAGUAAAUAUUUUUCUUAACCGCUACCUUUUAGUAAAAAACUAUGUGUUUUAAACAGGUAUAACUGUAUAAAAAACCUAAGAGUUUGCAGAGGUUCAUGGGAUUACAUCUUAGUGGUAUGUGCUUUAAGGGUAAACACAUUUUUCUUCUUUUAGGCUAGAUUUAUUACAUCACAAGGAAUCCCGUGGCGAGGGCAUUUUCGUCCUUAGGAUAUAUAAAUUUUGUUUCCGGUACUGUUUUGUACUUUGUAGUGCUUAAGAAACGGGAAGAUAUGAUUAAGUUGUGAAUGAUCUGGAUCCAUAUCAAUGAUCCGGUACUAUUCUACCCUUUGUAAGAGAAAAACACAUAAAGUCACAAACUAUAUACCCCUGUUGUGAAAAUUACCAAUAUGUCACUAUAAAAAAAUGAGCAUUAUUUUGAACAGGUUGUUCUAAUUACCAUUCUACCCUUUGUAACUAGAGAAUGAUUAGUUAAUAUGUCAUGCAUUGUUUCCUCCUGUUGCGUGUUCAAUAUUAUAACAAUCAAUAAACAAUUUUAAUGGAAUUUAAAUGAUUGAAAUUGUAGAGAUGAACAAAAGAAUUGACAAAGGGCAAAAUUGACAUCUAAUGCAUUGUUUCUUCCUGUUGCGUGUUCAAUAUCAUGACAAAUCUCAUUUGACAGCUUCAUUACAAUUUUUGUUUCAUACAUUACCUCAAAUAAUAUACAAGCACAUUCCCAAGAAUGCAUUCACCGAUAUACCAUUUUAUUGUGAAAAUUACCAAUAUGUCCAUGUACAAAAAAUGAGUAUUAUUUUCAACAGGAUUUUAUUGAAUUUAUUCAUAUUUGAGACAUCUUUUUUAUAGAGCAAAUAUACUUAUAACACGAAAAUGAAAAGUAGAAUGGUAUAUUUUUUAAUUUUUUUGAAUUUUAUUGCAAAUAUAUUGGUAAAAAAAAUCUUUAAAAACAUAAUGGUUUCCUUCUUUUACACUAUCAAUAGACACACAUAUAUUAAAAGAAGAUUAAUCUAAUUACAGGCAUAACCCAAAAAGCAGUUUUUUACUUAAGAUAGAGAUUAGCAGCGUAAAGAAACCAAGAACUAUCAAUGUUUGAAUACUGAACACCACGAAGAGCAAAACUGUCAAACAAAAUCCCCAAAAAAAAUAAUUCAAGAAUAUUGUUGGUGCAUAAAAAGGACAAUCUAAAAUUACUUUUCAAGCUUUGGUAUUAAUAGACCUGUGUUUCCAUCCACCCUGGAAUUCAAGCGAGGUAUUUUUGUCGACGAAUUCACAUUAUCAUACUCAUCAAUAUCAAUGCUAUCUCCAACGUUUCGCUUUUUUACCAUUGUGGGCGAAUUAAACUUGAACGGACUUGUAGCUUCUAUUUGUCAUGCAUGGAAGGGGUCAAAUUAUCACUGGUUUGUUAUAUCGCGUCCUUAAAGCAAAAACCCGAAACAGCGUUAGUACGAUAAUAUUAACAAAUUAACAAAAAAAUAAUUUAUAAAAGGAAUUUAUAUAAAAUUAAAAAAUGUGGAUUUAUAUUAUAACCUUUAAUGACUUUGUUUCAUGAGAUGCUUCGUGAGAUGCGAUUUUGUAUCGUCAGCAUUUGUAGAAUUACCUCCCUGCUUCAAAAGUUUAAAUAUGUAUUAUCAUUUGUGGGAUUAAAUUUUUGUUCCAUCAAGAUUUACAAUUAAUUAGUGACGAUCAUUAAAUAAAAGUAUGCAUCAUAAUAAUUAAUUAAUUUUCAAAAAACAUAAAAAUAUAUGUAUAUAAAUACCUCAACAGCUAACUUUUUUUCCAAAACAUUGAUAAUGUUACUAUCAAGCGUAUAGCCAAGUAUCCCAAAACGAUUGUAGUUAUUGGAUACGUUAAAACUAUUAACAUCUAACACGAAUGCCAUCUUUUUAUGCACCAGACAGUUGAGGUCAUAAGGAUACAAUCUCGGAUCAUCACCAGCCUGGAAAGAAUGAGUUAUGUAAUAUUAUUAUGGUUAAAAGCACAUUAAUAUAGAUAAAAUCAAAUAGAUAAUAGAAUUUAAUAAAACAAAUAAUAUAUUUAUAGUAUGUCUGUUUGAUUUUCUCUAUGGGUUCACUUGCACGUUUUUUGACGAGUUUAUAAGCAUCUCUAUCAAACAUAGUGAGUGUGAUUGUUCCAGAUUCAUCUUGGACACGAAUAGGUAUUUUAUACCUACAAAAAAGUACGACAUAAAUAUCAUAUUAAAUAUUAAAUAUGUUUAAUGUGUAAUGUUUGUUAAUGUAUUUAAUUUGUGGGUGAACUAUUGUUAAAUUUUAAAAACCUUGGAACUGAAGAUAUCUCCUUUUUUUACACUUAGAAUUAUAACAUUCAACAACCACACUUGCAUCACCACUAUCUGGACCGCUGAAAACGUUUCUUGGUUCAACCUUCCUUCCACAUUUUGAACACGCAUCAUAAUACCAAUCAAUAUCUUGUCGGAUACCAUAAAUGGUACCAACAAUGAUAUAUUUCCCGACCUUAAAAAAUAUAAAAUACAAAAAGAAUCAUAAAAAAAAAUACAAUUAUAAUAUUAUAAUAAACGAAUAAUAGAUAACAAAAUCACAUUAAAAAAAACUAAAUUAUUCACAUACCUCUUGUGGUUCUAGCAAAUCGACAACAUUUUUAACGUUGUGAUUUGUCAAAAAGUCAUCAUAUUCAUUGCAUGAUUGAGAGCUAUCAACGGUCAAAGAAGAAGAAGGAUUUUGAAUUCCUCGUAAUCCAACCAUGUUGUUUUUUUUAUUUGAUAGAUUAAUUAUGAAAUUAGUAAAAUUAUUAAAAAGAAACAAAAAAAACAAUGAAUUAUUAAAAUAGAUUGUUACCUAUCUGUGAAUGUAACAAUUUCGGGAAGAUCAACAUUUAUGAACAUCGGUGUGUGUUUAUAAUAACUGUUAAAAUAGUUAAAAUAAUGAGCAAUAUAAAAGCCUAAAAUAACAAAGGGGUCCUUUUAUAAGAAAUGUACCGUUAUAGACAUUAAGUCUUGCAAACUGCAAAAUAACAACCACACGACCAACUUCUUUAUGUGCUUCAAGAUAAGAAAUCAAUUGGUAUGCAAUAUCUCCAAACAAUGUGACGUUAACCUGCAAACCUCUGCAAAAACAGUACGGGUUAAAUGAUAAUAUAAUAAUAAAAUUACAUAUGGCAGUUGUAACCUAAUCAAUUUAAUAUAUAAUAAUAAUAAUAAUAAUAAUAAUAAUAAUAAUAAUAAUAAUAAUAUAAGAUAUAAUAUAAGAAAAGUUAUGAUUUGUAAAGUUAGCCGAUGUUUGGAUUUGCUGACAUCACGGGAAUCAAGCUUUCCUAACGAAACAACUUCACCAAUAACAUCUACAAAAUGAUAAUACAAUAUGUCAAAAUGAUGUAAAAUUAAAGAAUUAAAUAUAAGAUGCAAUUAAAUAGGGGAAACAUUUACCAAUUGAGUUAUUAGAUGUAGCUGUUGCAGAAAUAAUGCUUUCAAACGAUACACAACAAAAGUCAUAUGUUGUUUUGGACUAAAAAGUUAGACAAUCAUUAACAGUUUUUCGUCCAUGCAAGUUUAACUUGGAGAGUACAUCACUUAUUUUAAAAAUGUAUCUGUUUGGAGCUAUAGUGGGGGAUCGGAUGUAAAUUGCUUUAUCUUCUUUCAGUUUUAAAAGUGUAUCUCUUGGGUAGACACUUGCUCGGAUUUUUGUACCCUAUUCACAUAUCGUAAGAAUAUUAUAUAUAUUGCGAAACAAUUGUAUAUUAAUUUAUAUAAAUUGGUCAACAUUGAAUCAAUUAUUUGACCAUGAAUGAUUUUAAAUAAUAUUAUUGGAAUGAGCAAAUAAACAAAAAAAAAUAAUUUUGAAUAAUGUAAUUAGAAUAGGAUAUUUUACCAUCUCAUCCAUUAAUAUCAUUUCAAGUGCUUUGACAAUACUAGGGUUAACUUUGGAUAAUGAUCUCCACAGCCGGAUAAUACACACUUUUAGUGUUUAAUCAUCCCUCAUGUUGUCUAAGUCUUUGAUCAAAGUGACAUUUCUAUCUGCCAUUGUCACUAUAAUAGAAAGACAUAACAUAUUAAGAAAAAAUAAUGGAACAAAAUUACACAAAAAAUAUAAAGACAAACAUAAUUACAAUUAUGUCCCUGGAGUAGUAGGCGGAUAAAAAGAUUCUGAAUAAUACAAUAAAUUAUUAUAAAACAUUCAAACAUAUUCAAACAAACUAUAUACCGCUGCUGUGAAAAUUACCAAUAUGUCCCUGGAGUUGUAGGCGGAUAAAAAGAUGAAAAACAAACAGGGCAUUUUCGUCCAUUGAACUUACUUAUAACAUGAAAAAUAAAAGUACAAUGCCAUUAUAUGUAAUAUUUUCGAAUUUUGUUGCACAUAUAAUUUUUUUUUUUGUACUGUACUGUUGGAAUACAUUUUUCUUUCCUUCUGUUAUUUUACUUUGUAACUAUUGGAACUAAUGUUUAUUAUGUUAUAUAAAGAUAAGCAUUGAUGGAAAGGAUACUAUUAGGGAGGAUGAUGUUGAUGAAUUGACUUCCAAUUCCAUAGUUACAGAUUAUGAAAUAUCAAGCAUAUCAGGUUCAGAACUAAAAUAGAACAAAAUUACACAGAAAGACAUAACAUAUUAAGAAAAAAUAAUGGAACAAAAUUACACAGAACAUAUAAAGACAAACAUAAUUACAAUUAUGUCCCUGUAGUAGUAGGUGGAUAAAAAGAUUCUGAAUAAUGCAAUAAAGUAUUAUAAAACAUUCAAACAUAUUCAAAUAAACUAUAUACCCCUGAUGUAAAAAUUACCAAUAUGUCCCUGGAGUAGUAGGCAGAUAAAAAGAUGAAAAACAAACAGGGACAACCUCAGUGAUUCAAGCAUAUCAGGUUCAGAAAAAACAAAAAACAGAGAAUUAGAUAAAAAGAUGAAAAUACAUUCUCCAUAUUUUACAGAUUUACAGAUUAUGAUAUAUCAAGCAUAUCAGGUUCAGAAAAACAAAAAACAUAGAAUUUGACAGCCUCAGUGAUAAAAUCGGUAAUUAUAAGUAAAACAAUAACAUACAACGUUAAUGUGGCCUAAGUCCUAAUUCAUAUAAAUCUGAUUAUUUACCAAUCGCAGGCGUACCUUCAAUAGUUCAAUGGGAUAGACUCGAAGAAGCAACGUAAGCAGUAAAGCAGAUUGCGAUGGGGGUAGAGAGAGAGAGAGAGGGCAUGCCGCCUGCGAUUGGUAAUUUGCGAUGGUAUCUCUCGACUAAGAAAGGGGAGCGAUAGAUGAACAGAACCAUAUUCAGACGAAUUAUGAUUGUCAAAUAAGUUUUUGAUCGUUCUUUUGCAAUUAACACAGACAUUGAGAAGCAGGGGAUUACAUAUACACAAUGAGAAGCAGAAUUGAGAAGAAGAAACUUACCGAAUGAUUGAAGCCGCUGAUUGAAUAUCUAAUAACUGAAGUAUGGAUGAUGCUUGAUUGUUGGAAGAUGAUGCUGUAAAGAAUGAUUCAUAUUUGUAUGCUUCAAGUAUAUAUUGAACAUAAUAAGAUCAAAUCGACCUAAUAAUCAAAUUUAAAUGUAAUUGAUAUGAUUGAUAUUGAUACAAUAAAAAGAUGCUCUUAAUCGGGCAUAUAACGAAAUUGAUUCAAUAUUCCAUUCGAUUUCCAUCCAUAUUCCAAAUUCCACAUUCAAAUUGCCAUAUUUCCAUAUCUAAUUUCCGUAUGUAAUGCUACGUGAAACCAAGCAGGGGUAAAAAUGGGAUUUAACAUUGGCAAGAAAGUGAAUUUUUGUUAGGACACGUUUCAAACAGGUUUUGUUUAUUAGAUAGGGAGAUGUUAUGAAUCUUGGUUAUGAUAAUACGAAUAUUGUAUGCUUGUACUUGAUUUACGAUCGAUUAUGUGGGGUUAUGCAUAGAGGGCAAGGGUAGGACCUAACACUUAGCAUGAAACCCUAUCCAGAUACAUUCGAGCCUCGUUAGUUGAGAAAUACCUUCUAGGAAAAGAGAUUAAUCCAUUUACGAGUUGAUCGGUCUUUCUAGAUGCCCGUGCGACACAUUGUACGCGUACACUUCGGUGUUUGCGGAUUGGAGUGAUGUUGGCCAUUCGAACGAGGCUUGUACAGACAUCACGUAGGUGUUGGGAGGUGGCGGACGAAUGCCACUGCUUGUACCAACACCAGAACGGCACCGCGAUGUACUUGUACAUUACAUAGUCGGAGUAGUGAAAGUGGAGUCUUGGGGUCGGUGUGGCAGGGGGGGGUCACGAACCACCUAAAGCACUUGGUUGUCCAGACACACAAGUAGCGAACGGGUUUUCCUUUUGGGUUAGGUAUUACUACGAGACUACCUAUGCCUAUACGAUUAUGAUACAUUUUUUUUUAUAUGAUGAUAUACGAUUACGAUAUGAUUAUGCAUGAAAUACAAUUGAUGUUACAUAAAUGAAUGAUAUGUGAAUGGAUGAUACAAAGUUGAAUGAUUGAAUUUUAUGUGAAAUAUGAUUGAUUAUUGAUUGGUAUGUGAAUUUUGUUUAUAUGAUUAAAAUAUGAAUGAUUGACCCGUUAAGGGAUGGUAUGUUUUCCCUUUGAUUGUGUACAAACUCUUAUUGGCUCACGAAGCAUUUGUUGACACUUGUUUCUUUGCUUUGUGCCUUUAUGAUUGGUACAGGUAGCUUAAGAGCUUCGCUUGGUGAGAUGGGGUCAUUUUUUGGUAGUUUAUCCUUAGAAUAAAGAUGCCACUUGGAAACGUUAUUUAUUUUUUGAUACUUAUGCUUCCACUACAAUUAAAUACUUUUGAUAUUUUGGUUUUAAAUUGAACGUAACUUGGUGGUUUGAAAUGUUUUUAAAAUAAAUAAUGUGUACACUCUUCCGUUGCAUUUUCCGUUAAAAGAUUUUAAAAAUAAAUGAAAUUUUUUCGCGAAAAAUCAUGACUUUACAAUUAAAUCCUUAAUAGAUUAAGUCCUUAACAGGUUAAGUAGGAACACUUAACCCUAAUCGUCAUUUUAUGUGAAAAACCCUAAUUGGGUUUGGGUUCUUAUUAGGUCACUUAUUGGACUGAGUUGUUGUGGGCCUUUGUGGGCCAAUUGGGAACAUAUUUAUGGACUAAGGAAAUUAUUGGUCUUUAGGAUAAGGCCCGUUGGAAAGGCUUGGGCCCAAUUUGGAAAAUUGGGCCAUAAUUAGGCCUUGAUGAUUAUGAGACUGGAUUAAAUGGUUGGGCCUUAAGAUAAGCCCAUGUAGAGGUUUGGGUCCAAUUUGGAAAAUUAGGCCAUAUGUUGGGCUUUGGUCCAUAGUUUGACUUUUGGGCUUUUGGAUUGGGCCUUGGAGUUGAAUAAAGCUAAGUCAGGGGUAAAAUAGUCUUUUACCCUAACCAUGGAAUUAUGGUUAUGUAUUGGAACCCAAUUAUUAAUUGGGUGUCGUUUUGAUGUUGAUAGUUUAGGAACCUAUCAACCAGCAGCUAAGAUUUUACCCGUGGAACUUGAGCAAUGCGAAGUGAGUCUCCUCACCAUACCAACGGGUCGAAGGCACCAAUGUCAGCCCAUUUUAUGUUAUGUGAUACACUAGCUAAAGUUGUAUUAUGUGGCAUGUUAGCUGGUUAUGUCAUAGGAAGUAUGCUAGUGGUAUAUGUGGUAUGCUUGUAUGGAAGACCAUGGGAGAGCCCAUGGCACCUGGAUGUAAGACCAUGUGGAGAGCCUAUGGCUUUCUUACUAUGUUUUAGUGUUAAUGUAGAUUCACUAUUGAUAUGUUUGGUAUGCACGUAUAUGUGGUAUGCUAGUGAUUAAGUGAUAUACUAGCUGACUAUGUGGUAUGUGGUAUGCUAGUUGUCUUUGUGAUACUUGCAUGAAAGCCCAUGGGAGAGCCCAUGGCACCUGGAUGUAAGACCAUGCGGAGAGCCCAUAACUUUCUUACUAAAGACCAUGGGAGAGCCCAUGGUAACCAGAUGUAAGACCAUGUGGAGAGCCCAUGGCUUUCCUAUUAAAGACCAUGGGAGAGCCCGUGGCAUUUAGGUGUAAGACCAUGUGGGGAGCCCAUGACAUCCUGGAGUAAGACCCUGGGGACGAGCCCACGACAUCCUUAUAUGUUUAUAUUCAUGGCUUAUAUGAUUGAUAUGACUUAUGUGGAUAUGUAGCUAAUAUAACUAAUAAAUAUUAUGAGAUUAUGUGGAUUGUAUGAGGUAUGCUCUGGGGAAUUCACUAAGCUUCGUGCUUACAGUUUUGUUUAUGGUUUCAGAUAUUUAACUUUAGGAAAGGAAGGGCUCAGCUUGACCGCAGCGUACACACCCAUGCUUUCCACAAUGAAUGAAAUGUUUUAAUUAACAAUGUUUUGGAAUGAUUGGAAUAAAUGAUAUCUAUGUUUGGGUUAUAUUAAAAAUGAAAUUGUUACCCCUGAUUUUUGGGUUGUUACAAUGAUAUUCAAUUAAAACACAGGUCUUUUGGCCUAGCACUAUCAUAUGUUGGAAAAGUGACCCUUCCUAAUGUUAGAAAAACGGGUUAUUUUGAUUGCUUGGAUACCAUUGAAAGUCAUGAUACACUUUCAAAUUGAAUUAUUUUGAUGGUACAAUCAAAAUAUCAAUUGGAUAAAAUUCAGUGACAAACAGAGAAUGAAAAUGUUAUGAUUCUUGUGUGUACCAGAUUUAAAUAACCAAAAAGGGAUAUAACUCCUUAUCUGAAAACUAUCAUAUUGACAUUUACAAACUGCCACAAAACCGUCACUAAAUUGACUUAGUCAGCUUGACAAACAAGAACCACAUAUUUAACAUACAAAGCAAAGAGAAAAAGUUUCCUAAUACUUGUAAAAAUCAAAUGAUGUAAAAAAAUUAGAUGUCACAAAAUCUAGUAUUAACAUAGAUUUAAUAAAACUGAUAGAUUACUUGUUUAUAUAUCGUAAAAAUUUAUUCCCAAGGUCAUCCUUAACUCACUAAUAAAUUUUGGGAGUAACGAUAUAACAAUAUCUAUUCGGUACUCCUUUGAUAAAAUUUUGAAUUUUGUGUGGUCAAUAAGUCGUAUUUUUGGAUUGCUAAUAGGAGUAGAAAAGCUAAAAUCAUUUGGGUCUAUGAGCUUCGUAAUCCUAUUUUAGCUUGCACUCUUAUGUAAUGCUAUUUUUCCUUGCUUCCUGCUAGUUUUUAUAAAAUUUUUUGCUGUUCCAAAAAAAAAAAAAAAAAAAAACUCCUCUAAUAUAUUGGUCGGUCGACUUUGAGAUACAAUUAAGAAGGUUCUCUAGCCACAUCACACAUCAUCCUCCCCCAAUGACCACCACACAAUAAUAUCGAUUUGGUAUAGACCAACAACUCUCUAUUUCCCCAUCUCCCUUAAAUCAAUCUUCACUUCCUUACUUUUCAGUUUGUUUUUUAAUAUUCAUACAUAGAAACUCAUGUUGGAGCAGUUAACACACAUAAAUGUCCUUAAUAUUGGAAUCCCUCACCAACAAAGUAGCAUCGUUAAGUAACUAAUAAGUUAGAGACCAUACGUACAAAUUAGCCCAAACCAUAGGGACCAUUCGUGUAAUUUACUCUUCCUCUUAAUAUACAUAUUUUUUAUUAGAGACAGACCGCUGUCAUCCUCAAUAUAAUACAUGUGUCCCCAAGUCCAUUUUGCAAUUCUUUUUGGAUUUGGCAAACUUGUAUAUACAAUUUCCUCUCUUUACUUUUCAUAUGUCAUAACCUUUGCUUUAGUUAUUGCUUUCUUCUUCCAAUUUCUUGUCACCUUGUAAAUAUUUCUUUGACCUCUCUUCUUUCCCAAUUGUCACUACUUAAUAGAAAUUCUUUAAAAGGAGUUUCUUUAUUUUGACCUUGAACCUUCUUGCUCCACCAUUCCGAUUAUUAGCUUAGCCUUUCAUCCUUGACGGAUAUGGCCUCCUGCUACAAUUACCAUGUAACAGAGCCGGCCCAAAGCAAGUUCAUCCAGUGCCUUUGAACAUGGCCCAAAAAAUCAGAGGGCCCAUUUUUUUUCAUUCUUUAAUAGGGUAUGUUCAUUUGGCCCAAAAAAUUUAGGUUAUAUCCAUCUAUAUACUCAGUUAACGAAUGCAGGAAGCAGGCAAGAGGGAGCAGGAACUCAAUUUUCGGGAAAAAGAGAACUCUUCGGUUUCUUCAUUGGUAACGCACGCAUGGAUAAUAGGAAUCAUCAUUGCUGGAACGGUAACAUCAAUUUACAUUCAUUUAUCAUUCAUUCUAUUCCAUCAAUUUACCUUCACUUCUUAUUUCUUCCUUCUUUAUCUUCUUCUUCACUGAUCAGUUUUUACAAAGAUUACCAACAAUUUUAGAAGAUUCAAAAGAAGAAAUUCAAAGCCAUCAAAUUUCGAAAUCAGAAGGUUCAAUAUCAGAAUUCAGAACAAUCAAAAUUCGAAAUAAGAAGCUUCAAAAUCUUACAGUCUUACAGUCUUACAGUUUGAGUUUCGAAAUCAAAGGUAUAAUACUAAAAUUAAACUUUAGUUUAUUGUUUCAUGGGUUUGUUUUUUCUAAUUGAGUAAUUUGAUAAUUUCAGAUUUCUUAUCGGUUCUUCUUUUUUCAUUUUCUUUAAUUCCAAAUUACUAAAUCAGGAUGAACAAUCAACAGUGAUAUCAGUUUUCAAAAAUUUGAACUUAGAAGGAACAAGGAAUUGAGGUAAAUUCUAAUUCAGAUUUCUACUUUUUAUGUUUUUUUGUUUAUGAUAAUUUCGAAUUUGUAAGAACUAAGAAGUAAUUAUGAAUUUAUGAUCUCAUCAUUUCAGAUUGCAAAUUUUCUGAUUUCCUUAGAAUCAUAUUCUUGUUUUUUUGAUUUGAAGUGUCGAUGAUAAUAAGGUAAUUUUUGGAUUUCUUAUAUGAUAUCAUUGCAGAUUUUGUGAUUUCUUUAGAAGCAUAUUCUGAUUUUUUUUCUUUGCAGUUUUGUUACAUUCUUUUGGUGAUUUGAAGUGUGGAAAAUCUGAACCAAGAAGGAAUCUAUAAAUUGGAAGUCAUAAAUAAGGUCGUUUCUUUCUUUUCUAUAACUUAUUAUGCCUCCUAAAAUAAAAAAAUAUGCAUCUGGAUAUGAAAAACGUAAGAAAAAACAAAAAAUUGAAGAAGAUAAUAAAACUCAAGCAGGAUCUAUGGAUAAGUUUAUAACAAAAAAAACACAAAACUUUACGAAAAAUGAAACACAAAAUGUUAAUGAAGCUAAUCUUGAUAAAAUGAUAAUGUUGAUGUUGAUGUUGAUGUUGAUGUUAAUGAUAAUGUUGAUGUUGAUGUUAAUGCUAAUGUUAAUGUUAAUGUUAGUGAUAAAGUUGAUUUUAAUGAUAAUCCUAAUGUUGUUGUUGAUGAUAAUGUUGAUUUUCACACUUUUGAUAUAUUUGAUCCAAGAAAUCGGGAUGCUCUUGAUUCUAGUAUGAUAAAUAUUUUAGUGUUGAAAGGUCCUAAAAGAGAUUUGUCUCUUACAAAAGGUCCUAAAGAUAAAUAUUUAAGAAGAUUUUCUGCAACAUAUUAUACUAAAACUUUACCAAAUGGGGAAAAAUGUGAUAGAGAUUGGCUUGUUUAUUCUAAAGAAAUUGAUAAAAUUUUUUGUUUUUGUUGUAAAAUAUUUCGAAAAGGGUGUCGGAAGGGUCAAUUAGCAAAUGAGGGUUUUAGGGAUUGGAUACAUCUUAACACUAGAAUUAAAGAGUAUGAAACUAGUAUGAAACAUGUUAAAACUAUAAAUACUUGGUAUGAUUUGCGUUUAAGAUUACAAAAAAAUGAAACUAUUGAUAAUGCGGCUCAAAAACAAUUAGAAAAAGAAAAAGUUCAUUAGAGACAAGUUUUGUUGAGAAUUAUUUCUAUUGUGAAAUUUCUUGCUAAACAUAAUCUAGCUUUUCGUGGUACUAAUGAGAAAUUGUAUGAAGAUAACAAUGGAAAUUUUUUAGGCUUAUUUGAAAUGUUGGCUGAAUUUGACAUGGUUUCUUAUGACCAUAUACAACGUAUUACAAAUGAAAUUGGUAUCCAUAAACAUUAUCUUGGGCAUAGGAUACAAAAUGAAUUAAUACUUUUGCUUUCUUCAGAAAUAAAGUCUAUGAUUAUUAAAAAGAUAAAAAAUGCAAAAUAUUUUUCUAUAAUACUUGAUUGUACUCCUGAUAUAAGUUACCAAGAGCAAAUGACUAUUAUUUUAAGAUGUGUAGAUGUCUUGUCAAAUGUUGUUUGCAUUGAAGAGUCUUUUUUAGGGUUUUUAGAUGUAAAUGAUACAACCGGCCAAGGACUCUUUGAUGUUUUACAAAAUGAAUUGAAUUUGCUUGAUCUUGACAUUAAUAAUAUACGUGGCCAAGGUUAUGAUAAUGGAUCAAAUAUGAAAGGAAAACAUCAAGGAGUGCAAAAAAAGCUUUUAGAUAUAAAUUCAAGGGCUUUUUAUACUCCUUGUGGUUGUCAUAGUUUGAACUUAACUUUAUGUGAUAUGGCUAAUACUUGUGGUAAAGCUAAAGGUUUUUUUUGGAACAAUACAACGUAUCUAUACAAUUUUUGCAAAUCCCACUAAGAGAUGACAAAUUUUAAAAGAUAAUGUGAAAGGGGUAACUCCUAAAUCGUUGUCAUCCACUCGUUGGGAGAGUCGUGUUGAUAGUGUUAAAGCUAUAAGAUUUCAUAUACAAAAAGCUUUACUUCAAGUAGCCAAAAAUGAUAAUGAUCCAAAAAUAACAAGUGAAGCUAAAUCCUUAGCAAAAAAUGAACUUGACAACUUUGAGUUUAUAUUGGCAUUAGUAAUUUGGUAUGAAAUGUUAAACACUAUUAAUUUAAUUAGCAAACAAUUGCAAUCAAAAGAUAUGUUUAUUGAUGUUGCUAUGGAAAAAAUAAUGGGGUUAAUUUCGUAUUUUAAGGAAUAUAAAGAAAAUGGGUUUUUAAAUGCUUUACAAACCGCAAAAGAUAUUGCCUUAGAAAUGGGGAUCGAUCCAAUAUUUCCUAAAAAACGUGAACCUAAAAUAAAAAAACAUUUUGAUGAGAUUUCAAACGACACUUCUUAUAGUUUUUCACAAUCCGCCCAAGAGAAAUUUAGAGUUAAAUAUUUUAUUUAUAUUGUUGAUCAAGCAAUUAGUUCUUUAACUACAAGGUUUGAACUAUAUCAAUAAUAUGAUAAAAUAUUUGGCUUUUUAUUUAAUUCAGAAAAAUUGCUUUCAUUAGAUGAUAUAACAUUAAAGUCUUGUUGUAUGUCUCUUGAAACUUCACUCAAGAAAGAUGAGCAAUCGGAUAUUGAUGGAAAUGACUUAUAUGUUGAAUUAAAAUUACUUUUACAUCUCUUGCCUAAGGAAAAAUUGACAGCAAUUGAUAUUCUAAAUUUUUUAAAACGUGUUGAUUGUUUUCCUAUUACAUCUAUUACAUAUAAAAUUAUGUUGACUAUUCUUGUUACUGUUGCAUCUGCAGAACAGAGUUUUCCAAAAUUGAAGAUUCUGAAGUCCUACUUAAGAUUUACAAUGACUCAAGAACGACUUAAUGGAUUGGUUUUGAUGACGAUUGAGCGUAAUAUGUUGGAUAAAGUUACUUAUGAAGAUGCUAUUGAAAAAGUUUAUUUCAACGAAUAUUAGGAGGAUGACUGUUUUCAAGUAGAAGCUAAUUUUUUUUUGUAUUAUUUUGAAUGAAAUUUUAAUUUUAUGUAUUUGCAAUAGAAAAUUAAACUAUAAUUUUUUUUUUGCUUAAAUUUUGAGAUCUUUCAAAUUUUAGAGCCUAUUUUUUGUUAAAUCGCACAUGGUCUUCAAUAUCUCAGGGCCGGCCCUGCCAUGUAGACCGAGACCCCUACUUGUAACUAACCUUUUCGGUCCUAAUAGAUACACAUGUAAAAAACUAAUAACUACUAACUAACUAUUAAUUAUUUAAUAUAAAAUACAAAUAGAACAUCAAUGAUAAAUAUUAAAAGGGUGUUGCUAAAUUGACACCCCUUAGACACCCUAUAAACACUUUUAUUAAAAGUCAAUUUAUAAUAAACUAUUCACAAUUUACUUUUUCAAAAAACAAUGCAAAUUAACUAAUAAAAAAAUCUUAAAAAUCAAAUAAGGUUUCAACAUGAGAGAAAUUAUAUUGCAAUAAGUUUGUUGUCAGGUGAGGAAUACAAUGCAUAAAUGAUUUACAAAAUCGAAAGUUCCAGACACAAGUUAAAACUUAAAACCCUAAAAGACCACACAAAUUUCAAUCGUCGACAUACCCCACCACAAAGGCACAAACAAUCAAUGAAACAAGUGUAGAUGUAGAGGCCUUUUUCACCACAAUCACCCUUCAUCGGCCAUUUCGAAGGCCACGUGAAAUGUCACUAACGUGGCCCUCUAAAUAUCCACUACUUUGUCUUUAACCCCUCCCCCCUCCCUUAUAAAACACUCCAUCCUCCUCCUUAAUCACCAUCACCAACAACCUUCUCUCCUCCCUCAAAAGUACCACCAUCUUUUCCGACAUGGCUACUUCUUCAAUCUUCAUGGCAACUCCCAUCACACUCCUCAAGAAAACUCCCACCUUCUCCGUCAAAUGUAUGUCACAAACACCUCAAAGCGGUGAACCGGAGGUUUCAAAACCAGCAACCACCCCAACACUACCACAGAUCAACAUUCCUCCUCCUCCGCCACCUGCUCCAAAGGUCAGCACGAAGUUCUCUGACGUGUUGGCGUUUAGUGGACCUGCACCGGAGAGGAUCAACGGAAGGUUAGCCAUGAUAGGGUUUGUGUCGGCGAUGGCUGUGGAACUGAGCAGCGGUCAAGACGUGUUCACCCAGAUCGGCAACGGCGGUGUUGCGGUGUUUGUCGGGACAAGUGUGGUGUUGACGUUGGCGUCGUUGGUGCCGUUGUUUAAAGGAGUGAGCGUGCAGUCGAAGUCGAGUGGACUGAUGACAUCAGAUGCAGAGCUUUGGAAUGGGCGGGUUGCGAUGUUGGGUCUGGUGGCUUUGGCUUUUACUGAAUAUGUUAAAGGCAGUGCCCUUGUCUAGAUAAUGUAGCAUAAACUUUUCUAUUACAGAAUUACAUCUAAGAUAGGCAAAUGUAUAUUCUUUUGAAUAUUUAUGUGUAUCGAUUUACCAUACAUAGUUCAAAUCAUGAAAAUCAUGUUUUUUUGAUAAUAUAGUAUAAAACAAAUAUGAUCAAUCAAAUCGAACGAUUGUGGUAUCUUUCAAUAUAAAAUUCUUUUUACAAAAAUAAACAAACAACAUACUAAGAUAAUUUUUUGAGGAAUGAACCUAGAUUAGCAAUAUAAGAGUCAAAGUCUACAAAGAUAUUGACAUCCUAGUUUCACAACUUCCUCUUUGAAUGUUGAAGGUGAUCAUUAAUUCAGACUGAAUAUGUGGCUAAGUCCAGCCUAGUCAAUUAGCCAAUUUAAGUUGACAAGUAUCCAAAAUUCAAAUAAACUACAUGGCUCAAUUUCAAAGAAAACUGAAAAAUGACUAAUGCUCACAAAAUGAUCACCGAAUCAAUUUAGGCUAUGAGGAGUGGUCACAUUCAAACCACCGGAAAAACGCUGCAAAGUCAGUGAUAUGUCAACUCCAUCACCUUCUAAACAUUGGAAACAAUUACCACUCCGUGUCAUUUAUAUUUUCAUUUUUUUUACAUUAGAUUAAAUAAAAAACAUAAUUACUAACUUAAGUAAUCAUUUUACUAAUUAAAAAAUCAACUAAACAUAUAUUAAUUUUCAAAAUUAAAUAAACAUAUAUAGUAUAUAUAGUUGAGGGUUUAACUUAAUUCAAAGAAAAGUAAGAGGGUAUAAUAAGAUUAAAAGACAUAAUUUUAGAGACCAAAUUUGUAACUUUAGUUAAAGCAAAUAUGAAUGGUCUUCUUCACAGGUCAUUGCUCAAUACCAUUUUUUUUCUUUUACUUCGAUGGAUACAAAGGAAAAGGGAAAAAAAGGGUCAAAUAAAUGACCGUUAUUGUUCUUGCUUUCUUAUCCGUCGUCUUCAUCCGUCUUUGCACCCACAUUACACCCAAACCACCGGCCUUAGGGGUGGUGGUGUUCACGUGUCCUUAGGCCGGACACAUCAGCAAGAUGUGUGAGUUAGUCCUCCCACUCCGAUUAGCCUUAAGCACUUAUUAAAAGCUAGUCUAUUUCUUGUUAGGUUGAAAUCUAAUGUUAUCAUCAAAUCUAUACAAGAUUGAGAUUGAUAUUAUAGUAACAAUCUCCCAAAGAAAAAUAAUAUAUUUAAAAGAAUAUAUAUAUANNNNNNNNUAUAUAUAUAUAUGAAUUAUGCCCCAAGAAGUACUAUGCAUGAGUAUAAGAUUACUAUUAUCUUUGGAUCCAUUAAUUGAUAACUAAGCAUACUUCAAAGUUACUAUAUGGUCGUAUGAGACCCGCGAAUAGGAAAUUGGCUGCACCCUUGGCCCGAUUCGAAGGCUAAAACCCAAAAGAACCAUGCACAUGAUUCGAACCAAGUGCUCUAAUGCUAUUUUGCCCAACUUACAUGAACUACCUCCAUACACAUACUUAAGAAACCCAUAAUCUCAUCCAGAUAGAGCAGGAAUGCCAGAGAUAAUCGGAAUAAUACCUCAAUCAAUUACAAAAAACAUCCGCAUUAUCGGUUGAAACAAGAUCCCAUACUUGAUUGAGACUGAACGGAUUCCAUCGCUACACAACUAGCUCGAGAAGACUUCCACGGAUCUCGAAAGUUGCCUAAACCUGAGUCUGCUAUGAAAUAGGUUCCCACUCCACCAUUGAGGGUAAACACACUUGAAGCCCCAAUGGACAUAGAUCAUACUAAGCUUGAUAACAGAUCAGCCUGACCACUACAUCUCGACUGACACAAUUAAACUUCCAAGUGAACUUUUAUUGAUUGAUGAACCCCACAACCAGUGGUCGAGGACACUUUAACACUUAGUCCAGAGAAUCAAGACCACAUAGAACUGAACAUACCCACUCAUGGAAAGAUCCAUCGACCAACGUCUGCCCAACUAAUAUGAAAAUAGUAAUCCAACAACAAACUGGGAAAUCCCUCAACAGCUAAAAAUACUCAACCUGAGAAUCCCGAUUCUCCUCCACUUAGGGCUUAAACUACCAUUCACUAGCGCUAAAACCAAAUCAUAAAUCAAACCAUAUUGAGGAUAUACUCCCUUCCUAACCCUGGAAGUUACGAGCCUCUUCACUCCUUCCCCGAACUCGGAAAAAAUGAAAGGGCAUAACCCUAGCCAUUGAUAAUGACGUUCCAAACCAACAAUCAACCACUUCCAACUGUAAAACCCAAGUCAAUCUUAAUCAUCGUCCCCUUCACGAGUCCCGCGACUCGAAUACCCGACCUCAAGCAAAACCCCCGAGGCCUCAAACAAAAAAGCUCCCUAGGUCUGCACCAAACAAACAAAAUCACUAACGCCACUGGGGCUCAAAACACUUACCAUAUCCAUCCGCAUGUCGGAGCAUCCACAAGCAAAAUAUUAACAGGAACAUAAACACUGCCGCGAAUCAUGGUAUCCAACCAUGCUAUCUUCACCGACCAACCCUUAGAAUCCCCAAAACCUUCCUUGAUUAGAUUAUGGAUCCUGUGCUUCAAGUAGUACUGGCCCAAUACUACCUUCCAUACCUAUCCAUACUUUCCUCAAGAAUCAUCCCAAGUCUUUUAAGUCCUAGUCAUAAAAUACUCCUGAAACUUGCUUAACAAUGAAGCAACCACGCUAAAAUACUCACCUACACUCCCUCUGCCAUCAACUGCUGAUAAACCCCUACCAAUGCCAGCUAACCACUUCAUGAAUACAAUUACACACAACCAAGCUUAAAUAAUCCUUCGAAUAAAGGGCUUAGCCCUACAACGAUUGGACUCAAACGAGAGCUGCACAAUAGGUUUGAGUCCUUCAUUCUAAGAUUAUUUAACCUUCAUAGCAUGUAAUUUUAUUAUAUUCACUUGAUGGUUAACUCCCAUCAACAUGGGUCCCACAAAGCACAAAGCAAGCAACAUUCGGGUAGAGAAGCCGACUGCGACUAAAACGCAACAAAAUCAGACAUAUCCUCAUAGAAAAUCCUCGAUCUCAAACUCCUCGCACCACGAGUGCGCCUUCACCCUGCUCUCACUCUCCCCAGAGUGGUUAAUCAUUCCUCGUGCUUACCCGCUAUACACUGCACCCACUCAUGAAACUUCCACCAACCCUACAACACUCGUGUAUGCUAGCCGUACAUAACACUGGAUCCUAUAGACAGUCGAAUAUCUGAUCCUACUCUAAGCCCUUCAUCAAACAAGAACAUGAAAUAAGGCCAAACCAAACAUUCUCAGGCUAUAGAAUCUUAGUUAUGUACAACUAUGAUGUAUACACUAAGUAACUGUAGUAGAUGAUGUCAAUUUCAUUUAAGGAAGAACCCUAGGCUAUCAGACAUCAUAUAAUCAUGCAACUUUGUCAUGCAAUUCCUGAAGAUCCCUAGCCUAUCACUACCAUGCUAUUCUAAUAUUUCACAAGAUCAAAUAAAGUGUGGUAAUUUGGGGUCUACUUACUAGCUCCGACUGAUCAUACACAUCGUAUCCUCUUUAGUUUGAAAGUUAUUUUUAAAACCUUUACUUUGAAAAUUACUUUUUUUAAAACACCUUUUCCUUAGUUUGAGACCGGAUUCACACGAGUUUUCCUCCCAUUCACUCAAACCAAGGCUCUGAUACCAACUAGUAACGUCACAAAAAUUUCAACAAAUCUAAACCUUUCAAAACAACCCAUAUGUUAACAAAAGUGAUUUGAUCCGCAGGCACUCUGCACGCCUUGAACUCCCGUAAUGAGGGAGUUCGAGCCCCAAUCUGACCCACAGUGAUCUCAGAUCGGAAAGAACAAUCCGCUCCUCCAUAUCCUCCAUGAUCCCCUCCUUGACGGUACUGAACCCGAUCUCGAACCUGAACCUCCUCGCGUAGCCAUCAUAAUCUUCAACUGAAAAUACAACAUAGAAAGAAAUUGAUAAGGAAGUUCAAAGGGAUUUCUCCCCACUGGACUCCUUAAAGCCUUCAGGUAUGUCCUUGUCUCGGGUACAAGUCUUGUGCUUUUAGUAGUACGGACCAAAUACUACCUUCCACACCUACCUGUACAUUCCCCCAAGGCCAUACCUGAUACCUCCAAUUCACCAAACCAUAGAUAAAACAUGACCUACGAAACACAGCACAUACACAUAUCUUAGAAUCUUCGGGGAUUUCUCAAUCCUCAUAGAACCAGAAACCUCAAUCAACACCGCAUGUUGCCUUAUGCAUGCAAGUUAUACAUUAAUAGAAUCAUAGAGACUGUCAAAUAAAGUUUCUACCCUAAGACCACAACCAAACAAGGAACAAGAAGUAAGGCAGAAUCCAUCGUUCUAGGGCUAUAAAAUCCUAAACAUAUACAACUUUGAAAGCAUACACUUAGCAAAUAACAACGUCAACAUCGAUUCCAAGCAUUAUAUUCAUAGCAUUGAACUCUCCUAGGCUACAAGGCAUCUCACAAAUCAGACAAUUCUCAUAACACCUAAAGGUAUCCUUAGCCCUAUUCUAGCAUGCAUUUCACACAUUAACAUACUAGUUGCAAUUCAUAAGCAUGGUUAAAUUUUUGGAAACACUUACUUGAGCUUGGCUGAUUUCGCGCAUUGCGCUCUCCCUUUUUACUUAAGAAAACCGGUUUAAGAAAAACUUGACUUUUGUUUCUUUUUUUAAAAAGGUUUACCAUUUCCUCAGUUUGAGUUGUGACACAUAGUGUGCCCGAAUUCCUCAAACCAAGGCUAUGAUACCAACUUGUAAAAGCCCAAAAAUCCAGAUAAAAAUUUUCAUUUAAAAAAAAAUAGAAAUUACAAUCAUAAUUUGUUUCUUAAAAUCCAUUACAUCAUUUCAUAUCAAAAUAUCAGAGUAUCAAUAUCAAUAAAUGAGGAAAUUCUUGGGAGUGAAUGUUGCGCCAUCUAGCUAGGCCCUUCCCCUUAGUACCGAAAGUACCUGAAAACACCUAAAUAAACUGUAAGCAAAAACUUAGCGAGUUCCCAAAAUACAACAUAACAUAUAACCACAGAAUACCACGCCACAUACAUAAGAUUGCCAUGGACAACCCCAUGGUCUUUACUUGGAAUGCCAUGGGCUACCCCAUGGUAUUUACCUAGAAUGCCAUGGGAUACCCCCAAGGUCGGAUAUCCAAGUGCCAUGUGCUACCCCAUUGGUCUUUACCUGGAAUGCCAUGGGCUACCCCCAUGCUCUAAUAUCCAAGUGUCGUGCGCUACCCCCAUGGUCUUCAUAUAAGUGCCACAGGCUACCCCCGUGGUCUUCACAUAAUGAAUUGCAUAAAAACUAUCAAUCCACAUGUCAGGCAAUGGGCCGCCAUUGGUGCCUUCGACCCAUUGAUAUAGUGAGAAGACUCACCUCAGACUGCUGAUAAAAAUACUGCUCGGCUAACGCUCUAGAUAUCUGACACUGAAUAUACACAAGUUAACCUAAUUAGAAUUAAGUCACAAACUCAAGGCCUAGGCCAAAACCCUAAGUACAAACUCCUCCAAUAAGGCCCAAAGUCUUUUUCCUUUAAUGGGCCUAACAUCCAAGAUCCAAAAAGGGGCAUAAGGCCCAAAAGGCCUAGCCAUGCCACUUAUGGUCCAACAACAAGUUCAAAGGCCCAAAUACUAUAAUAGAUCCAGGCCCAAGUCUAAGUAGAGCCCAAAUAGCUUAAAGGCCCAACAAAAGCCCAAAACUCAUUGGAAGCGUACGCCCAACGUACAUCAUCAGUACGCUUAGCAUACUGGGUUCUUUGGCGGUUAGCGUAGUGUACAAGCUAGUAUGCCCAACGUACAAGCUACUUUGCACAAAAAGCCAUUAAGUGCUUAAUUCAUGAAGCCAUUUCGUCCGAUUCCAGAUCUUGGUCAUCUUAAAGGUCCUAGGGCAUAAAGAUGGUAACUUUAUGUGUUUACAUGCCAUAUGGGAACCCAACACCUGAUUUUAUCCAUUAAGACUCCCUUUAAGAUCUUAAACUCAUGCAUGGUGCCAUAACAACCAUCAAGUUAGCAUUUUUAUGCUUUUAACAUGCCAAAGGAACUAGGAUCUAACAUUUAUAAUCUCUGGAGUUGUUCAAACUUACAAAAGAGGAUCCAUGGACCAAAAAUGGACUUAUUACCAAACCCUAACUCAAACUAGCGAAAGGAUAAGCAAGUUCUGGACUUUUUACCUCCAAAAGUUUUCCAAGAUGAAGUAGAUGCAGGAUCUAGAAGCUCAAACACGUCUAAGAGUUGAUCACAACCUUCUCCUUCUUACACACACAUUAAAAUAGCCACCAAAAUCACUUUUAAGCUCAAGAAUCACACUCACUUGCAAACUAGGGUUUAGGGACGAUAAGAGGCAAUAAAAGCUAUGUAGGGUUAGGUCCAAAUGUCAUAAGAGUGUUAAAAUAGGGUUCAUGCGCAAAAAUUAGGGUUUUUGUCAUAUGCCACGUACUCCUCGCAUACAUGGUGCAUGUACGCAUCUAAACCACCCUAGUACGCUAAGCGUACACGUAUGUACGCCCUGUUGGAUUAGUGUUUAAGUCCAUAACUAUAUUUGGUAUGUAUUUGACCAGGUUGUGCAUGGUCCUUUUAGGUUGCCUUCACCGAAGCAACUUGACUAGAGGAAUUAUAUAGAAAGAGGUGAUUAUGGUUUAUUAAUAUAUUAUAAGAUUUAUAUAUUAAAAGAGAAAUCAUGUUUGAUUAAUUAACAUUGGUCAAGAGUUAAUUAAACAUUAGUUUUGUGAUCAAAAGAAGUUAAUUGAACUUAAGGGGCUGAACUGUAAUUAUGUGAUAGUUACAAAGUUAGGCAAGGAAACCCUAAUGGAUAGGGUGGAUGAAUUCUAGGGAUAUAGCCUUAAGAAUUCGCCCAUGAUAGGGAUUCUAGAAUUAUCUUAUGGGCUGCUUGGUGGCUAAGUAACCAUAUAAGAAUAAUGAAUGAAACCCUAAUUCCUAAACCUAUAUAAAGGACCCUUGGUCAUGGGAAUUUCGGCAACUUGAACCCUAGAAGUCCUAGAGCCGAAAUUCUCCUCUUCCCUCUCUUGCUUCCUCUAAUUGCUAUUGGUGUUUGUUAUUAAUUAGAGGCACAACACUUGAGGUGCUAAAGUUGUCAAGGCUUCAAGAUCUUCAAUCAACAACGAGGUAAGCAUCUUGAUAUACUUUGCUAAGUUAAUUUCAAUUAUAUACACUAGAUCUAGGGUUUGAAAGUCUUGGAUGAAUGCACGUACAAUUAGAGAAACCUAGAUCCAAGCAUUAGGGUUUGCAUGAGCACAUAGGAUGUUCUUUUGGCUCAAACCUAUCAGUGGUAUCAGAGCUUUUGUUUGGUUUCUAUUGUAUUGAUGCCUUGCUUGUUCAUCCUCUCUUGAAAAUCGUGAUUUUGUGUUCUCUGCCUGACGAACUCGAUGAGUCCCAAUGUGGGCUCGACGAGUAGGAUGAACUCGACGAGUCCAUAAGGGCACUCAACGAGUCGGAGCGUCAGACAUAGAUUUUCGGGAUUUCUUGUUGUUUUGCUUAAUGAUAAUUACCUAAAUCGUUUUUGACUAAUAAAAUCUGAAUUUUAUUACUGCUUUAUGUUUAUCCUUUCCAAAACAAAAGAUAAUUUCCAUUUAUUUGAAUAAUAAAUUCCUUAUAUGAUAAUAAUUGAUUAUUUAAAUUAUUUGUUGAAUUAUCUUAUGAAUAAAAUUGAUUAGGUCAAAUUUAGAUAAUCAUUAAAUUAAUUGUUUAAUUUAAAUUAUUUGCUAUUUGAUCCUUUAUGUUUUGAAAAGUUCAAAACUUGUCCUCAAGUUUUGAAAUUUAAAUUUGUGAUUAAAAGUUUAAUUUAAACUAUUUAAAUUUCAAACCCUAGAAUUUUACAAGUUUAAAAUUCAACCUUAUACUUUACAAUANUUAAACGCUAGUCUUACUGUUAGUAGGCCUCAUUCACGAAGCCGAUCUAGAAGGAGGUAUAAGGUUAUGACCUAUAAAAUGGCCAUUUAAUGGGUGUCCACUCUCACCCACCACAUCCUUGAUUGGUGGAGGGUCGUUAGCCGAACGGGUAAGAUAGGGCAACCCUUUCUCAUGAAUAAGUAUAAUGAAUUAUAAAAGUAACUAAAUGUUUUACAAAAUUCCCAAUCUUAAUUACUUUAGGCAAAAGUGAAAUUGAUGCAAUUCCAUUAAAUUACAUUUUGUACCCGUGCUAAGACGUUAGUGGAGCGUGUGUGGUUAACUGGCACACUAAUUCGGUUCUAAGAAAAGGUGGUAAAGGGUGACUCAUUGUUUCUCAUUGUUCGAUGGAGCAUGUGUGGUUAACCAGCACAUCGAAUAGGUGACUGUAACAAUGAGGGCACCAUGUAUAUUUGCAUGGUUAUUCAUACCCACUUUGUGAUCCUCAGCAUCCCAGUCACAAACUAGAGGGGCAUAUCAAGAUUUAUACAUGCCAUUGAAAAGUUCAAUGAAUCUCAAAAUAUCUAGGAGUUUUCAAUACAUUUAAAACUUAAUCUCUUUUUCGUUUUUCAUGGUGGAGAAUUAGUGAAUCGUCAUUCACUUACCUUCAAAUUAUUUGCAUGUUAGAUUACGACACCCCUCUUCUAAUAUGUAAAUAAUGUUGUUGGAUCCUAGCCCUAAUUUCUCAUUUAGGUGUUUCAUUAGGGAUUCAUUUCUAAUCAAACUUUGUUCUUUUUCCUUUUCAGAUGUCGAACAACAACAAUGCUUCCGGAUCGUUCUCACUCAUGAACUUGUGUGGGAGAGUGAUCUUUGACGAGUCCAAUUUCAAUGAUUGGAUUCGCAACAUCCGAAUGGUCACUCGUUACGAGGACAAAGAGUAUGUCCUUGAUAAGAAGCUGAAGGAAAUCAACCUCAACACUGCUACUACUGAAGAGAUCGCCACCUUUAAGGCUCAUGAGCGUGAUGCCACGAAAGUCCAUUGCAUCAUGCUAGCGACCAUAACUGCAGAACUCCAAAAGUCCUAUGAGGACAUGUAUCCCUAUGAAAUUCAUCAAAACUUGUUGGACCGGUACCACCAAAGUGCAAGGCAAGAAAGGUAUGAGAUCAUCACUUCGAUGAUCACUACCAGAAUGGGUAAUGGAGAGUCCCUUACCGCCCAUCUGCAAAAGAUGCAGAGAUAUGUUGAUCACCUGCUAAAGUUGAAAGUUAACUUUGAUGAAGAGAUGGCAAUCGACAUUAUCCUUCACUCCUUACCUCCCUGCUACAACCAGUUCCGCAUGACUACCACAUGAAUAAGGAAGAGGUCACCUUGAGCAAGCUUCACGGCUUGCUAAGAACUGUUGAGAGCAAUUUCAAGGAUAAGUAUGUUGCAUCAACUCCAACUCCCACUGCUGCCCUUGUCUUGGAAAAAGGGCAAGGGAAGGGUAAGAAAAGGAAGGCUCCCUCAAAUAUCCACCACAAGGGAAAGUCCCAAGAUGUUACCUCUUCUAGUGGAACCAAGGCUGGUUCUGCUAAACCCAACUCUAACCCUAAUGAGCCAGAGUGCCACCACUGCCACAAAAUAGGGCAUUGGAAGAGAAGCCGCCCAGAAUAUCUGCAAGCUAUCUAGGAUGGGACGAUCAAGCCAUCCUUCGCAGGUAUUUACACUAUUAAAUCUAAUGAUUCAUCGCAUGCUAUUUCUUGGGUUAUUGAUACAGGAUGUGGUUUUCACAUAUGUUCUGAUUUGCAGGGACUAAGAAGAAAUAGGGAUGUGGAGCAUGGAAGAAUAAACCUAAUAAUGCGAAACAAAAGAUUGUCGCCUGCCACCAAUAUUGGAGUAUAUAUAUUCCUUAAUGCUUAGUAAUGGAUUAGGUUUUGAUUUAAACAAUUGCUGCUAUUCGCCAGAUAUGGCAAGAAACAUCAUUUCAUUUCAUGGUUUAUAUAGGCAAGGAUUUAGAUAUUCAUUUGAUAAUGAAAAGGGUUCUAUUUAUGCUUAUCUUAAUAGUGUUUUAUAUUUUGAAGCAUUGCCUUGUAAUGUAAUAUAUGAAACUGUGAUGGUUGUAGAUAACUUAGGAAAUGAUGUAUUGUGUGUUGAUUCUUCCAACAAUAUAGAUAAAGCAUGCUUGUGGCAUUGUCGUCUUGGACAUGUCAACAAGAAACGCAUAGCCCAACUCUAAAAGGAUGGAGUGUUGGAGUCAUUCGACCUUAGGGAUGAUGACGUGUGUGAGUCUUGUUUACUUGGAAAGAUGACCGAUGUGUGUGGGCACUUGUGAAAGGGGUGAGGGUUUAUUGGAUCUCAUACACACCGAUGUGUGUGGGCCCUUUAGAUUACCACAAAAGAUGCAAGCCACUUCUAUGUGACUUUUACCGAUGAUUAUAACAGAUAUGGGUAUAUCUACUUAAUCAAGCACAAGUCGGUAACCUUUGAAAGGUUCAAAGUGUUUAAAGAAGAAGUGGAGAAUCAUUUGGGCAGGAAUAUCAAGAUGCUUCGAUCCGAUCGAGGAGGAGAGUACCUAAGUCUUGAAUUCCAUGACUAUCUCAAGGAAUGCGGAAUCGUUUCACAAUUGACGUCACCUAGGACACCGCAGUUAAAUGGUGUGGCUGAGAGGCGUAAUCGAACCUUGUUGGACAUGGUUCAUUCCAUGAUGAUUCGUGCUUCACUACCUAUCUCAUUCUGGGGGUAUGCCUUAGAGACUGCCGCCCAUAUCCUUAACUUAUUCCCUACGAAGAAGGUUGCCAAAACACCUCACGAGAUGUAGACAGGGAAAGCUUCCUCGUUAGCACAUAUCAAGGUUUGGGGGUUGCGAGGCUUUCGUAAGACGAGAGACUCACGACAAGCUCGAACCUCGUAGUGAGUGGUGUAUUUUCACCAGCUACCCACAAAAGACCUUUGGAUAUCUCUUCUAUAGUCCGAGUGAGAACGUUGCCUUCAUUGCGAGGAGAGGGGUUUUCCGUGAGCGAGAACUCAUAAGCCUAGGGGACAGUAGGAGGCAAAUCGAUCUUGAAGAGAUUCAAGAGUUGAGCGAUGAAGGAACCUCCAACACCGGGGCUUACCCGAGGAGGAAACUCCGGUUGAACCGAUUGACGAGUCCUUACCUCUUAGACGUUCCGAAAGAGUUAGGUUUCAACCCCAGUUAUAUGGCUUUCAUAUUACUACAGAAGGGGAUACGUAUAUUAGUGAUAUUAUACUAAUAAAUUUGGAUGAACUUAACAGCUAUAAGGAAGCCAUUGCAGGCCCAGAGUCUGCAAAGUGGAAAGAGGCGACGGACAGUGAGAUUCUGUCCAAGUAUGACAACCAAGUUUGGAAUUUGGUUGACAAUGUACUAGGUCGUAAGAUGGUCUGGUGCAAAAUGAUCUUUAGGAAGAAGGUACUAAAACGUUUUGUGACAACCCGAAAUUUCCAUUUUGUACGAACAUUAGCUAUUCAAUAGAAGCUAGUCCAAUUUCAAUGAAUUUCAGACUUUUCUAAAUAAAUUUGUGUACAUUAGGGUUUACGUUUAAGGAGAUAUCAGGAGAGUGGAUGCUCAUGGGUUUGUGAAACUUGAGCAUUUCAAAACUUCAUAAUGUUAGAGUCCAAUUCCGGAAUAAAAAUAUUUUCUGCCAAAAUAUUUCAGGACUAUAAAUAGAUUUCUGAACUAAAUUCAUUCAUUAUUCACACUUCCAACUAGAGAAAAGCCAUUUUCUCUCUCACAGAUCUUCGGGUUUUCAUCCCAAAUCGUGAGUACACUUCUUUAGUUGUUUUAUAAUGCUUGUUAUAUGCUUAAUAACAUAGAUUACAUGUCAAAUAUGUGAGAUCCGGGAGUUUACCGCCCAAGAACGUUCUUGGGGAGUAAACUCGAAAAUAAAGCUUUAAGGCUAUCUAGUCCCAUUUCCUUGUUAGGUAACUAGCUUAGGAUAAUAUGUAGGAUCAUUUGAGACAAGAAAACAAUCCAGAACACAUAGCUUUAGGAGUUUUCGGCCCAAGAGUUUCUUGGACCGUAAACACCAAAUACAAGGGCUUAAAUGUGCCCUAAUCACUCCCAAAGGCUUUAGACUUUAACCCUAAAUUACUUCUAGCUAAUAUGGGGACAUUAACACAUCAAAAAAACCCCUAAAAGGGAGUUUACGGCCAAGAAAUGCUCUUGGGCCGUAAACACCAAUUAAGGGCACCAAAGUGUGCCUAGGGCCCCCCUUAGCAUAAAUCAAAUGCCUCGAAAGUAUUCUACUUGUGUUUGAGACUUGAAAGAAUUAAAACAUCCAUCCCAUGAGAGUUUACGGCCGUAAACUCUAAGGGAUAUGGCCUUUUGGCCGUAAACUCCUCAAAGGAGUGUUAUCUAUGCCCUAAACUACCCAAAGGAUUAAACCACCAAACUAGGCUUAUUCUAGAAAUCAUUUAGCACUUUAAAACACCCAUUACCACCAAGAUUGGAGUUCACGGCCGUAAACUCAAGGUUUUACGACCGUAAACUCCUUGUGUGGGGUUUAUUGGGUAGUAAACUCUUAUACAAAGUCCUUGGAAGCUUUAAACCCCUUUAGCUUGUCCCAUAACAACUUAGAUGCAACCAUUAGGACCUAUAACACUUAUACAAGGUGUUUACAUGUUCCUAAGUGUCCCAACUUAUUUCAUUAAGUUAUUAUUUGGCUAAUUAGUUAUAUAUAUGCUCAUUAUAUGAUAACUAGGCUCGUGCGUGUGAACAAGUCUCCGUUUGCCACCUAGCACGGUAUCCGACACUACAAUCCAAACCACUCACCACAAGUGAGUUCAUACCCCUUUAAUUAACCUUUGAAAUACUUUUAAAUGUUUUAAAUACUUUAUGGGGGGGAUACAAGUUAAAUGCUUAUAGUUAUUGCAUCAAUCACAUGUGAUUACAUUAAUCAUAUGUGAUUAAUAACUAGAAAACCAAUGAUCUUAUCACUGUUUAAACUGUUUAUCAAACUGUUUUACUUCAAACUGUUUUACAAACUCUUUUACUCAUCAAAUACUUUUAUUUAAACUUUGUUAUACUUCUUAUAAACCGCAUGCCCAUAUAUGUAUAGAUAUAUAAGCAAUGUUUAAAGGGUUUAGGAAGGUCAUCCGCCCUAUUUCCUUUUUCUCGAUUUGGAUGUGGUCUGGUGGGAUUUCGGGUAACCAUCCGAAGGUCGUUUCAAUAUUAAUUAUAUAUCAAAUGUACAUAUAUAGACAUAAAAGUACUCCUUNUAUACUAGGAGAAGAACAUAUACAACUAUACUAGAGGAAGAACAUAUACAACUAUACUAGAGGAAGAACAUAUACAACUAUACUAGAGGAAGAACAUAUACAACUAUACUAGAAAGAGAACAUAUACAACUAUACUAGAGGAAGAACAUAUACAACUAUACUAGAACAGUUCAUUACAUUACACAUACUAGAAUACGUUCAUUAUUGUGAUAUGAAUCGGGGCAUGACUUAAAUGCCAUGGCCCGAGUUGUAGCCAGAGUCUCUUGAAGGGAGAGCGUGAGUUUGCGUAUAGAUCUAUACUGGAUUGACUAUCCUACACCUUGCUGCUAGCUACAGCCGGACCUGCAGGUCUGCGGGUGCCAAACGUCAUUCCGUUAUUACGACCAUUCGUAUGUCGUUGUUACCAGUCGAUAGUAUGGUGCAAUUAGUCACAUGAUACCUUAAUAUAAAUCCGGUUUAAGGUAGUUAGUACAACAAUAGUUCCUAUAAUACAACACUACAGUACUACAAUAAUUUACCCAUUACAUAUAUUUAGUGAUUAUUUCACUUAAACAUUAAUGUACAAACUAUAUUUUGUUAAAUGAUAGUUACACUUGGGAAAUUACACACUUUUACAACAAACGAGCAUACAAAACAGUUAAGCCUUGGUAGAAGGCUACUUUAAUAGAAAAUAUAGGUUUUUCUGAGAGAUUCAAACUUUUACAAACACUUACAUACAUUUUACAAACUUACACUUGAGACACGUUCAAACGUUUUGAUAACAAACAUCGACACUAAAAUACUUAUGAACUCACCAGCUUAAUGCUGAUAAACUCUUUCAAAAUAACUUGUAUUCUCAGGUCAUCAAUAGACAGGUACUUAGGCCAGCUUUUGAGAAGAUGGAGCGCAUUCAAGACUCAUCUUAUUAUUUUGAUUUACAUUAUAUUUUGGUGUCUAAAACUGUACAGAACACGCUUGUAUUAAAAUUAUAUAUUUAAUGCAAUGGAUGAUGCUGUUUGCUUAUUUACAUUUACUGUGUUGUGAUACUUUACAUGACGUCCUCCGCCCCACAACGUUUCCGCCGUUCUUGGUUUUGGGGUGCGACACGUUUUAGUAUGGAGAAUUCAAAGAAGGCAGAGUUACCAAUCCAAAGUAAUGCGAAGUUGAGUACGACUCAAAGUCCGAGUACUGAAGUCGAGAUAGCAGAAAUGAGCUAAGUACCUUACGCUUCCGCAGUUGGCUCGAUCAUGUACGCUAUGACUUGUACUCGCCCUGAUGUGGCCUUCGCUUUGAGCAUGGUCAUUAGAUAUCUAGGGAACCCUAGAAAAGCACAUUGGACCGCAAUCAAGAAUAUUCUUAAGUACCAUCGAAGGACCAAGGAAUGGUUUCUAGUCCUCGGUGGGAGUGAUGACUUAAAGGUGCGAGGGUAUAGUGACGCCAGUUUUCAGACCGACAGGGACAACUACCGUUCGCAGUCGGGCUGGGUCUUUACCCUAAAUGGUGGAGCAGUGACUUGGAAAAGUUCCAAGCAAGAGACCGUAGCUGACUCAACAUGUGAAUCAUAGUACAUUGAAGCAAGCGAAGCGUCAAAUGAGGCAAUAUGGUUGAAGAACUUCAUUGGAGACCUUGGAGUUGUGCCGACCAUACAGGAGCCUAUUGAGAUUUUCUGUGAUAAUGAAGGAGCGGUUGCCUUGACCAAGGAACUGAGGGAUCACGGCAGAUCUCAACAUAUUGACAGAAAAUAUCACUUUAUUCGAUAUCAGAUGGAAAAAGGACUCCUCGUAGUGAAGUGCGUAUCGUCAGAAGAUAACCCAUCAGAUCUGCUUACGAAGGGACUGAGCAGGGUUAAGCACUUGCAGCAUGCUAGGAGCAUCGGGCUGAAGGACGAUAUUAGUUUAGAUUAGAUAGUUUGGAAACGUGUAAUAGAUAAAUUAUAAUUAACAUCUGAUGAUUAAAUAAAAGAGUAUUAUUUAUUAGUAAUGUUACUAUCUUAUGUUAAUUGUUUACCUAUUGUUUCAUUUUGCAUGUUUUGACUUCCUGAAUAAUAAGAAUUAUUUAAAUGGUCUACAGUUGUUCAUAUGUUGGAACUAGGUAUGAAUGAAGACUGUCAUGAAUUGGUGUGUAGAUUGUCUAAAGUGUAUUAGACAUAGCAAAAGUUUGCUACAACAUUCAUGAGUGCUUAUGAAAAGUUUUGAGCAUUGGAAUAAACCCAUGCUUGCUGGAAUCACUUCAUGGAAUUCAUCAUGAGUGAUCGCAAGACGAUAAUAUAUCAUAUGGUCUUAAAACAUAGAUAUAUGGUUUAUUGUUUUCUAAUUGGUUGUGCAUUGAUAAUGCGUAAACACAUCAGUAACUUGAUGUUAUAAAACGCAUUGUUGUGUAUGAUUUGAUUAGUGGAUAGUAAAUGCAUAUAAGUCUAAGUUCAUCUGUUCCUUUUAUCCUAAUAGGUUAAAAGUGAUAUCAGGACCCCUUGAUGAUUUGAUUUGACUUAUGUGUCGGGCCCGGUCAGGACUGAAUUGAUGUGUUCAAUUACGUUCUAUGUCAAAUGAAUCAGAGAUUAAGAAACAAACUGUUGGAUAAUAAGUAUGACUAUGUUCCAUGUAAUUGUCCGCAUGAUAUCUAGAACAAAGGAUUAUACGAUCCCUUAUCUUAAGGACAAGUUACUGAUAAGAUCAAGAGUUUUGAGAACUGUGAUUGCUAAUCGAAUCCAGAAGUUGCAUUUGCAUUUAUAGUUAUUAUCAAGGUUGUAAAAAAUUCUCGACGUUAGCUAGUCGGUGGACUGGGGUUAAGAGAUUAAUCGGGUAGGCGGAGAUUAAUCGGGGGAUUAAUGGAGACCAUUAAUUGAUAAUUUGUUGAAUUUUAAAAAAUUGAAUAUGACUAAUAUCAUAUCAAAGUCCGUAAGUACCACUAAUAUCAUAACAAAAUAGGUUGAUAUGUUUAAUACAACAUUAAUCAUGCUUGAAAUAGUUUCUAUUGAGAUAAAACUUCUUAAAAAUGUUUAAAUUUCAUCGUUUUAUACAGUUUUACUCAUUAUUUAUGCAUGGAUUAAUCGCUAGGUGCCAUCUAGUUGGUUGAGUAAUGCCUAGGGAUUAAUCGGAGAUUAAUCGGGACCUAGUCAUGAUUUUUACAAUAAUGGUUAUUAGACUUAUCCAAGUAGGGGAAUGUUGGAUUAGUGUCCAAGUCCAUAACUAUAUUUGGUAUGUAUUUGACCCAGUUAUGCAUGGUCCUUUUAGGUUGCCUUCACCAAAGCAACUUGAUUGGAGGAAUAAUAUAGAAAGAGGUGAUUAUGGUUUAUUAAUAUAUUAUAAGAUUUAUAUAUUAAAGGAGAAAUCAUGUUUGUUUAAUUAACGUUGGUCAAUAAUUAAUUAAACAUUAGUUUUGUGAUCAAAAGAAGUUAAUUGAACUUAAGGGGCUGAACUGUAAUUAUGUGAUAGUUACAAAGUUAGGCAAGGAAACCUUAAUGGAUAGGGUGGACAAAUUCUGGGGAUAAUGCCUUAAGAAUUCGUCCAUGAUAGGGAUUCUAGAAUUAUCUUAUAGGCUGCUUGGUGGCUAAGUAACCAGAUAAGGAUAAUGACUGAAACCCUAAUUCAUACACCUAUAUAAAGGACCAUUGGGCAUGGGAAUUUCGGCCACUUGAACCCUAGAAGUCCUAGAGCUGAAAUUCUCCUCUCCCCUCUCUCUCUUGCUUCCUCCAAUUGCUAUUGGUGUUUGUGAUUCAUUAGAGGCACAACACUUAAGGUGCUAAAGUUUUCAAGGCUUCAAGAUCUUCAAUCAACAACAAGGUAAACAUCUAGAUCUACUUUGCUAUGUUAAUUUCGAUUAUAUACACUAGAUCUAGGGUUUGAAAGUCUUGGAUGAAUGCAUGUACAAUUAGAGAAACCUAGAUCCAAGCAUUAGGGUUUGCAGGAGCACAUAGGGUGUUCUUUUGGCUCAAACCCAUCACGCCCAAUGUACGUAGGGACCUCCUUUACAAAUAAGUUUCAUUCCAAGGGUUAAAAGGGUAAAUACCUACAUUCCGAAUGUUACAUAUAGAUAGUAAAAUACUUGAUUCUACCCUAAGCCCUUCAUCAAACAAGAAAAUGAAAUAAAGCUAAACAAAAAUUCUCAAGCUAUACAAUCUUAGUUAUGUACAACUACGAUGCAUACACUAAGCAACUACAAUAAUGACGCUAAUUAUAUAUAAGAAGUAAUCCUAGGGUAUCAAGCAUCCUAUAUCAGGAAAUCCUUUCAUGUAAUUCCUGAAGAUCCCUAUCCUACCACUAGCAUGAUGUUAUAUCAUGAAAAACAUAUCAAGUAACCGUGUGGGUAACUUUGGGUAAAUUUUCUUGCUCUGGCUGAUCAUACACAUCGCAUCAUUCCUUGGUUACUUUUGAAAACAAUUUUUGAAAACCAUUAAAAGAAAACUUUACAGCUUCCUAGUUUGAGUUUGGAUUCACACGAAUGUUCAUCCAGUUCUCUCAAACCGAGGCUCUGUUACAAACUUGUAACACUCCAAAUAUCAUAGAAAAUUAAAAAUUUUAAAUUUCAACCAUUAACCAACAUUUUUUACAAAAAGAGUCAUUGCUUCAAAAGUAUUAUUCAAAAUCAUAGUUUUUCCUAAGACCUAAUAACACAAAAUAGGAAGAUGUGCACGAUCACGCCUUCUCCUUCCUACGAUCAUCCGAAGUACCUAAAACAAUAAACUGAAAUUGUAAGCCAAAGCUUAGUGAGUUCCUCCAAAGUACCAUCAUGGAACAUAUAAAAUACAUAGAUUAACAUGUUGGGUCCAUAACCUCCCAGUUGGAUUACCUUGGCUCACAACCUCCCUGUUGGAUUGCCCUGCAUACCACAUACUGGGUCCACUACCUACCGACUGGGUUGACUUAGAUGGUUUGUGGAGUUUGGCCUAUUUUGACCCAAGGAUAUUUUGGAUAAGUUGGUAGUUAUUUAAGUCGACCAAUAUUUUGGGAUAAUAGGUGUCGAGUAGAGCCGGUUGUCAGGGAAGAGAUUUAUUCAGCUUAUGUUCAGACUGAGAGGUGAGUUUUCCUCACUGUACUUACGGGUCGAAGGCACCAAGGCCGACCCAACGAAUUGAUAUCCUGUCUAUACUGAUUGAAGAUAUGUUGAGUAUGCGAUAGAUCUGAAUGAUUAUAUGAUAGUUAUGAUAUACGUUAGACUGGUAGAUCUAUAGGGCUACCUAUGAUUAUUGGUUGUAUAAUCAUCUGUAUGUUGUAUAUAUAUUAUAUGUUAUAUGCCGACAUGUUACAUUGGGGUUGAGACUACUGCUUUGUGUCGUCAGUCAACAGACCAUGUCAAUCCAAUUGGGAUGUUGUGGGCUAGGGUAAUUCAACCAGGAGGUUGUGGACACAAUAUGCUAAUCUGUGUAUUUUAUAUGUUGCAUGAUGGUACUUUGGUGGAACUCACUAAACUUUGUGUUAUAGUUUCAGUUUAUUUUCAGGUACUUCUGAUGAUCGCGGUACGAUGAAGGUGUGGUCAUGCACAUCUUCCUGUUUUGUGUUAUUGGGUCUUGGUGAAAACUCUGAAAGUCAUGACACACUUCAAAUUGAAGUAUUUCGAUGGUACAAUCAAAAUCUCUAUUGGAUAAAAUUUAGUGACAACAACAGAGAAUUAAAAGGUUACGAUUCUUGUGUGUACCAUAUUCAAAUACCCAAAAAGGGAUAUAACUCCUUGUUCGAAAUAAAGCUAAACCAAAAAUUCUCAAGCUAUAGAAUCUUAGUUAUGUACAACUAUGAUGCAUACACUAAGCAACUACAAUAAUGAUGCCAAUUCUAUAUAAGAAGUAAUCUUAGGGUAUCAAGCAUCAUAUAUCAAGAAAUUCUAUCAUGUAAUUCCUGAAGAUCCCUAGCCUACCACUAGCAUAUUGUUCUAUCGUGAAAAACAUAUCAAAUAAUAGUGUGGUUAACUUGGGGUAUACUUUCUUACUCCGGCUGAUCGUACACAUAUCAUCAUUCUUUGGUUACUUUUGAAAACCAUUAAAAAAACUUUUACAGCUCCCUAGUUUGAGUUUGGAUUCACACGAAUGUUCAUCCAAUUCGCUCAAACCAAGGCUCUAAUACCAACUUGUAACACUCCAAAUAUCAUAGAAAAUUAAAAAUUAAAAAUUUCAACCAUUAACCAACAUUGUUUACAAAAAGAGUCAUUGCUUCAAAAGUAUUAUUCAAAAUAAUAGUUUUUCCCAAGACCCAAUAAUACAAAGCAGGAAGAUGUGCACGAUCAUGCCUUCGCCUUCCCGCGAUCAUCAGAAGUACCUGAAACAAUAAACAGAAACUGUAAGCCGAAGCUUAGUGAGUUCCCCCAAAGUACCAUAAUGCAACAUUUAAAAUACAUAGAUUAACAAAAUGGGUCCACAACCUCCCAUUUGGAUUACCUUGGCCCACAACCUCCCCGUUGGAUUGCCUUGCAUACUACAUACUGGGUCCAUAACCUUCCGACUAGGUUGACUUGGCUAGUUUGUGGAGUUUGACCUAUUUUGACCAAAGGAUAUUUUGGAUAAUUUGGUAGUAAUUUAAGUCGGGCAAUAUUUUUGGAUAAUAGUUGUUGAGUAGAGUCGGUUUUCGGGGAAGAGAUUUAUUCAGCUUGUCUUCUUACUCAGAGGUGAGUUUUCCUCACUGUACUUAUAGGCCAAAGGCACCAAGGCCGACCCAAUGGAUUGAUAUCCUGUUAGGUACUGAUUGAUGAUUUGUUGAGUAUGCGAUAGAUCUGUAUGAUUAUAUGAUAGUUAUUGAUAUACGUUAGACAUGUAGAUCUAUAGGGCUACCUGUGAUUAUUGGUUGUAUAAUCAUAUGUCUAUUGUAUGUAUAUUAUAUGUUAUAUGUCAACAUGUUACGUUAGGGUUGAGACUACUACUUUGUGUCGUCAGUCAACAGACCAUGAGAAUCUAACCGGGAGGUUGUGAGCCAGAGUAACCCAGCCGGGAGGUUGUGGGCCCAACAUGCCAAUCUAGGUGUUUUAUAUGUUGCAUGAUGGUACUUUGGAGGAACUCACUAAGCUUUGGCUUACAAUUUCAGUUUAUCGUUUCAGGUACUUGUGAUGAUCGCAGGACGGUGAAGGUGUGAUCAUGCACAUCUUCCUGUUUUGUGUUAUUGAGACUUAGGAAAAACUCUGAUUGUGAAUAAUACUUUUGAAGCAAUGAAUCUUUUUGUAAACAAUGUUGGUUAAUGGUUGGAAUUUUUUUUUUUUUUUAAAUUUUUAUGAUUUUUGGAGUGUUACAUUGGUUUUGUCUUAUAACUGAUCCAAACCCCCACACACCCUUGUUAAUCAUCAAAGAAGAAUCCAAUUAGAACUAAUUCUAUUCAACAAUAACAACCAUAGGGUGUUAGAAAUCCAUUACCUCAAAUGUAGGGAUCUUUUGAUGUCUAAGAACAUUAAUCAAGAUAAAUUAAUAAGGAUAUUCAAUUAAACCAAAGGUCUUUUGGCCUAGCACUAUCAUAUGUUGGAAAAAUGACCCUUCCUAAUGUUAGAAAAACGGGUUAUUUCGAUUGCUUGGAUUCCACUGAAAGUCAUGAUACACUUUCAAAUUGAAGUAUUUCGGUGGUACAAUCAAAAUCUCAAUUGGAUAAAAUUUAGUGACAACAAUAGAGAAUGAAAAGGUUAUGAUUCUUGUGUGUACCAGAUUCAAAUGACCAAAAAGGGAUAUGACUCCUUGUCCGAAAACUGUCAUAUUAACAGUUACAAACUGCCACAAAGCUGUCACUAAACUUGUAACACCCCAAGUUCAGAAGUGCAAGUUCAGGGUUCUUGGUGUAAUUAAGGAAGAUCGACUCGGCGAGUCGAGUCGUGAUUUGGCCAUGUGCUAAGUGACUGACUCGGCGAGUAGGCAGCUAGACUCGACGAGUCAGUGCUGGAGUGAGAAACCCUAAUUCAUGGGGUUUGCACCCUAUAUAAGGAACCUUAAGUCCCACCCCAGCCUCUUUAGGACUCCCUCUGAUGUCCAGAAACUUUCCACAUCGAUUUCAAACCCUAAAUUGAGAGUGAGAGGGAUUUAAGUGUGUUUUGGAGCUUGAAGAAGAAGGAUACUUGAAGCAAGAGUUGGUGGGAUCAUAGAGGAGCGAAGUGGAUCUGAUUUCCUUGCUUCUUGGCAUCAGCAUCAAGGUAAAAAGUUGUUGCCUUGACUUUGUUGUGUUUAGAUGGUUCAUGAAUGAAGUUUUAGGGCCAAUUUAUCAUAUAUGAGCCUCUUUUCGAGUAUUGGGUUUAGAUCUGUGGUUGCUACUACAGAUCUAGACUGGUCCUGACUCAUGAAUCUGGAAAGUGAUAGCUUUGGGGCUUGAUUGAGAGUGUCCUUGCCUUAAAACUUCACUUUAGCUUGAGUAGAGCUUGUUGAGCCUUGCAUGCACGUAAAGUUGGAAACUUUACAUGUAGAUCUUGCCCUAGGAGUCCAGAUCUAUGUAUUGAAAGCAAUAGUUUGGCCUGUGAUCAUCUGAAUGAAGGUAUUACGUAUGGACUCGGCGAGUCUGGGAGAUGACUUGACGAGUCGGACAAAAGAUUUGGAAUGAAUCGCGUAGUAACUCGGCGAGUCACAUGGGUGUACUCGACGAGUUGGAUGAAGAUAGGCAAGAACUCGACGAGUUGGAAGAACAACUCGACGAGUCUAUUGAAGAUUGCCUUGGGCUCAACGAGUCUGUUCUUGGACUCGGCGAGUCUGGUCGAGGAGUCCUAACCUUUUCUGGUUAAGUCGUGAAUCGGUGAGUCGAAGGAUGACUCGGUGAGUUGAGCAUGAAGGGACUCAGAGUUUGUUGGACUCGGCGAGUCUUGGGGCAACUCGACGAGUUGAGUCGUAAUAUGAGAGUUUUGAGUAUGGGAACUCGAAGAGUCAACGAGUUGACUCGGCGAGUAGGGUCAACCAGGAAGGUUGACCUUGACUGAGGACUUGGACUUUAACCAAGGGUUGACCAGUUGACUUCCGGGGGUAUUUUGGUAAUUAUUGGUAUUUAUUGAUUUGGUUUUUGGUAAUGAUCAGUGGCGGAGUUCGUGCUGGUGGUUGGAGCAGCGUGAUCUUAUUCUUCAGUCGGCAGUGACAGUUGAGUUAUCCUCACUAUACUGACAGGGUCUACGGCACCAAGGCCGACCCUCCAUCGGAUGGAAAUCCGGGUAUUGUUGUUAUGUUAUUGCUAUAUGGAGAUCCUUGUUGAUGGAAAGGCGGCCGACGAACGCUCGGUGGACUCUAUAUCCUCAAGGAAUCAAUUUGGAACCCGGAAAAUCAUAUUUAUUUAGGAAUGUAGCAUAUGGUUUUAGAGGUUGUCCUAAAUGGGAGGAUGUGGAUACGGUUAGUUAAGUUUAAUAAUUAUUAUUUUAUAUAUAUAAUAUUACUGAAAUUACUAGUAUUUAAUUUAUAUUUUUUUUGCAGGUUAUAUCUGUAAUAAAUGUUGUGCAUACCCAUUGGUUUUUGGUGGUUCUACAUUUAGAUACCUGGAAAGUAGAAAUUUUUGAUUCAGCACAAGUUGCGGGUUACUUCUCAACAUACAACACUAAUGGAGAAUUCAAAAGUUUUGGAGAUAGUAUUAUCUCAGAGUUGGAUGCCAUUGAUUACUGGAGCCAUUUCCCCCAUUGGACACAGAGACAAGCAAAGGUCGAGUUUUUUGAUGUUUNGACACAGAGACAAAGCAAAGGUCGAGUUUGUUGAUGUUGUAGACGCCCCACAACAAGAAUAUAGUCUUGAAAGAGGGGAUUGUGGAGUAUUUGUAUGCAUGUUUAUGGAAAUGAUUGUUUCUGGGGGUACCAGUGGCGAUUUCAAGGACAUGUAGAGAAGCUGCAUUUCUCUAUAGAAAUAAGAUGGCAAAUGUUAUUUGGGAUACUAUAUAAGUUGAUAUUAGGAACUUUGUAUAUAUAUUAAUAUUAAAUACUUGUUUCUAGUAUGUAAUCGUGUCACUUCUGGUAGUAUGUAAUCUUGUAAUUAUCUUUUAUAUUUUUUAAACAUAAUUCACCAAAAAAUGUUACGAAACCAUACAUUCAAACAAAAUAAACAUUACAAAUAACAUGAAUACAUUACAAUAGAGUCGUCUACAUAAAAAUAAGGUUUCUUACGACUAACAAACAUUAGAUAAAACAUUGGAAAUAAAAUACUCAUCUACUUGAAAAAAACUUUAUCUUUUACCAGAUUCCAAACGUCCGUAUACUCGAAAUCAUGUCCAUCAAACUUGCAUAGGUAAUAUCCAUUCACAUCUUCAAGAAGUUCUUCAUUAUCUGCUUGAGAGCGUCGCAUUUUCUCAGGAUUGUAGCAUCGAUUGAACCAUGUGACCUUAAACUUUAAAUCCAUCCAUUUACUAACAAUAGCAGGUUUUAGUCGUUCGUGUCCUUGCCCGACUUGAUAGUUGAACAAAGCUAUGAGGCGGGACCAUUCAUCACCUACAAGGCAAUUCAGGGGAGCCAUCACUGGUAGACCCUCGUAAAUGGUAAUCCAACUUUGUAUUAGGACCAACAACUCUGUUGGCGUCCAUGGAGAUGUACAAUUUGUUGGAGAGGCUGCAUUAGAUGGAUUUGUUGCAUUCGAAGAACUUGGUACAUUGGACGCCAUUUCUUAAUUGAUCUACUAUCAACUAAAGAAUUGAAUUUCGUAUAGACACUACGUUUAAUAUAUGUACAAACAUAUGUUAUACAAAGAUAUGUCAGUAACGCGGACUGACGAGCCAGUAACGCGGACUUACGAGCCAGUAACGUGGACUGACAACGAUUAAUAUAUAUAAAUAGUUUCUUAAUGCGGACUGACGAGUCAGUAACGCGGACUUACGAGUCAGUAACGCGGACUGACAACGAUUAACAUAUAUAAAAAGUUUCUUAACGCGGACUAACGAGUCAGUAACGCGGUCUUACGAGUCAGUAACACGGACUGAAAACGAUUAAUAUAUAUCAAAAGUUUCUUAACGCGGACUGAUGAGUCAGUAACACGGACUAACAAUUACUAGACAAAACAGUUUUGCGGACUGACAAGACAGAAACACGGAUUGACAAGUCAGUAACGCGGAGUGAUCAUUGGCUUUGCGGACUCACAAGUCAGUAACGCGGACUGACAACGAAGUAACACGGACUAACAACCCCGUAACGCGGAUUGAGAACGCAGUAACGCGGACUAACAAGUCUAUAUAAAACGACAAACAACAAUGUAUCACUUCAUCUAAGGUAUUUUAGUUCAUGUGCUUUGUAUGUUUUACAANUUCAUGUGCUUGUAUGUUUUACAAUGGGUUCAAACCAAUGGACCGCUAACGAGUAUUUCCUUCUAGCUCGUGCAUAUAUUAAUGUCAAAGAGAACACCAGUUUGGAGGAUAUAAUGUUUUUCUCCCAACUAACGAAUACCUUCAACACUGACGCUGAAACCACCAUACAAAACCAUCGCAACACGCUUGAUAUAGCUACAAAAUGGUAUGAAUUGAAAACGGAAGUUGUGUUAUUAAACGAUCUUUAUAAUAAGAUUGAAGAUGAUCAUGUCAAUGAUACUGAGGAAGAGAUCUUGGAGGUGUCUAAAGAAGAAUACAAAUCCAUUAGCAACGGACAGAGUUUCGAGUUUGAAGCCCCUUGGAAUCUUUUGAAAAAUGUACCGUUUUUUUAAGUAGAACUGCAUUUUGUAUUGUUCUUGUAUUUCUUUAUUUAAAUGUAAUAUGGUAUUUAUCCUUUAUUUUAAAAAAAAAUAUUUGACCAACAAAUGUUACAAAACCAUACAUUCAAAAAACAUUAUCUGACAAACAGCUUACGCGGACUGACAAAUAAGCUACGCGUAAUGACAACACAUUUACGCGGACUGACAAGUAAGUUCUGCGGAAUAAUGUAUACUAAUUCCUUAUAAAUUUUGACAACCAUGACGAAAAUUUACAAGGUGUCGAAAGUUGUGAAAAUGAGUUCAGUCAAUCAGGUAUUAAGGAAAAGUUUCUCCAGCCUACCGACUUUUUUCCAUAAGCUGCAAAGAAGCAAUCCUACCACCUUCACGUACAUUACGAAGGAUCGGUACAAUCGUUUCCAAAUUUGUUUCGUGGCAUUGGGAUGCGUGGUAUGUAAUCCCUUAUAGUAAAUAAAUAUUUAGUUAUUUCAAGUUGGUAUAUGCCUAAUAUUCUUAUGUUGACUUACAGAUUCGUACAUUUCUCACGUCUAUGAUAUCAAUCAUAUUCGUUGGUCAAGUACCUCUAAUUGGGGCAUAUGUAACAUCCAUGUACAUUGCUUUUGCUUUAGAUGGAAAUCAUGAACCCCUUCUCAUAGUGUUUGCCUUGGGAACCAUAAAUUGUGACAAUUCAUGGUUAUGGUUCAUAAGGAGGCUUAAAGACUGUUUAGGUGACAAUACAUAAUUUGGUUUCAUAAGCCAUAUGUCUGAUUCUAUGGACUUUGCAGUCCACAGAGUCUACCCUGAUUCAUAUCAUGGCUAUUGUUGUAAAAAUAUAGCCAAGAAAAUACGCGCUUCCAUCGGAACCAAUACAGUCGUAGAACAGUGGUUCUGUAAGACGUGUAAAGCAUAUAAUUUAUCUCAAUUUUAUGCAUGUUUGAACAAUUUAAAAAAUGAGGUAAAUGGGAAUGAUCUUCAUUGGCUUGACAAUAUUCCCAUUGCAAAAUGGGUACGGGCUUGUUUUCCAAGAGUAAGUUUCAAUGUUAAAUUCAUUGACAUUCCCGAUGUUUUCAAUUGGUUUAAAACAAACACGCAUGAGUUUCCAAUAACAACAAUCAUUGAAAUGGUUCAUGACUCGAUGUAAGAAGUUUAUCUUCGACGUGCUGUUUUUGGAGGUAAUUAUAAGUUAUGACAUCAUUAAAACGGUGAAUUGAUAUGUUUAUUAUACGUUAUGACCUUAUAAUUUUUUUUAUUGAUUCAGUUGAUUUCACAGGGGAUAUCCAUAAUCUUCUAACCCCUUAUGCACUUAAGGUGAUUCAUAAAAGAUUUAUCCACUCGGAUGGUUGUAGGAUUACGCAUAUUGUUGGCGAUAGAUAUGAAGUGACUAAGUAUUCAACAACCGAAUAUGUACAACUAGACCGUGGUAUUUGUAGUUGCGGUAAAUGGCAAAAAUGCGGUAUACCUUGUGAGCAUGCUAUAGCUUCACUACACAGACUCGAAAUUGCAGAAAUCCAUCAAAUGGUAAAUUUAAAGUUAAGUACAGCGGUGUAUCGAAAUGCUUAUCAAACUGAGACGGUCUAUCCUAUUCCAACCCUUAGGCAUUGGGAAAAACCAGUCGAAAGUGUUGUGGUCUUACCUCCACGCCAAUUCAAUUGAACUUUAUUGUAUGGAUCACAACGAAUAUUAGUUUUUAUUCAGUUCUAUGUUAACCGUACUUGUAAUGGUUUGUUGGCAUUCUUUACUUUUUAAUAAAAAAAAUGUUUACCUUUAAAUAAAUAAUUGUAUUUUCAUAAUUGUAAUAUGUAUGCAUGACAACGACUAGACAAAAAAACUAUGCGAACUGACAAACGCAGUAACGCGGACUGACAAAAACCUCUACGGACUAACAACAGCUCUCUGCAGAGUGGAAGGGACUAUAUAUAGUCAUGGAUGGUCGUCGGAUUUUUCGUAUAGAGUUAUAAUUUUUUAAAUUUAAAAUGACUUCAUCUUCAUCUUUGUAUAUUUGCUCGUGCAACGAAGUUGAUUGUUUCUAUUGUGAUCCGAUCGACCCUUUUCUUGCACCAUCACCAAAUUUAAGAGAGUCAUAUAUGUCGGAGGAUACUUUGCAACAACUACAAUGGGCUGAAGAACAACAAAAAAAAAGAUAAAGACUCGUCUCGGGCUCUCACUGAACGACGUGACCUCAUUGCGGCGGAGUGCAAAGAUGUUGAGGAAAGGAUGACGAUUACAAAAAAAAAUCAAAAAUCAUGGGGAAUGGAAAAAAAAACNCUAAGAAGAAUCUCAAACUGUCUGAAAAAUGGCUUGCUGACAAGGAUGCAGAAAUGAUAGAACUUGGUAGGCAAAAGGACCGUAUGGAAGAUAAAAUAAGAAUAAGGGACGACUACAUAACAAUGGAGAAAGAAAAGUAUCCUUUGCAAUUCCCUUAAGUUAAUUACCGUUGUUGUACGUUUACUAUAUGUUUCUAGUUUGUUGAAUGUAUUAACUUCGAGUAUUAGUUAUUAUUCUACUAGUAAUUAUGCAGUAAUAUAAUCAUAAUAUUACCCAUCAUCUUUAAAAUAAACACACCAGCUCAAAGUAGACAAAUUAAUGUCCUCUAAAACAAAACAUAAUUAAUUAUAAAUACAACAUCAAUCAUUCAAAUCAAACGUUGAACAAUAGUCUUCUCUCUACGUCCCACUCGUCCAACGCGUGUCUUGUGUCCCGUGCGUCUCUAGCGUCUCCUGAGUCCCUUCUGUCCCUUUCCCUUUUCCUUUUGUGUUACUACUUGAUGUCGUAUUAGUUUUUCUAGCCUUUUUUUGUUUCUUUGGGACCAAUGUCGGACAAGUCGCUGCAUUAUGUGUUGUACUAUCACAUCUACUACACCUUCUUAUUAUAGGUUCCUCACCUUGUGACGGAAUACGAUUUCUGUUUCUCGGUCUACCAGCUUGACGUGUAUCCAUUAUCGGGGGUUUCACAACCAUCAUGUUAGCAGGAAUCUCCCAAUCACACGGUUCUGGAAGGGGGUAAACCGGCUCCUCAUACGUACUUCGGUAUGUUUCCAUUUUGUAAGCAUCUAUAGCCAGAUGUCCGAAGUUAGUUUUUUUCAAGUGCUUCAAGACCAUUAUCACAUGACCACAAGGCAACCCAGUUCCUUCCCAAUAUUUGCAUGUACAAGUCUCUUGCCUCAGAUCAACUAUGCCACCAUGUUUGAAAUCAUGAACUUCAUAAAGUGCAUCUGAAACACCAGAAAUGGACCAUCCUGUCGUACGCUCUUCAUUUUUACUAACUACUUUUUCAGCCCACUCGGUUAGCACUGUUGAACGUUUCCCUAUAAAGAAGAUAUAUAUAAUUAACUAAUUAUUCGACCUAAUUAAAGACAAAAUAAAAUUCAUACCUCCUUCGAUGCGACGCUUGUAACACCAUUCCUGUGAAAGACGUCGGAAGAACUCAAGAAGGGGUAUUAUAGGCAUCUUCCUUGCAUCUACAGAUAAAGCAUUCAUGAACUCUGCACUGUUCGAGGUCAUGUAAUCGUAACGUUUCGAUGGCGAAUAUGCUCUAGUCCAUUUAACACAGGGAAUUUCACUUAGAUACGCUGCUACUUGCGGCCUAGUAGAACUAAAUAUAUACCACAAUUCUUCAAAAACAUUUCUUUUGUAAGCUUUCACAAGCCUCCAAAACAACCCUUUUGUUUUAUCAUUUUUCCCAAACUUGUGUACUAUGUUUCCUAGUGUGACAUCCCCAAAAUCUUGGCCAGAAAAGACCGAUUUCAUUGAUGCUUUUUAAAAUAAUUUCAGAGUAAAUCCUUUUGAUUUUAAAAGAGAUGCGGAAUUUGUUCCCAAAAACAAAACAUGAUAAAAUAGAUCUUUUAUCAAAACAUUUCAUAAAGAAAUAUAAUUUCAUUUCAUAAUCAAAACCGGGAUGUCAUGUUCCGAUACAGACCAUAAAGCAUAAACGAUAACAUUACAAGUCAUUCAACAAAUAUUAUACAUAUGCAGACUUGUAAACAAAACAACUUGAUGAUUCAUCCAUCUUAUGCCCUUACGCCACUUCCUGUAAUACAAGUAAACUGAGUGGGUCAGGCUUGGGAGCCUGGUGAGCAUAUAGGGUUUUCAACCCACAAUAAAUAAUUAUAUUUAAUUCAACAAUCAACAAUAACCCGAUUACCCAUUCCCGUUUUCCUUACUUUACGUCCCUAAAACAACAUCUAUUAUAAGGGACCUAAUCUAGGAGUUUCAUCGGGACAAACAUUACUGCAAAGGGGCUUCCUUAGCAAUAAAUAUCCUAAAGGCAACCAUGAGGGGGAUAUAGUUCACCGGUGAACACGUCGUUCACAAGACCUACAGGUUAUGAGCCUACUAGUGUUCCACAGGACUGUCUAGAAUAGUCCGUGGUCGUCAUCCAUACUCUGCUGAAUGACUAGAAUAACACCAACAACAUCGAGGCCUCUCAUCUGUUUAUUACACACCAACUAUCUACCCAUGUUCUACCCAACAUAUUAGUAGAUAAAAAUAUACAUUUGUAUACAUAGUUUAAAACCUGUAUAGCAUGCUCAAUCAAUACAUUUUUCCACAUAACAGAUGAGGUACACACACAUAACACGUAUUUCAUAGAGAAUAAAUCAGAUCUAUGAGAUAGAAGAAAGUGAAUAUACAUCCACACAUAUAGUCAACAAAGUAUACACGUAACACGUAUUUCGUAUAAAAUACUUCAUAAUAAUGUGUUAGAAGAAAAUGACUACACACUCACUUGAUCAGAAGAUGAUCGGGCAACACUACGACUUGUAGAAGUAGUGUUUCUCCGUAGAUCUGGAAGAUCUUCACAUAAACCGGGCUCCUCGCGGGCAGGUCUUCGGCUCUGAAAUCUCACUUCUCGGGAUUCUCGGGACUUCGGAUCUUGCUUCGGGGCUCGCGAAUAAUAUUGGGGCUUCGGGGUAUGAUUGGCAAGCAAAUCGAGGCAAAAACUAGAGAGAAGAAAGAGUUUGAACUAGAGAAAAUGGUUGAUCUCGCAUUCUAUUUAUAGGCUGCUGGGUCUAGGAUUAUGCCGGGCGUAAUUUCCAGGUACGCUGGGCGUACUAAGUACACUGGGCGUAAUUAGGUUACGUUGGGCGUACUUUGACGUCACUGCAUGCGUCAAUUGGUGGCACUCGAGUAUUGGUCAGACAAGUUGCACCCCUCUGAGUACGCUGGGCGUACUCAAAUUACGCUGGGCGUAAUUUGACUCGUCAAACUUCUAAAUUGCGUAACUUUGGCAUACGAGCUCCGUUUUCGACGUUCUUUAUAUCAACGCGUAGGUUAGACCAUACUCUACAACUUUCAUUUAGACUCAAUUUUUACUUUUAUUUUUAUUAUUUAUUUUUAGUAGGCCGGGACAGGAAAACUUCGUUAUAAAUUCAUAACUUCUUCGUUCGACGUCCGUUCUCGCCUAACUUUUCAUCGUUUCACUACUAACAACGAGAUAUUCGAUUCUCGUUUAGAUUGUUCUGGCUAAAAACCGCUCGAUCUCAAAUCGAGUAUUCGGGCUGCAUACUGCCAAGUCGAAACUUCAGANGAAAAUCAUAUUCCUCAUACGAAGUCAGAUUUGGGCGUUCUAUAUAUAUUUAGAAACCUAGUUUCAACUACUACAACAUUAUCCAAAGAUAUCGAGUUUAUUUUACACUUCAUUUUGACGCUAAUUUUUAUUCUUAAUUCAAUUAAAUUAUAAUAAUUAAGAAAACACACACAUAAUUCACAUAAUUCACAAAUAAUACAUUUUUAUUAUUUCAGAUUGGGUUACAAAGGUUAACCUAGACUAUUACAUUGCUAAAAAUGGCAAGCCCAUAAUCACGGGCGUUACAAUUUUCUCCACCUUAGAAUGAUUCCGUCCCUGGAAUCACACAUCAACAAAUAAAUGCGGAUAGCGACCCAUCAUGUCACUCUCCGUCUCCCAGGUGAGAUACGACCCAUUCGUGUGUUUCCAACGGACAAGCACUAACUCAACCAUCUUACGUCGCAAUUUCUUAGUCUUCCGGUCAACGAUUGCUUCUGGUUCUUCAAUCAAUCUUUUGUUUUCAUCAAUUAUUAACUCUGAAAGUGGAAUCAUGUCGGGAACUUCUCCCGUGAACUUCCUCAAGUAACACAUAUGAAAAGUGUUAUGAAUUCCAUUCAGUUCUUCGAGUAGUUCGAGCUUGUAAGCUUGGUUCCUAAUUCUCUGAAGAACUUUAAACGGUCCAAUAAACCUUGGACUUAACUUUCCCCUUUUACCACAUCUUAUAAGUCCCUUCCACGGCGAGACUUUAAGCAAAACCGAAUCUCCAACUUCAAAAGUCAUCGGUCUUCGCUUUUUGUCAGCAUAGCUCUUUUGACGGUCGUGAGCUGCUAACAUUCUUUCCCUAAUUAUUUUCAACUUUUCAGCCGUUUGAUGGACUAUCUCUGGUCCCAUAAACUGCUUUUCCCCAGCCUCAAGCCAACAAGACUGCGUACGACACUUCUGUCCGUACAAAGCUUGAUAAGGUGCCAUCUUAAUGCUCGAGUGGAAACUAUUAUUAUAGGAAAAUUCUACCAAUGGUAAAUGUUCAUCCCAAUUACCUAGGAAUUCCAAGGUACAUGCUCUCAGCAUAUCUUCAAGUGUUUGUAUCGUUCUUUCACUCUGACCAUCAGUCUGCGGAUGGUAAGCUGUGCUUAAACACAACUUGGUACCCAAUUCCUCUUGUAGACUUUUCCAAAACCGUGAGGUGAAACGACUAUCACGAUCCGACACAAUUGUUAACGGAACACCGUGAAGCCUCACAAUUUCCUUCACGUAAGAAUUCGCAAGCUUUUCCAUAGACCAUUUCUCAUUGGCUGCUAUGAAAUGCGCACUCUUAGUGAAUCGAUCAACGACCACCCAAAUCAUGUCGUGACCAUUCUUUGUUCUGGGCAGUUUAGUGACAAAAUCCAUAGCAAUGUCUUCCCACUUACCCAUAGGCACAGGCAAUGGUUCUAAACUCCCGUACGGUUUCUGAUGUUGUGUCUUGACUCUCGCACAAGUCACACACUCGGCCACAUACUUUGCAACAUCAAGCUUCAUCGUCGGCCACCAGUAGUAGGGUUUCAGGUCCCUAUACAUUUUAGUGCUACCCGGAUGAAUCGAGUACAUGGUCUUGUGAGCUUCUUCCAUCAGAAGAUCUCUGACUCCUCCUGUCUUAGGUAUCCAAAUCCGAUCUUGGAACACCUUCAGUCCAUGACUGUUUACACCGAACACCAACGUUUUGCCCAAACGUUCCUCCUUUCUGUCAUUCUUCUCAGAAGCUUCGCUCUGAGCUUUCUUUAUACUUUCCAAAAUAGUUGAGACAACUUCAAUUCUCAACGCUCUUGGCCUUUUCCUUUCGGGAUUGACUUUCCGACUGAGAGCAUCAGCAACAACAUUAGCUUUACCGGGGUGGUAAAGUAUCUCGCAGUCAUAGUCUUUAAGUAAUUCUAGCCAGCGUCGUUGCCUCAUAUUCAAUUCUUUCUGAUUAAAGAGGUAUUGGAGACUCUUAUGAUCAGUGAAAAGUUUGCACUUCGUGCCAUAGAGGUAAUGCCUCCAUAUUUUCAGAGCGAAAACUACCGCUGCCAACUCCAAAUCAUGAGUCGGGUAAUUCUUUUCAUGCUCUUUCAGCUGUCGAGACGCAUAUGCUAUCACCUUUUCUCUUUGGGUCAAAACACAACCCAAUCCAACACCAGACGCAUCGCUAUAAACAGCGAAGUCUUCAACUCCAUCGGGUAGAGAAAGUAUCGGUGCCUCGCAUAGCUUCUUCUUUAACUUCUCGAAUGCUUCUUUAUGCUUCUCACUCCAAGCAUAAGUAGCUCCUUUGUGGGUCAAAGCUGUCAAUGGAGUAGCAAUCGAAGAAAAGCCUUGGAUAAACCUUCAAUAAUAUCCGGCUAAUCCCAAAAAGCUUCGAAUCUCCGUGGGACUUUUCGGUUGUUCCCACUUCAUCACAGCUUCGAUCUUCGCUGGAUCAACCAUUAUCCCUUCUUGGUUGACCACGUGACCCAAGAAUUGUACUUCUCGAAUCCAAAAAUCACAUCUGGAGAACUUUGCAUACAACUUAUCCUUCUUUAAAACUUCUAACACUUCUCGCAAGUGUCUGCCAUGCUCCUCCUGGCUUUUCGAGUAAAUCAGAAUGUCGUCUAUGAACACUAUNGAACGGAUUACAAACCCUGUUCAUUAAAUCCAUGAAUGCUGCUGGAGCAUUGGUUAGUCCAAACGACAUAACCAAAAACUCGUAGUGCCCAUAUCAUGUUCUGAAUGCAGUCUUCUCUAUAUCCUGCUCUCUUACUUUUAGCUGAUGAUAUCCUGACCUCAGGUCGAUUUUUGAAAAAUAACUUGAACCUUGUAGUUGAUCGAACAGGUCAUCAAUCCUCGGCAACGAAUAUCUAUUCUUUAUUGUUGCCUUGUUCAGUUCUCUGUAAUCGAUGCACAUCCUCAUACUUCCAUAUUUCUUUUGACGAAUAACAUCGGAGCUCCCCAGGCCGAUGAACUAGGUCUUAUGAAACCUUUGUCCAAUAACUCCUGAAGUUGCAUCAUCCGCUCCUUCAUCUCCAUCGGUGCUAGUCGGUAAGGUGCUUUUGCUAUAGGCGUCGUUCCCGGCAACAAGUCGAUACGAAAUUCUACUUGUCGAUCAGAAGGUAAUCCAGGAAGAUCUUCGGGAAAUACUUCCGGAUAAUCACAUACGACAGGAAUAUUCUGCAUCACCUUUUUUUCCUUCUUAGCAUCGAUCACGAAUGCUAAAUAUGAUGUACACCCCUUGGUCAAACAUUUUCUGGCUUUCAUUAGAGAAAUGAUUCCAGAAUUUACUCUGCGUUUAUCUCCAUACACCAUAAACGAUUCCUUCCCAGGCGGGUUCACUUUCACUAUUUUCUUCUUGCAUAAAAUUUCGGCAUCAUUGGCGCUAAGCCAAUCCAUUCCCAAAAUGAUGUCGAAACUGUUAAGUUCGAUAUAAAGGAGUAGUUUUCUACCAAAUUCAUGCGAUAUAAAGGAGUAGUUGGCUCCAGAAUCAAAUAAAAUUUGGGCAGACGAUUUGUUUACGAGAAAGGUACCUGAACGACAUCAGCUUCAUCUUUAGCAGCUUCCAGUGUCAUCUGGAAUGCUCUCGCCUUCGGCUUUGGCGAAAUGUUGGGUUUUGUUGCCUCCUUCUUCUUCGGACAAUCUCUUGAUAUGUGCCCUUCCUCACCACAACCAUAACAAACAUUCUUGGUGAGGGUGCAGUCGUUGGCAUAAUGCCCUGGCUUUCCACAUUUCAAGCAUGUGGCUUCCCCGCCGCACUUCCCAUGAUGCUUCUUCUUGCAUUUGUCGCACCAUUUCGCUUCGCCUCCUCCACCCCCUCUCGAACUAGACUUCGAGAAUUUACCCUUUUUGCUGGACCCUGAAGAUCCCUCGAACUUCCUCUUUUCACCAACCUCUGACCUUUCCAGACCUUUUUCCCUGAUCUGGGUCUCAACAUUUCUAGCAGCCCAGAUGGCGGCUUUCAAUGUGGUUGCUUGCUUAACCAUUAGACCAUAGUCCGCUGGUAGUCCAAGGGCAAACUUGUUGACCUUAGAGAGUUCUGUAGGCACCAAAUAUGGGAUAAACUUCAUCUUUUCUGUGAAACUUGCAGCGUAUUCAGUAACGCUCAAUUUCCCUUUCUUCAAAUUCUGAAACUCAUUACUGAUUUCCAGAAGGUCCUGCUCGGAGCAGUAUUGCAGUUUUAGUUGUUCCACAAAGUCUUCCCAAGACAUUUUGCUUGCUUCUCCCUUGGGCAUAGAGUCAGCUAACAGCUUCCACCAACUCAACACGCCAGAUUUUAGCAGAGGGAUCGCAAGAGCGGUCUUCUGCCUGUUGCUGCAUUCGCAACUUUCAAACAUAGUCUCCAUUUCGGAGAUCCAGUCCAUAACUUGCACCGGCGUCGGGCUUCCGGAUAGACAUGGUGGUUUGGAUGCCAUGAAAUCCUUAUACUUGCACCCACGACCAUCAUUUCCUCCAUACUGGUUAUUGCGUCUAACCACUGGUUGUUCGUCUUGACCAAUGAUCCCACUAAAGUUUUCUCCUUCAGACUGCCCUCCAUUCUCCUCGGGCUCUUCCGCUUGAAUUGACGGUUCUUCACGAUUCUGCCUAAGCAGGCGUCUUGUUUCUUCCAUCUGACGAUCCAACAUCAUUUGAAUCAUCAUUUGUACACCAGCCAUUGUUAUCGGCUCAGGUGCAUCAGCUACGACAGGUACUUGUUGAAUUACAGGCGGUUGAUUCCUGUUUUCAUCAGCAUUUCCAACUCCGCUUCUUGUUCUCACCAUUUUUGAUCUACACACCGAAUAAUUUCACCUUAUUACUCCAAACGAUUACAUGCUAGUUCUAAUAUCGUAUACAUACGCUUAGAAUCCUAAACACAUAAACCUUCAGAUCCGGUUGGCAACAAACCGUAGAUCCGAACAAAUAAUAUCAUAUAUGGCAACAUAUAACAUUUAGCACAUAAAAGCAUUUUAGGCAACUUUCCUAAAAUAAACUAGUGCUCGUGUCUAAAAUUUAUCAGACACACAUCUCACAAUCUCCACUUAGCAUACUAAGUUUAAGUCUAGAAAUCCUACAAAUUCCUAGUUCGCUUAAACUAAUGCUCUGAUACCAACUGUGACAUCCCCAAAAUCUCGGCCAGAAAAGACCGAUUUCAUUUAUGCUUUUUAAAACAAUUUCAGAGUAAAUCCUUUUGAUUUUAAAAGAGAUGCGGAAUUUGUUCCCAAAAACAAAACAUGAUAAAAUAGAUCUUUUAUCAAAACAUUUCAUAAAGAAAUAUAAUUUCAUUUCAUAAUCAAAAAUCGGGAUGUCAUGUUCCGAUACAGACCAUAAAGCAUAAACGAUAACAUUACAAGUCAUUCAACAAAUAUAUACAUAUACAGACUUGUAAACAAAACAACUUGAUGAUUCAUCCAUCUUAUGCCCUUGCGCCACUUCCUGUAAUACAAAUAAACUGAGUGGGUCAGGCUUGGGAGCCUGGUGAGCAUAUAGGGUUUUCAACCCACAAUAAAUAAUUAUAUUUAAUUCAACAAUCAACAAUAACCCGAUUACCCAUUCCCGUUUUCCUCACUUUACGUCCCUAAAACAACAUCUAUUAUAAGGGACCUAAUCUAGGAUUUUCAUCAGGACGGACAUUACUGCAAAGGGGCUUCCUUAGCAAUAAAUAUCCUAAAGGCAACCAUGAGGGGGAUAGAGUACACCGGUGAACACGUCGUUCACAACACCUACAGGUUAUGAGCCUGCUAGUGUUCCAUAGGACUGUCUAAAAUAGUCCGUGGUCGUCAUCCAUACUCUGUUGAAUGACUAGAAUAACACCAACAUCAAGGCCUCUCAUCUGUUUAUUACACACCAAUUAUCUACCCAUGUUCUACCCAACAUAUUAGUAGAUAAAAAUAUACAUUUUUAUACAAAGUUUAAAACCUGUAUAGCAUGCUCGAUCAAUACAUUUUUCCACAUAACAGAUGAGGUACACACACAUAACACGUAUUUCAUAGAGAAUAAAUCAGAUCUAUGAGAUAGAAGAAAGUGAAUAUACAUCCACACAUAUAGUCAACAAAGUAUACACGUAACACGUAUUUCGUAUAAAAUACUUCAUAAUAAUGUGUUAGAAGAAAAUGACUACACACUCACUUGAUCAGAAGAUGAUCGGGCAACACUACGACUUGUAGAAGUAGUGUUUCUCCGUAGAUCUGGAAGAUCUUCACAUAAACCGGGCUCCUCGCGGGCAGGUCUUCGGCUCUGAAAUCUCACUUCUCGGGAUUCUCGGGACUUCGGAUCUUGCUUCGGGGCUCGGGAAUAAUACCGGGACUUCGGGGUAUGAUUGGCACGCAAAUCGAGGCAAAAACUAGAGAGAAGAAAGAGUUUGAACAAGAGAAAAUGGUUGAUCUCGCAUUCUAUUUAUUGGCUGUUGGGUCUGGGAUUACGUUGGGCGUAAUUUCCAGGUACGCUGGGCGUACUCAAUACACUGGGCGUAAUUAGGUUACGUUGGGCGUACUUUGACGUCACUGCGUGCGUCAAUUGGUGGCACUCGAGUAUUGGUCAGACAAGUUGCACCCCUCUGAGUAUGCUGGACGUAAUUUGACUCAUCAAACUUCUAAAUUGCGUAACUUUCGCAUACGAGCUCUGUUUUCGACGUUCUUUAUAUCCACGCGUAGGUCAGACCAUACUCUACAACUUUCAUUUAGACUCCAUCGGCUAAUUUUGACUUUUAUUUUUAUUAUUUAUUUUUAGUAGGCCGGGACAGGAAAACUUCGUUAUAAAUUCAUAACUUCUUUGUCCGACGUCCGUUCUCGCCUAACUUUUUAUCGUUUCGCUACUAACAACGAGAUCUUCAAUUCUCAUUUAGAUUGUUUCGGCUAAAAACCGCUCGAUCUCAAAUCGAGUAUUUGGGCUGCAUACUGCCAAGUCGAAACUUCAGAAAAUCAUAACUUCCUCAUACGAAGUCAAAUUUGGGCGUUCUAUAUAUAUUCUGAAACCUCGUUUCAACUACUACAACAUUAUCCAAAGAUAUCGAGUUUAUUUUACACUUCAUUUUGAUGCUUAUUUUUAUUCUUAAUUCAAUUAAAUUAUAAUUAAGAAAACACACACAUAAUUCACAUAAUUCACAAAUAAUACAUUUUUAUUAUUUCAGAUUGCAUUACAAAGGUUAACCUAGACUAUUACAUUGCUAAAAAUGGCAAGCCCAGAAACACAGACGUUACACCUAGUAUAUGAAAAGCACACAAGCCAUGAUGAGCAUGUGGAAAAACAUUUUCAAUACUAACGCGAAUUGUAUCGGCCCUAUCAGUUACAAAAGUCAAUUCUUGACAAUCACUAACACAUUCAUACAACUUUUCAAGAAACCAUGUCCACGUAAGACCACUUUUUUUUUUCAUAUUCCGUGCGUAAGGGGCAGUAUCUGGUUGUUCCCAUCCAUAGCUACUCCAUGCAAUAUGGUUCCCUUAAAAGCACCCUUCAAAUGGGCACCAUCCAUAAUUAUAACUUUACGACAAAAACUUUUGAACGCUCGUAUCUGCAAUAUAUAAAAAUGGAACACAUAAACACUCUAUAAUUUGUUUACAAAAAUUAUAUAUUAAAUAACAACAAGUUUUUUGUAUUUACCGUGCUCCCAAUGGCAUAAAAACAACACUCGAAACAAUCUUCAGAAUCUGUUUGAAUAUACGCAACUGUACCGGGAUUAUGCCUCUUCAAAUUGUGAAAAUAAAUAGGAAGUUUGGCAAAACAUUCUUCAGAGGAUCCCAACAACAGUUUCAUAGCAUAUUGUUUUGCACGCCAAGCUUGUUUGUAAUCUACGUUGAUUUCCAGCAAAGCAUUCAAAUCCCUUGAUAUUUCAUUAGGCCUCCAAACCUUGGAACGAGUUUUUCCCAUAAUCUCAUGCAAUAUAGUACCCAUGACUUUUUUAUUAGCAUGCUUAUGAUUAGGGUGUAUCUGUAAUGACGAACAUGUGUACACGUUGUUGAAAGUCCUGAUUUCAAAUUCAUCAGUGAGAUCAAGGCGUUUUGCAUACAAACGCCAACUACAGUUCUCAAUUUCACAAUAUACCUCAUAACGAUUUUUGUUAGAAUGUUUGGUCUUAAACUGAAACUUUUCUCUUGUUGCUUUAAGAAUCAAUGCAAAAAUUAGUUGUUGUUUGUUGUCAUAUGUUUGACGAACAAACAUAUCAUCAUUUGGACCUAAACUGUGAAAUGGUCCGGGUUCAACAAUAGGAUCAGGACAAUCAGGUAUGGGAGACAUACCGUAAAAAAUGUCUGAAGCUUUUUUCCCGUAUGUGAACUCAUCUUCUGACCAUCCUUCAUUUGACUCUUCACUGUCUGAGAAAGUUUUGUUAGUCAAUCUUCUAAACCCAUAUAAAUUUUUUUCUUCAACCGUAUUCAGUGCCACCGUUUCUUCUUCUGGACAAUCUUCAACAUUAUCAGAUACAAUGUUAUCAACAUUGUAUGGUACAACUUUCUCAGCUGCUUCUGUCUGUUCGACCAAUCCCUGAAACACCUCUAAAUACAAAUGCACAAUCUCCUUCGUUUCAGAAAUUACAUUUCUGAGUUGAUUAACAUCUGCUUCAUCUAAAAUAUUCAUCACAUACCCAUGAACCGGGUGUUGAAAUGACAAUGAUAUAUUACUAUUGAACACCUUAGCCUUACUUUUGACCAAAUCAAACAAUAUUCGAAAAUCAAAAUUAGGCGGAGGCAGUAAACCCAAGUUGUUUAACUUUGGUCUAACGUAGGUGUUAAUCGCAUUACUUAUCUGCAAAAAACCUCCAGUACAUAAAAUAACAAAACUCAUAUUUGGUUUUGAAAAUCAAAUGAAAACGAACUGAUCUAUCGACCAAAAUAAAACAAACAUAUGAAAAAGAAACUUUUGUAUCAAAAAACUCUUCAAAAUCCGCUCCAACCACCCAUUCCACGGAGGCAUUACUCUCUCCGCAGAGACCCAUUCCGCGGAGCAUGAUUAAAAAGGCUAACAACCUAUUGUUCGACCACUUCGCAGAGAUGACUUCAUUCCGCGGAGGUCCGCGGAGGGUCCUCCGCGGAAUGCAUGUCUAUAGCUGGAAUUUUUUUUUUGUGUCUAAAUUUUUAAAUUUCCCCCUUUUUUCGUCUAUAGCCUAUAUUUUCUCUAAAUGAUUUACAUAUUGAAAGUUCAGAAACAAGUUAAAACUUAAACCCUAAAAGAGCGUACAAAUUUCAAUCGUCAACAUACCCCACCACAAAGGCACAAAUAAUCAAAGAAACAAAUGUAGAUGUAGAGGCCUUUUUCACCACAAUCACCCUUCAUCGGCCAUUUCGAAGGCCACGUGAAAUGUCACUAACGUGGCCCUAUAAAUAUCCACUACUUUGUCUUUAACCUUUCCCCCCUCUCAUAUAAAACCCUCCAUCCUCCUCCUUUACCACCAUCACCAACUACCUUCUCUCCUCCAUCAAAAGUAUCCCCAUCUUUUCCGACAUGGCUGCUUCUUCAAUCUUCAUGGCAACUCCCAUCACACUCCUCAAGAAAACUCCCACCUUCUCCGUCAAAUGUAUGUCACAAACACCUCAAAGCGGUGAACCGGGGGUUUCAAAACCAGCAACCACCCCAACACCACCACAGAUCAACAUUCCUCCUCCUCCGCCACCUGCUCCAAAGGUCAGCACGAAGUUCUCUGACGUGUUGGCGUUUAGUGGACCUGCACCGGAGAGGAUCAACGGAAGGUUAGCCAUGAUAGGGUUUGUGUCGGCGAUGGCUGUGGAACUGAGCAGCGGUCAAGACGUGUUCACCCAGAUCGGCAACGGCGGUGUUGCGGUGUUUGUCGGGACAAGUGUGGUGUUGACGUUGGCGUCGUUGGUGCCGUUGUUUAAAGGAGUGAGCGUGCAGUCGAAGUCGAGUGGACUGAUGACAUCAGAUGCAGAGCUUUGGAAUGGGCGGGUUGCGAUGUUGGGUCUGGUGGCUUUGGCUUUUACUGAAUAUGUUAAAGGCAGUGCCCUUGUCUAGAUAAUGUAUCAUAAACUUUUCUAUUACAGAAUUACAUCUAAGAUAG
rnacentral:lncRNA from 1 species